AAAGGAAAAAAACAAAAGUGUGUGAUCCUCUUUCUCGAGUCUUCACAUUUAGAGACACUGAACCCAAAUCAAAAUUAAUCCUUCAAAUUAAUUUUCACCUCCAAACAUAGCUAUCCGAAAAACCCUAACCUCUGCCUCCUCUUCCUCUUAUCCCGGAAACCUAAAUUCCGUGACCCUAACCCCUUCUCUUUCCGAAAACCCUCCGGAAUCGGAAAAUUCAUAAUUCUUCAGAAUUAAUUUUCACCUCGAAGCCAAACCCUAACUGCCUCAUCUUCCUCUCAUUCAUAUCCCAAAAGUAGCUUCAACAGUCAGGCCUGUAGCCAUGAAAGCCGUAGUGAUCACUACUUCCGGUGAUCCCCAAGUUCUCCAAGUGCAAGAAGUCGAAAACCCUGAAAUUGGAGAUGAUGAAGUUCUAAGUAGAGUGGACGCCGCUGCCAUUAACCGAACAGAUACGCUUCAGAGGAAGGGCUUGCACCCUUCCUCAAAGGCGGCAGUCCCUACCCGGGUCUCGAAUGUUCUGGAAUCAUCGAAGCUGUUGGAAAAGCCGUCGUUCGAUGGAAGGUUGGCGAUCAGGUAUUUCAAUUGCCUAAUAUUUUGAUUUCGUUUCUGUUCCUCUGUUUUUCUCGGCUAUCAAACACUAGGAACGUGUAAAUAAGGAGGUUAGUUGAUUGCGAAAACGGGAAUUUUUUGUUCGUGUCUGUGUUAAGGAGUCUUUGUUGAGAAUUUUGGGGAAAUUUAUGAUAAGUUUGUGAUUUUAUGAUUAAUUUUGUGUAUCAAUAUAGGUUAAAUUAUUGAGCUUAUUGGUUUUCAAAUUUAUGGUUGUAAGAAAAUUGGUCAGUGUAAGGUUAUGGGAUCAUUACCAAUUUGCUUACUGAAAAUUUUUCCAGAUAUUGUGGACCGGUUUGGUAGCAGAAAUAAGAACUGUGUUUUGUUUUUCAAAACGGAAAUGGAUGCAGAAAACAUGUUUUUCUUUCAGAACUUGUUUCCGAAAAUAUUUCCUGAAAAUGAAUUAUUUCAGAACUUGUUUUAAAAAAAUUCAAACACUUUAUCAAUUUAAAAGGUUCUGAAAUGGACAUGUUCAUGGUCUUCAUUUUUUAAAAUUAAAGCUUUUAUGAAAAAACCAUUUUCCCUUCUACUAAACAAACAGGCUCUAUAUUGUAACAGAUCGAUUGGCCAUUUCCUUUGUCAUGUUUUGUGAAUCAUGGCAACACUGGAAUCCACUCCAUUACCAUCUGUUAGUGAUUAGAAGACAAAGCACCAAUUUUAAUGAUAUCCUUUAUGUGAUUUUGCUUCCUCCUGAGUACAAGUUCAUAGUAUACAUGGUACAUGGUGAAUCUGUAUGACAGUUCAUGGUAUACAGGUGUGUGCUCUUCUUUCUGGUGGAGGGCAUGCUGAAAAAGUGGCUGUUCCAGCUGGGCAAGUUCUCCCUGUCCUAUCUGGUGUUUCUCUGAAGGAUGCUGCUGGAAUUCCUGAGGUUGCAUGUACUGUUUGGUCAACUGUUUUAAUGAUGAGCCGACUGUCUGCAGGAGAAACAUUCCUGGUGAAUUUUUUGUCUUUUUUAUUUUCUGAUGCCUGAUAUAUUUACCAGCACAAAUUUACCCUGUUGCUGUUUAAUGUGUGUGCAUCAAUAUUGGAUUAGGGAGGUAGAAGAGCCAUGGUUCUAAUUAAAUCAUUACAUCAUCAUAUUCUUAUUUAGAUACAUUGUAUCCCACAAUUUCAUUGCAUCCAAGGCUAUGUUGUUUUUUAUUGCACGGUUUGUGUCAUGGUAAUUUCUCAACCCUUCUCUGGAAAAUUAUGUUGGAUGGCUGCUAUUAAUUACCCCAAAAGAAGAAAUUUUAUGUUGAAGUAAGAUGAGUAGCACAAAGAGUUACUUGUGGUUGAUCCUAUCAUCAAAUGGGCGAUUGAUGCACAAUCCAAAUGGUAAAUUUUUUUCCCCCUUUAUCCAGAUGGAAUUUUUAUGCAUGGUUGAAUAGUGAAAUGAGGACUGAUAAUAUUUCAGGUUCAUGGGGGUUCAAUUGGAAUUGGUACCAUCUAUUCAAAUAGUGAAAUACUGAGGAGCAAGGGUAUUUGUUACAGCAGGUUUGCCAUCACUGUUCUACCUCAUCUCACAGAAUGCUUAUCUCAUGGCACCAAUUCCUUUUCUUCACAUGUUUUCAACCAUUUUUUCCACCCAGGAACGAGGAAAAAUUAGCUGUUUGUAAGGAUCAUUGAGCAGAUGUGUGCAUCAAUUACAAGACUGAAAACUUUGUUGCAUGGGUGAAGGAGGAAACAGGAGGGAAAGGUAUAAUCUAUUGUAUCUUAACGAUAAUUUCAAUUGAAGGUGGAAUUGCUUUUUAAUUUUUAGUGCACCAAAUCCACUAGUCUGGAAUGUUUGAAAAGAUAAAUAGUCAUCUUCCACUUGAUACCGAUUGUGAAGAUCUAACCCCAAAAAUGUUGAAUGACAGGUGUUGAUGUUAUACUGGAUAAUAUUGGAGGGGCCUACUUUUGGGGAGACAUCAAUGGUUUAAAUGUUGAUGGAAGGCUUUUUAUUAUUGGUUUUCAGGGUGGAACAGUGGUACAAGUAAAUCUUUCAGGUUUACUUGCAAGGCGCCUUACAGUGCAAGGUACCGCUUUCUCUGUAGUUUUGGAGUUGAAUCAAUUUGAUUAAUCUCAUCCAAGUUCAGAACUGAGGUGGAUUCUGGCAAGCCAAGGAAAAACCAAAUUACCAUAAAUUCUUUUUUUCUUGGAAAUCCUGUUUCUCAAUCUGGUCAGUAUAUGGAAAUUCCAAGGAAAAUAUGUUUUACAUUUUCCAUAAGGCUCAAUGGGUUUUAACUCCACUCAGCUACUUUAUGUCUUGUAUUUAAUAUUGCAAACCAAAAUAAUAAUACGUAGAGAUUGAGCUUGGAGGCCAAUCUAGCAAAUGUGGAGAUUAGAAAUAGUUUACCAUCUAGAUAGUCAAGCAUAGCAAUUUACCAAACCCUUACCAACCAUCCAUACUAACCAAUUGUGGUUAAAUGUUUACAAAAAUGUACAUUAAAUCAAAGAGAAAAAAGAUUAAAAACGAACAAGAGAGAAGAAGUACGUCACCUAAUUUUGGUAAUAAAUGAAAUUAAAAUAAAUUCAUAAAUUUUUUAAAUUAAAAUGAAUUUGAACUCUAGAGAUUUGUGUAGAUAUCUUAUUAAAAAACCAAAAAGUUUGUUGCAUAUAUAAUUUCAACAAUGCAUAAAUAAUUACAACAUACGCAAUACAAUAAUAUUACACAACUAUAUUUUCAAAUAUAGUAUAAGAUCAUUAAAGUGAUAAAUUGUAGUUGUAUAAAAUAUUUAUACAAGUAAAGAAGAAAUUAUGAGAUUGAAAUGCUUGUUGGAUUCUAAGUAAAAAGGAAAUGAGAUAUAGAGAUUGUCCCAUCAGACAUAGAAUUUCAUAUACAUAAUUUUCCCUUCAAGAAAAUUUAGGGUCAAAUUGAAAAAUUUUCAUUCAUAGAUUUUGGUAAAACCUCUAUCUAGUCCUCCAAAUCUUGUAUACAAAAGGAAAUAACAUUGGUAUGAGGGGUUUGAAUGCUUAAUUUUAGAUUGAAAAUGCUUGAGAUAAUUUUUGAUCGACUUCACAUGUGUUUUUGAUAAACUUGGAACAUUCAAACUUGUAUUUGAAGAAUCUUCAAAUCUUCAAUUUGAUCUUAAAUAAUGUUGAAACCUUCGAAAUUUGAAUAGAAGAAUCUUUAAGCAUUUGAAUUUUGGUUUAAAGAAUUUUGAAAUUUGAGAUUGAAGAAUCUUCAAAUUUGGGCCUGAAGAUCAAAGGCUAAGCUUGAAGAGUUCUUGAAGCUUGAGUGGUAUCUCCGAUUUUGUUUUGUAUUUCAUAAAAACUUUUAAGUAUACUAUAUUUAUAGGUUUGAAGAGACAUUGAGAUUUUGUAUACAUGUUUGGAGUUUUAAACCUUGAAAUAUUACUCUUUUAUGAAAUUAACAUUUAUAAAAUUUGGAAGAACAUAAUUAGAUAAUAUUCUAAGUUAUUUUUAAUGAAAAUUGAUAAUUACCUUUUAAUUAUCAAAUUCACUAUUUCUAUUUAUUUUUGUAAUAUAUAUUAAUUACUAAAAUCAUUUAUUUCCUUUAUUUAGUUUGAAAGCAAUUAUAUAUCUUUUGUUUGUGUAGAGCUCAUGUGACACGACAAAUUUUAUUUUGUAACUUGCUCUGGAUGAAUGGCCAUUAUAAACUUCAUUUUAUCCUCAUCUGAUUUUGAGGUGGGAAUAGGAGAGAUGAGGAUUUGACAUUUGGACCUAAGCCUCAGAGGGUUUUAACUCCACUCAACUACUUUAUGCCUUGUAUUUAAUAUUGCAAACCAAAAUAAUAACAGACAUGAUCCUUUUCAAAAUUUUUAUAAUAAUAGAAGUGUAAAUAAUAUAAGUAAAAAUAAUAUAAUAUUUUUUAAAAUGAUAAAAUAAUAGGUUAUAUAAAUUUUAAUAUAUAGGUAAAAUUAAUUAAAUUUUAACAAAUACCUUCACACUUAAACAUUACAUAUCUUUUAUUUAAUAAAAUGUUAAAAUAUUAAUAUAUUUAAAAUUGUAUAAUUAUUUUUUAUUUUAAUACUAUAUAAAUUAUAUAUUUAUGAUAUUACUGGUUCAACUAUAAUUCAAUCACUGAUCCAACCAUUGAACCAUGAAUUAGUAAAUUUUUUUAUUCAAUGAUAGGUUUGAUUCUAAAAAUAUUAUGACUAUGUUUGGUUCCAGAAAUUUUUUUUUGAUGGAUUACAUCAAUCUAGAUAAUGACAAAGAUAUUACCAAUUUGAUAUCACCAAUUGAUAACACAAUUAAAAAAUAAUAUGCAUUUUAACAUAUUUGAAUUCAUUGUACUCAUAUCCAUGACCUAAUUUUACACAUCCUUAAAUCAUGGUUGAUUUAUGAAACAAAUCUAUACCAUCAAUAGAAAAUAAAUAAAUAAAAUAAUACAAAAAAAUAUAUAGAUAGUCAAGCAUAGCAAUUUACCAAACCCUUAGCCACCAUCCAUACUAACCAAUUGUUGUUAAAUGUUUACAAAAAUAUACAUUAAAUCAAAGAGUAAAAAGAUUAAAAACGAACAAGAGAGAAGAAAUACAUCACCUAAUUUUUGUAAUAAAUGAAAUUAUAAUAAAUUCAUAAUUUUUUUAAAUUAAAAUAGAAAUUCAAAUACAUGUAACUAUUGUUUUUGUCUUGUAAAUCAUCCAAUUUUUCAAUGAAUUUAAACUCCACAUAUUUGUGUAGAUAUCUUAUUAAAAAAAACAAAAAGUUUUCACUAAAAUCAUAAAAUUUAGAUUAGAAAUGAUUUACUAUAUUAGUUCAAAAUUCAUCUCCACAAAAAUUGAAAUAAAUUAAUUAUCUUGAUCAAUUCAAAUAAAAUUUCUCCAAUUAAAUUUCCAAAUAUGUGCCUUAAUACCUAUAAUGGAAUUAGUAAUUUUAAUUAAAAAAUAAAUAAAAAUAAGGAUUUGAUCUUUUUCUUACCAUUUGAUGAAAAUUAUAAAAUAUACUAAAAUGACAAGUGAUCAGACAUUUGAAAUUUGCAUCAUUUCUACCAUUGCAAACACCACCAACUCCAUAUUUCCCAUUUUUCUACCUACUGCCAAUUCACUCAUCUCUCUGGGAAGAUUUUUGAGGUUAUCGCCAUGCUUGAGAUAAUCCAGAAAGUUGAGCGGCAUCACUCUCUGAAAGGUGCCUUACAGCAUGGGUAAUGUAUGGGAUACAUCUGAUAGCUUGCCAUAUCCAUAAACCACUAUAUUAAACCAUGGUUCAUAUCCCCAACGCCACACGAGAAUCUGUACUCAUCCCAAGCAGCUUGGAGAUCAUAAAAUUAGGUUUUGAGGGCCUCCCGAGACAUGCACAGCUUCACCUUUGUGCAUUCCUUUGAUUUGGAAAAUUUCUUCUGUAAAAUCCCCCAUUAUCAUGCCCUGAACCAAGACAAUUUCACAAUAUCCAAUAGCAUAUCAUUUACUUCCAUUUUGUCAAUGGGAAUUACCAUUUUGCAUGGGAAGCACCAACGGAGAUAGGGGUUUUCAAAUUGGAUCACUAGCAAAGAAACCCACCGCAACGAUCUGAAUAAUUGAGCACAACAUCCACUUUAGAGAACCCCUCCUGAAGGCGAAAUCGUCAUCUUGGCUAAACGUAGUCAUAGUUGGGUUGUGAGAAAUGGAGAUGAAUCACAGAAGGCUUUCAGUUUGAUAGCAACGAAAAGGUAAAUGUACUCUAGAGAAGUUUUGACCUUGGGAGAAGCGCUUUUGAAUCCAAGUCAAGGUCUGUUCUGGAUCCCUUUUCGACUCUCUCUAUUAAAGGAAGAUAAUCUGCCCAGGAUUUGGAUGCAAGCCUACAAGGCCAUGUUUAGGAGACUUAUGCAAAAUAUUUAUCCAUAGCUCCCCGCCUGAAACAUCUACAUAAAGCGUCUUCCAAGUGUGAACCAUCGUCUUGGGUCCUUGAGAUGAACAAAAACUGAGACAUGUCGUGAGUUAGAUGCAUUGCCUGAAAAUGCCGAGCAGUAGUAUGGCCUUCUUUCUGAUCAACUGUUUUGUCAAAUUCUAGAGCUCUCAUUCCAAAUCCAUCAGUUUUCUCAAAUGAUUGGCCAGUGGAGAUCCAUGGAUAUAACAUAUGAAAUGUGCACAAUAAAAGUAAUCAAACGGUUGGUUGGUUUGGCUGAAUCCCACAAUCGCAAAGACUUAUCAUAUGAAACUGUUACCAACUGAGUUGAAUUUGGCCUAAAAAGGAUAUCCGUUACUACAAACUAGCGUUCUUUCGUGGUGCUCUCUCUUUGCAGGCUAUCCAUGUUCCAAAGAAAAACUCUCUUGUCAUGUCUGGCACUGGGCACUGAUUAGAGUGUGGGACGUUCAUUCUCCAUUAUCACCAAACACAUGCAGGAUAUAUAUAUAUCAAUUCAUUCAAAAUAUGCCUUUAUUUUAUGGAACAUACCCGAAUCCAUUUUGUUUGUGUUGAAGAGGUAUAGAUCUUCUAAGGCUAUGGAGGGCACCACCUUUUCUCAGAAUUCUCUCUGACGAUGGGAAGCCGAAGAGAACGGGUUUUGUUUUUAUUUUGAAAACGUUGUUAUCCUUAAAGAACAAACACUAUUCUUUGGAUUUAUACCCUCCUACCUUAGGGACCAUACCGUUUGGCUACUGGGCCUCACGAGUCUUAGGCCCAUCAUCUAAGGCCCGUGAUGGCACUGGGCUCUACACAUAAGGUGGCCCAUACUCUAGAACGAAUAGAAAUCAUAUGUAUAUAUAUGGAUAGCUAAAUCCUGAAUAAUGGUUAAUAUGAUGUCGGUCCACAUUUAUUCUAUCAAUCUCCCACUUGGACCACAUAUAUUACAAAACAAUGUUCAUGAUAGUACUUUAUUGAGCUCAUCUUUGCUAUCCUAUCUUAAUAUCCUUAAACAAUCUGGUCUACUAGUUAUGCUAACAUAGGAUCAAAGUGGCCUUCAUUAAUCAUAAUUAUAACUAGACCCAUCAAUGAUCACAACAUUAACAAAAUUAGCAACAUAGAUCAAGUAUGGAUGUGUAGCAUGAAAAUUACAUAAAAUGUGAUCUUUAUUAUGUCUAUUUCCAAUUGGUCCUACUUUAUGACUAAAAAAUAGUCAAAUUCCACUUUCAACACUUGAUGCUAAACUGCUUCUGAAAGUCAUCAUUUCAAUUCAGAGAAUUCAAAUACAAUAGUCUUUAAAAUCAAGGUUUGUUGCGUACAUUAUUGGAAUGUUCAGCAAAUAUUUGAGUAACCCAAGUAUGGAUUACUGGAAAAAGGCAAAAUAGGUUAUGCGGUAUUUACAAAGAACUAAAGAUUAUAUGCUCACAUACCGUAGAUCCAGUCAUUUAGAGAUCAUGGGAUAUUCGGACUCCGAUUUCGCGGGAUGUCUUGACAACAAGAGAUCCACUUCAAGCUUCAUCUUCAUGUUGGCUAGAUGAACAGUUUCAUGGAAAAGUGUUAAACAAAUACUUAUUGCUUCUUUCACCAUGGAGGCAGAAUUCAUAGCCUACUACAAAGCAUCAAACCAUGGGAUAUGACUGCGGAAUUUUGUCACUCAGUUGCGAAUCGUUGAUGAGAUUGAGAAAUCAUUAAGAAUAAAUUGUGAUAAUAAAGCCAUAGAAUUGUAAUUCUAAGAACAACCGAAGUUCGUCAAAGUCCAAACACAUUGACAUCAAGUUCUUGGUUGUGAAAGAAAGAGUUUAGAGUCUUCAAGUAUCAAUUGAACAUACAAGCACAAACUCCAUGAUUGCGGAUCCGCUCACUAAGGGUUUGCCACCCAAAGUAUAUCAUGAGCAUGUCACACAUAUGGGUGUUGUACAUAUUGAUGAUGUUCCAGUAUAGUGGGAGUUUGUAUUUAGAUUUUGUGUUUGUUUUCUUGAUAUGAUGUUAUAUUGUGUUAUCGUGUACAAACUUGUGCAUACAUGAGACUUCCUAUUGUUGAGGCAUAGGGAAACCUCUUCAUAUCCUUCUUUUUAAGUUCAUUUUUCGGACAUUGGUGCAAACUAAAUUUAUCGCCUUUUGCUACAGGCAUGUCUCCUGGUGUACAAUUGCUCAUGCCAAAUCUACUCAACACCUUAUCGAUGUAGGCCUUUUGUGAUAACCCAAGUAUACCUCUUAAACGAUCCCUAUAGAUCUGUAUACCUAGCAAAAAAGAUGCAUUACCAAGAUCCUUCAUGUCAAAUUUACUAGACAAAAAUAGCUUAGUUUCAUGCAAAAGUCCCACAUCACUACUUGCAAGUAGAAUAUCAUCAACAUAUAGCACCAAGAUAAUGAAUUUGCUCCCACUAAACUUGAGAUAUAUGCAUUGAUCAAUGGUGUUUUCCUUAAAACCAAAUGAAGUAAUCACCUGAUUAAACUUUUGGUACCAUUGUCAAGAUGCUUGCUUUAAACCAUAUAUGGACCUUUUUAAUCUGCAUACAAGUUGCUUUAAAUCAUUAGACUCAAAGUUCUCCGGUUGCAUCAUGAAUAUUGUUUCAUCAAUGUUACCAUUAAGAAACGCAGUUUUAACGUCCAUUUGAUGCAACUCUAAAUCAUAAUGAGCCACAAGUGCCAUGAUGAUUCUAAAGGAGUCAUUUGACAAAACCGAUGAAAAAAUCUCCUUAUAAUCAAUGUCUUCCUUUUGAGUGAAACCUUUUGCGACUAGACGUGCCUUAUACCUAACAAUGUUGCCUUUUGAAUCCCACUUGGUCUUAAAAAUCCAUUUACAACCAAUCGAUUUUACACUUUCAGGCAACUUUACUAGGUCCCAAACACCAUUAUCUUUCAUUGAUUUCAUCUCAUCUUUUAUGGCUUCUAUCCACUUUUCAGAGUCAGAACUUUGUUUGACUUGACUAACUGAAAUUGGAUCAUCUUCCAAACCCAUGUCAAACUCUUGUUCCUGGAGAUGUACAACAUAAUCAUCUGAAAUUGUACUUCUCAUUUCUCUAGUGGAUCUCCUUAGUGGCACUUGUAUUUGAGGUUCUUGAGGCUGUUGAGUUACCUCUUCAUAAACUUGAACCGGUUCCAUAACUUGAGCAGGAGGAAUCUCAAGUGUGUUUUGAAUCUCUGUUAUUGAUUGUACAAUCUGGAUAGUGUCAUCAAACAUAAUAUGACCAUGUCCAGUCGUAAUAAUAGGAAUACUAACAGAUUCCUCUUCAAAUACCACAUUUCUUAACGGUUCUCUCCCAUUUAACUCAACAUCCUCAAUAAAUUUAGCUUUGCCCGUUUCAAAAAAGGAUCUAGUUGAGGGGUCAUAAAACUUGAAACCUCUCAACCUUUUAGAAUAUCCUACAAAGUAGCAGCUCACUAUUCUAGAGUCCAAUUUCUUUUCAUUUGGUUUUUAAGGCCUAUCUUCAGCUGGACAACCCUAGACAUGCAAGUGCCUAAUACUAGGUUUCUUGCUAGUUCAUAACUCAUAUGAGGUUUUGGCUACUGCUUUGCUUGAGACUCUAUUCAAAAUAUAAAUUGUUGUUUUGAUGGCUUCGCCCUAAAGUGAUUCUGGUAAGGUGGAAUGACUGAUCAUACUUCUUACCAUAUCCUUAAGAGUACGAUUUCGCCUAUCUGCUACACCAUUUUGGAUUGGAGUCCCCAGCAUGGUGUAUUGAGGAACGAUACCACACUCCAUCAAAUAUUUGGCGAACAGCCCUGGACGUUGUUCACUAGAUCCGUCAUAUCUACCAUAAUAUUCACCUCCACGGUCAGAUCUGACGACCUUUAUUUUCUUGCUUAGUUGGUUCUCAACUUUAGCUUUGAAAUUCUUGAACACAUCUAAUGAUUGAGACUUCUCAUGAAUCAAAUAAAGAUAGCCAUAGCGCGAGUAAUCGUCAAUGAAAGUGAUAAAAUAUUAUUGUCCAUUCCAAGAAGGGGUAGGAGAUGGACCACAAAUGUCCGUAUGUAUCAAUUCAAAGACGUCACUGCACUUGUUAACAUCAUUUUUUUUCUCAUAUUUGUUUGUUUACCCUUAAUAUACUCUAUACAGACUCGAAAGUAUAAGAAAUUAAGUGGAUCAAGAAUUCAUUCUGACACAAGCCUUUGAAUACGUUGAUUUGAAAUAUGACCCAAAUGCCUGUGCCAUAACAUCGAUGAAUUCUCAUUUGUUAAUUUCCGUUUAAUGUCAUAAUUACUUGAAUUCAAGGUUUCAUUUUCAUUAGUGGUCUUUAUGUUUAAUUUGUAUAAUUUGUCUGUUAGAUUACCUGUACCAAUAACAUUUGAAUUUAGAUAAAGACUAACCAUUCCAUUUCUAAAUGAACAAUAAUAUCCAAAGUACAUCCAGAGUCUAACUGUAAUCUAAAAAGACCAAUAGUCUUGACUGCAACCUUGUUGCCAUUUCCCGCAUAGAUGUAUCUUUCACCAUCAAUUGGCAUUCGGCUCCUUAGGCAACCCUACAUCGUGACACUUAUGUGAGUAGUUGCACCCGUAUCUAUCCACCAAGUGUCAGUAGGCACUACGACUAAAUUAAUUUAUGAACAAACAAAGUUGAGAAGUGUACCUUUCUUUUCACGCCAAGCAGCGUAUUUGGUACAUGUCUCUUCAUAUGACCAACCUUCUUGCAAAAGAAACAAGUCAUCUCCUUAUCUUGUUUCUUCUACACCUUUUGCAUUGAUGUCCCAAAAAUUGCAGUUUGUUUUUCUUUAUUGUCCCUUUUUCUUUUCUUGUUGGUACCAAAUCCCUGAGAUGUGGAAGCCAAGUGAGCACUUUCUAUCUUUUCUUGUUUCAAUCUCUCAUCCUUUUGUGCACAUUGAGCAAUAAGCUCAUUCAAAGUCCAUUUUUCUUUUUGUGUGUUGUAACUGAUUUGGAAUGGACUGAAUUGUGUAGGCAGAGAGAUCAAGACCAAGUGCACGAGUAUGUCUUCUGAAAACUCUAAUUUUAGUACCUUUAGUCUAGUCACAAGAUUAGACAUUUCCAUAAUAUACUCCCUUAUAUUCUCUUUCCCUUUGUACCGCAUAGAGACAAGCUUACUAAGAAUAGUGCUUGUCUCAACCUUUUCAUUUGUAGUGAAUCGGUUUGCUAUCUGGUCUAAGAAUGCCUUGGCUCGAGUUUUCUCAGGUAUUGCACUUCUUACAGCUUUUGGAAUUGAGUGCUUUGUUAUCAUUAGAGUCAUGCGAUUGGAUCGCUCCCAUUUUUCCAUAGUAGAACUUUGCUCAGCAGUGCUGGCACUAGUAAGAUCUGGAGGGCGAUCCUCUCUUAAUGCAUAGUCUAAAUCCAUGCACCCGAGCACAAUUAUAGCGUGUUUCUUCCAUUUCUUGAAGUUUGUGCCAUUAAGUGCAGGAAUGUUAUUAACAUUUGCAGAUAUAGAAUAUGUUGAAUUCAUAAUAAUAAAGCUCACAAUCAGUCACAUAAAUAUCAUACAUACAUGAAAAAUAACAUCAUACAAGAUACUUAGCACAAACAUUAAUAUUCUGUCUUUGGACAAUAAAUAUUAACUUGUAAUUGGUAUCCUUAUUCAAAAUUAUUCAUAAAUAUUGACAAUAAAACCAAAAACAAUAUGCUUGUCUUUAGACUAACAUAUCGAAUGCAAGAUAAACUUUAUAUGUCACAUAUUUAUGACUACUUUAUUUAUUAUUAUAUUAAAAUAAUCUUCCUUUGGGCCAAUUAUUUUAAAUAAUAAUAAUAACAUGUUUAGAUAUUAUAAAAUAAAUAAAUUAUAUAAUAUAAGUUACUUUGACAACUAACAUACAUAAUUCAUUUAUUUUAAAAUAUUAAACACAAACAUAACAAGAAAUAAUAAAUUCAAUUAAAAUUAUUUAUUUAUUUAUGCAUAAACCCAUGUAUAUAUAUAUAUAUAUAUAUUAAUUGAAGCAUAAAAAACCAUCUACAUGUGUAUAUAUAUCAAUUGAAGCAUAUAUACAAGCUUUAGUCUAAUGGUUUAAGCAAAAAAUAGGCCAUGGUAAAGGGUUUAAGCCAACCCGCCCCUUUAGUUUGGUUUUUGUUUUUUUUUUUUUGUUUUAAUUUCUUUUGGGCUACUGACCAUGCAUUCUCUCAUGGCCCAACGACCACUUAUGGUCACUUACAAGCCAAGCCCCUUCCAUAUAUAUAUAUAUAUAUAUAUGUUUUUAUUUAUUUAUUUAAAUUUUGUCCAUUGCAGCCCAAAGCGACCAUCCCUUGUAAUGGCAUCAUCAACGGUGCCAGAGCUGUCCUCGAACGACACCGAUAGUGAAACGCUGCCACCAUCACCGGAACGGUGAUUUCCCAUCGCCAAACGACGGUGUCACUACCGGAAUGAUGCUGUAACAGCAUCGCUGGGAAGCAACCUAACUUGUGGCGUGACACCAUGACAAGCAAUGCCACUAGCAGUGAAACGCUGUCGCCAUCACCGAAACGGUGAUUUUCCAUUGCCAAACAAUGGCGCCACCACCGGAACAACGUUGAAACAACAUCACUGGGAAGCAGCCCUACCCGUGGCACCAAAAUGGCGCUUGGAUGGCAUUUGGAACACUUGCAACAACGUUCAAAUCAGCGCUUCUCACUGGCAAAUGACGCUUGAACGACAUCUGGAAAUAAUGCCUACAACGCCUAAAAAUUGUGCUAUUUUGAACUCUUAAAACAACGUUGAAAUGACGUCUACCAAAGUCUGGAAUUGCACCGCUGUCUAGAACGAUGCCAUGAUGGUGUCUCACUCGCCUUAAAUGGCACCAACCACCAUGACUUGCAACCUAAAAAAUGGCACUUGAACAGCGCCUGAAGCGUGCCUGGAACGACGCUACAAACGAUGCCUGAAAUGGUGCCUUUUGUAUGCCUGAAAACGACAUAGGAAUGACGCUUAAACUACGUCCAUUUUGAACGCCUGAACGGUGUCCUAACGGCGCCUGAAACGAUGCCUGAAUGACGCCUGGAAUUGGCCCAGAUUUAUUUUAUGUUGUUUCCUUCCUCUUGGAUCUUUUGUUUGUGUUUUAAAAAAAAAAAUGUUUUGGUGAAAAUGGGAAAUGCAACCAGGCUCUGAUACCAUUUUGUGGGACGUUCAUUCUCCAUUAUCAUCGAACACAUGCAAGAUAUAUUUAUAUAUAUCUAUCAAUUCAUUCAAAAUAUGCCUUCAUUUUAUGGAACAUACCCGAAUCCAUUUUGUUUGUGUUGAAGAGGUACAGAUCUUCUAAGGCUAUGGGGGGUACCACCUUUUCUUAGAAUUCUCUAUGACGAUGGGAAGCCAGAGAGAACAAGUUCUAUUUUUAUUUUGAAAACGUUGUUAUCCUUAAAGAACAAACACUAUUAUUUGGAUUUAUACUCUCCUACCUUAGGGACCAUACCCUUUGGCUAUUGGGCCUCACGAGUCUUAGGCCCAUCAUCUAAGGCUCGUUAUAGCACUAGGCUCUACACAUAAGGUGGCCCAUACUCUGGAAAGAAUAGAAAUCAUAUGUAUAUAUAUGGAUAGCUAAAUCAUGAACAAUGGUUAAUAUGAUGUCGGUUCACAUUUAUUAUAUCAUAGAGACUUCCCAUAUGAAGAAAAUCGACAGCAGGUAGCUUUGCCAUUCUUAGUCUGUAUACAACCAACCUUAGCAAGGAUUGAACCCUUUUAUGCUUAGUUGUGCCAUAAAGAUCCUUACCACUGCCUAUAACAUGUAAUCAAAAUGAUUCGAUAAUAUCAUCUAGUGAACCAAUACCUCCAAAUGAGAGACCAUUGCCUUGGUAACUAGGGCUCAUGACUGAGAAUUGCUUGAACCCCUUUGCUUGGGUUGGAGCUUGACUGAUGCACAAAAUAUUCAUAGGCCUCUUCCCAUAACUGGCACCUUGUGUUUGCAACAUAAUUGAACAUGUAUUGAAGUGAGUUUUUUUGCAUCUUUUUGUAAGAAAAUUCUAAACAACAGAGAUUGCUUAGUGUGCCCGGCUCCUCGGGGAAUCAAGGUUCAUUCCUGUAGGGCCAAUUUUUUCACAGUCGAACUAGAUAACAUGGAGAGUAUGUUGCAAUGCUUCAACGGGGUAUUUCUUAGGAAAAUCCACCUGAAGCUAGUACAAUUCGUUGGCGUACUGAGUUCCUGGAGCUCUAUUGACUUCAAUCACCCAUCUUUGUAGAUUAUCGGUGACUUAUGCUCGGAUCCUGUAGGAGGAUUGACCUGACAUUCCACUAGCUCUUUCUGGAAGGCGAUCUUGUUUAACACCUUGUGAGAAGAGGCAAGGGAACUGGUCAUUGUUUCUUCGAGAAGAUCAGUGGCCGAGGAUGGGUUUGGAUCAGAAUUGCUAUAUGGGUUUUCUUUGGGUGAACCAAUUAGUGAAGUGGGUGGCUAUAUAGCAACUGAAGGGUAGUCAUACUAACGAGGAACUAUUAUUUCAUGCAUGUGGAGAGGAAAUGAGUAGAUUCUUCAGGGAUAUAUGAUUAUUCAUCUCUAGCUUACGUUGAAUAUCUCCUAACAAAUUUAUGCUUUGAAGCUCCCUUAGUUUCAUUACAGCUAACUUGGCCAACUUGGUUUCAUCAUGUUUCCUACAACCUCUAAGCAAAGCACGCCAGAUCACCAAAUCAGGUUCUAUUCGCAUUUUGUCCAUAAACUCCUUUGCCUAUUGACAAUAGACUGCCCCUCAAAAUUUGAUGAGAUAACAUCAACGCUGACAGGUUGGCCAUCCCCAUAAGCAUCUUUAUAGAGAUUGAUUCUAUGUUUAGAUAUUUCUCUCUCCUCAAGUGAGUUCAAUUUUUUUGUAACAUCCUUCUCCUUCUCUACUAAUAGUCUUAGCUGAACAUCCAACCUAUGUUCCUAAAGUGCCAGCAUCUCAUAUCUGAUGACAAGCCAACAACCUUGCCCUUGCUGAGACCAAUGUUUUUAAGGCGUUUGUGGGGCGCGCCUUGAGGCGAGGCGCAGCGAAAACGUGUUGAGGCGUUAAAAAUAAAAUGAAACACCUGAAAGGCGUACGCUUUUCCGAUGAGGCGUGAUUGAGGCGUGCUUUGAUCGCGCCUUUCACACUCCAAGAAGAAGGUGUAUGCUUCCUCGGAUCUGAUGUGGCAAUGAACAGAGAUUUAAAAAAAAACCCUAAGUAAUCCCUAAAACCCUAGUCCCGACUGAAAACAAACCCAAAACGAAACCCUACCUCCAACGACUCAAGUGGCGACGGAGUGCUCACCCUCGGCUGCGACCAAUCGCAAUGCAUCUUCUCCGGCGACGAUCCCUCUCAUUCAUCUCCAGGUAUGUUGCGAACUCCUUCUUCCAUGGUUUCUCCCUCUUCGUUUCUCUUUCUGCAAUCCACACGGGCUUCGUCGACUCUUCAUCCAAAUUUUUUUUUUAUCAAAUCAGUUAUGUAUAUCUAUUUAAAUUUUAAACCCUUUUUUCUCUCUCUUACAGUAUAUCUAUUUAAAUUCUUUCUCGGCAAUCCACAGCCCACACUUCCAGUCCACACUUUUCUCUCUCUCCCAAUAGGCUUUUCAUUUUCCUUUUUUUUUUUUUUUUUUUUUUAAAUUAUCAAAUCAAAUGUGCCUUUUGUUAAUAAGAUUUUUUUUGAAGUUUUUUAUAUGUUUGCUUAUAGUAUCAACAAAAAAAUAUAAUUAAAAUUAUAUAAAAGACAAUUAUUUGUGAAUUUUGAAUUUUUUAUUUCUGGUUUAAUUUUAAUUUUCACCUCAAUUUUCUUUAUUUCAUUAUUAAAUUCCAAUUAAAAUUUAUGUGUAUAAUUUUUAAACUCUUUUAAAAAAAAUUGGUUUUUUUUUAAUUUAAACCAAUUAAAUUUUGUAUUUCAUUUUUAAAUUUCUUUCAAUUGUGCUUUGUUAUUAUUUUUUUAGUCAAUUAUAUUGUUAUAUGGAAAUUUGAAUAUUAUUAUUGGUGAUUUUUUUUAGAAUGAGUUCCUCUGAUUCAAAAAAUUCAAGAAAGGAUUUUGUGUGGAAGUAUGUGAUGGAAGUUUCUAGAGAGCAAUAUUUAAUAUGUAAAUUUUGCAAUCAAAGAUGUACGGGAAGGGUGAAUAGACUAAAACAUCACUUAGCCGGAACUCAUCAUGGUAUGAAACCAUGCAACAAAGUUAGUGAAGAUGCUAGAUUGGAAUGUAAAGAGGUAUUGGCUAAUUUUAAGGAUCAAAAAACGAAGAGAAAUGAAUUGCUCCAAGAAAUUGGUAUGGGUCCAACUUCAAUGCAUGAAAGUGCCUUGUCUAAAAUAAUAGGGACAUUAGGGAGUGGGAGUGGGAGUGUAAGUGGGAGUGGGGAACCUAUUCCUAGGGGACCCAUGGAUAAAUUUACCACUUCACAACCUAGACAAAGUACUUUGAAUUCAUAGUGGAAGCAAGAAGAAAGGAAGGAAGUGUGUAGAAAAAUUGGUAGGUUUAUGUAUUCAAAAGGUCUCCCAUUCAACACUGUGAAUGAUCCUUAUUGGUUUCCUAUGAUAGAUGUUGUUGCAAACUUUGGGCCCGGGUUUAAGCCUCCAUCUAUGCAUGAAUUGAGGACAUGGAUUCUUAAAGAAGAGGUGAAUGACCUAAGUAUCAUUAUGGAAGAUCACAAAAAAGCUUGGAAACAAUAUGGAUGUUUAAUUAUGUCAGAUGGUUGGACAGAUGGAAAAAGUAGGUGUCUUAUCAAUUUUUUGGUGAAUAGUCCUGCUGGAACUUGGUUUAUGAAAUCAAUUGAUGCUUCUGAUACAAUAAAAAAUGGGGAAUUGAUGUUCAAAUAUCUUGAUGAGGUGGUUGAAGAAAUUGGAGAGGAGAAUGUUGUGCAAGUCAUCACUGAUAAUGCCUCUAAUUAUGUGAAUGCUGGAAUGAGGCUUAUGGAAAAAAAGAGUAGAUUGUGGUGGACUCCUUGUGCUGCUCAUUGCAUUGAUUUGAUGUUAGAGGAUAUUGGAAAGCUAAAUGUUCAUGCUACUACACUUUCUCGAGCUAGGCAAGUUGUGAAGUUUAUAUAUGGGCAUACUUGGGUUCUUAGCUUGAUGAGAACAUUUACAAAAAAUCAUGAACUUAUUCGUCCAGCAAUUACACGGUUUGCUACUGCAUUUCUUACUCUCCAAAGUCUUUAUAAGCAAAAGCAAGCUCUUAUAGCAAUGUUCUCCUCAGAAAAAUGGUGUUCAAGCACAUGGGCUAAAAAGGUAGAAGGUGUGAAAACUCGAAGUACAGUGUUGUUUGAUCCAAAUUUUUGGCUUCAUGUUGCUUUUUGCAUAAAGACCACUGUUCCAUUAGUUAGUGUCUUGAGAGAGGUUGAUUCAGAGGAAAGACCAGCCAUGUGUUAUAUUUAUGAGUUGAUGGAUUUAGUUAAGAAGAAGAUUGCAUUUAAUUGUCGGGGCAUGGAGAGAAAAUAUGACCCAAUUUGGAGAAAAAUUGAUGCAAGAUGGACUCCGCAACUUCAUCGACCUUUACAUGCAGCAGACUAUUAUCUUAAUCCUCAAUUGCGGUAUGGAGAUAAGUUCUCUAAUGUUGAUGAGGUGAGGAAGGGAUUAUUUGAAUGCAUGGAUAGAAUGUUGGAUUAUCAAGAACGUUUAAAAGCUGACAUUCAGUUGGACUCAUAUGACCAAGCAAUGGGUGAAUUUGGGAGUCGUAUUGCAAUUGAUUCUCGAACAUUAAGAAGUCCUACAAGUUGGUGGAUGCGUUUUGGGGGUUCAACACCGGAGUUGCAAAAGUUUGCUAUUCGAGUCCUUAGCCUUACUUGUAGUGCUUCGGGAUGUGAAAGAAAUUGGAGCACAUUUGAAUCGGUAAUACUUCUAUUUUUGUAAAUUUUUAUACAUAUAUUUCUAUUUCAAUGUUAGAGAACUUUAUUUCAUUUUAACACAUAAAAUUGUUUCUUUUAUUAUUUGUAGAUCCAUACAAAAAAAAGAAAUAGACUUGAACAUCAAAAGUUGAAUGCUCUAGUGUAUGUAAGGUACAACACUAGAUUGAGAGAGUGAAGUCUACAAAGGAAACAAAAUGUUGAUCCAACCUUGGUAGAGGAGAUUGAUUCUGAUGAUGAAUGGAUUGCGGAGAAAGAAGAUCUCCUCCUCCCCCUUGAUCUUUGUUGGCUUCAAGAUAAUGAAUUAUUCAAUGUUGAUGCCAUUAGAGUUGUGUCAUCCAACUCCCAAGAGACGCAAGCAUCAUCGGAUCAUAUGGUUUCUUCACAUUCCUACAAAAGGAAACAUAAUGAAGUACCAAGUAAGUACUCAAAAAUUGAAAUCAUAAAUUUGAUUAAAUUUAAUAAAAAAAACUUUUAAUAUUUAAACAUAAUUAAUACUUUAUGCUAGGUACAAGUGGAGGCAAAGGCAAAGAGAAGGAAUUGAAUUUGACACCAAUUGAUGAAGAUGAAGAUUUAGAUGAAAUGGGGAUACAUGAUAGUGGACAUUUUCCUACUAUUGAUACAUUGGAUGAGGAUGAUGAUGACCUUGGAGAGGAGGAUUUAAGUUGAAACAAUUUACUCUAGUUGUUAUUUCAUGACUUAGUUAUGGAUUUUUUGUAAAAGUUUAGAACUAUUAUUAUGGUUGACUCUAUUUUCUAUUUCAUGACUUAGUUAUGGCUUUUUGUUAAAGUUUGAAACUAUUAGUAUAGUUGAAUCUAUAAUCUAUUUUAUGAAUUUGUUAUGGUUUUUUGUGAAAGUAAGGAACUAGUAUGUUUUUUUUUAUGAUUCUAAUGAAUUGUUUUCAUGUUUUUAUUUAUGCUAUUUUAUUUUAUAUAUUUUAAAAUAUUAAUUAAUUAUAUAAUGUGAGGCUCAAAAAGCUUACGCCUCAAUGCCUCGAGGCUUACGCCUCGCCUCACGAACACAAAAACGCCUCGCCUUACGCUUUCGCCUUUAAAAACUUUGGCUGAGACCCAAAUAAGUAUCCAGAACCAUCAUCAUCAACCCUUUCACAAGCCUUUGUAUUUGAAGGUCAGAUUGGGAUUGCUUUGAAUGCACUGACACUGACACUGCAAUACACAAUUGUUUCUUCUCCAAUAAAAACACCACAAAGAGGUGAGGGGACUGGUAUUAGCAAAGAAGUGUUGUUAUCUAUAUUGUUCUGAGCCCGAGUACCAAAAACAAAAUCCUCAUCCUCAUCUAUACUCUUCCAUUACAUCCCUAGGCUUUUCAAUGUGAUCCACAUGGCUUACAGGAAUCCAGAAAUAUCGGUCUGUAUAAAAGUUGCUCUUAUGUGGCUCUCCUAGAAAACAUCCCAAUCAAGAUGAUCAACCUAGCUUAGAUGCUCAACACCCCAAACUUACGAGAAAUAGAGGAAUAAAAAGCAAGGAUAGGAGCCAAAGUAAAAACUGAGGGAAGAGCAAAUAGGAAAUCAAGCAAAACAUGAAUGUACAGAGCCUCAUUUCAGGUGACAUCUUUGGGCUAAUAAUAGGUGGAAUUAACAAAGUAGAUAAGCAUGAUUGUUAUAAAUAUCAAGUUCAAGGAUGAAGUCGUGCAUCAGCUACUUAUAGGGGGAGUCAAGGAAACCAAGAUAAGAUCAAAGAGAGCAUGUAUGCAAAUAAACAGAUUUGACAAAAUAGACCAAACAGCUUGUGAAUAUCCUCCUACAAAAAACUACUACACGUGGCAAAAAGUGAUGAAGCAAAAAGAGUCGGGUCCGCAUAUACAUAUCCUAUGCUAUCCUAUUCCUUCAAAUCCAAAGCAACCUGUAUUUUCAAUGGGAUUUGUUGUGAUGAAUUUUACUGGAUUGUAACAUGUAAAUAUGUUAAAAAAGGCUUGGGACAUUCCUAUAUAGUAACGCAUAAAGGUACUUCCAUUGUGAAGUUGUCAAAAUUGCAAAUUUAAAUUACAAAAUUUGAAAACAUAGAGAUGAAAGAUGAUGAAACCUUCUUUGAAAUUUUAUAUUGAACUCAUUAAUAUUAUUAAUUUUCAUUUCAGUCUAAGGGAAAGAAUUCUUUACUCUAAAGUGGUCACAAAAAUAUUAAAAUUCCUUGUCGAGAGAUUUAGAUCUAAAGUGAUCAAUAUAGAAGAAAGUAAAAAUAUUCUAAGUGUAGGUAAACUUGUAGACUCAAAUGACUCUACCUUCUCAUAAAAAAUCCUCAAUUUUAUAAAUUAUAUAGAUUUCUUCAUUUGAUACAAAAUUUGAAUAAAGAUUUUUCAAAUGACAACACAAGGAAAGGGAAAAAAAAAAUCUAUCCAGAUCAUAUUAUUUAAUCACUUAAAUUAUUUAAAAAUAAAAAUGUUUACUGCUAACAUUAUUUAGGUUCAUCUUUCUUUUGAUGGAGGUUAAAAUUCAUAAUUUUGAGGAAAAAGAUGAGGAUUCUCAUUUUUUUUUUCCAUGUAUGAAUGGGAUUCUCAUUGUGUAUAUGUGGGUUACUAAAUGGCAAAUUUGGGGGCCAAUAUGAGGGAAAAAAUGAAGUUGAGUUUGUCACCAAGAAUAGACAUGGUUCCUACAAAGGUGGCAUCUUUAAUUUCAUGUUUGGAUUGGACUUGUCAUGUAACAACUUAACAAGUGAAAUCCCUCAUGAACUUGGAAUGUUAAGUUUGAUUCAUGCAUUGAACUUGUCUCGUAAUCAACUAAAAGGCUCCAUUUCAAAGAGUUUUUGCAAUCUUUCUCAAAUAGAGAGCUUAGACCUUUUUAAUAAUAAACUAAGUGGAAAAAUUCCUCCAAAAUUGGUUAGACUAAACUUUUUAGCAGUGUUCAAUGUUAGCAUAUUCGGAAGAGUUUUAGAUAUGAAUGCAUAAUUUGCAAAAUUUGAUGAAAGUAACUAUGAAGCUAAUCCUUUCCUUUGUGGACCACCAUUAAACAGAAAAUGUAGCAUAAAUGUUGUUGAACCACCUUACCAACCAUUAGAGUCUUCAGAAGAAAGUGAUGCAAAAUGGUAUAAUAUCAAUCUUGUUAUUUUCUUUGCAAAUUUUACUACAUCAUAUAUCAUGAUAUUAUUAGGAAUUUCAACCAUUCUUUACAUUAACCCUUAUUGGUGUCAAAUAUGGUUCAAUUUUAUCGAGAAAUAUAUAUACUUUUGCUAUUAUUUUGUUUCCUAUACUCUUUCCAAGUUAUUAACAUAUUUUGAAUAAUUAGAGAUUUUUGUUUUCAAUAAUAUUUACAUAAUUAACUACUAUUGGUUUCCAUGACAUGGAAAGAAAUGCGGUGAAGGCAACAACCACUUUUUUUUCUCCUCUACUAGUGCAUGAUUGAUAUGAGUUAAAACUUGCACCCUUAUCUUUACUUAAAUUUUCUCAGCUUUUGUUUCAAUUCUUAAUUAUCAUUUCUUUUAUGUAUUGUUUAAUACAAUAUCCUAAACACAUUGCUUUGAAGGUUACUUAUUUAUUAAGCAUGAUAUUUAUUUUCAUAAAGACAAAUUCAAGUUUUUUAGGAAUUUUUAGAAUUAUUAUAAUUUGGAGUUCACAUUAGAGGAAAAAAAGGAAAGAAAAGAAUAGAUAAUUAAAAAAACAAUUUUAGUAAGUAUAAUUUGUCAUCUUCGGUAUAACAAAUGGGAAUUCCAAAAUAAUAUUUCAAUUUGUUAGUCUAUUCCUUAUAAUAUUAAUUGAAAUAUCAAAUAAGGAGUCACGUUUUGAUUUUUUUAUUAGCUUGAAUUGCAUGUCACAUAUAUUUUAAAAUCAAGCAUACCUCAGCAGGGAAGUUCUUGUAACAUGCAUGAACAUGAUAUGAUGAAUUAAAUAAUUUUCUUAAUUGUGUGAGACACAAACCCUCUUUGUUUAAUAAUAAUAAUAAUAAUAAUAAUAUACUACACAUUAUUAAAUCAUAUAUGUAUAUUUAUAGUCGUAUAAUAUAUUUAUAUAAGUAACAAUAAAUUAUAUUGUAUAAGGUAUCGGUAGGAGUUUUCAAUUCCCUCAUAUAAUAAUAUCUAUCAAUAAUUGGAUUGGACACCUUGCUGGCCAUGAGAAUGGACUUGACAUUAACACAUAGCCUUGAGUGGUGUUGAUAUUAUUACUUUGAACCAGAACUGCAGUCAUCUCAAAAACUAUAUUAUAUAGAAAAGCAAAAUAAAAACAUUAGUUAAAAAAAAUGUCAAGAUCCUUGAAAUCACGUUUCAAUAUGUUAAAUUACCAUUUUUUUAAAUAAAUUUUUGAUAGGUUGUGUGAAUAAAUAUAAUUGCUAUGAAGGGUUUCAAUUUAAUUUUACUAGCAAAUCCAUAAUAGGUGAAAAGACAAAACUACCAUUUUUGUUUUUUUUCUUUAUUUACCUUUUUUCUCUCGUAACCUUACUCCUUUCUCCUUUUUGUUUUUUCCUUUUUUAUUAUUAAUUUGUCUUUUUCCUUUUUCUCAACUAACUAUUUUUUUUCUUGUAAUUGUUAUUAUCAUUCUUAUUAUAAAUAUUAUAACCUUAUAUUAUAAAUUUUUAGUUUAGAUUAUAUUUAAACUAACUAAUGUUGUGGUUUUAAUUGACAUGGAAAAGAAUGUGGUUAUACAUGUGAUUGUCGCCUUUUUUUUUUUCAAUUAGUUAACUAUUGAUACAAGUUAAAAGUAAAAAUUGCAAUAUUAUCUUUACGUCAAUUUCACCGAUCUUUUGUUUUUAUUUUCAUGUAUCAUUCCUUUUUUGGUUAUUUAAUUAAAAGGAUUAAAAAAAAAUCACAUAUUCACAAUAAUAACCUUCAUAUUUUAAAAACAUAAAAUAAACAUUUUUUUUUUUUUAUAAAAAUACCCUCCAACUAUAUUUUUUAUAUCCCUAUUUCAAAUCCAAACACUUCUUUUAAAAAUAAUAAUAAUAAAUAAGGGCAAAAAUGUCAAACUGGGAUUAUAUUUAUAAUUUUCAAUAAUUAGAGGUUGUUUUUCCAAUGUAAAAAUUAUUUUGUUCCUUUGGCACAAAUAUUUCUUUCUUUUAUGUAUUUUUUUUAUUCAAAAUAUUAAACACAUUACCCUCAAGGUUACUAUUUAUUAUGAAUGGUGUUUACUUUACAUAACGAGAUAUUCAAAUUUUUUAGAAUUUUUUAAUGUUAAAAUAAUUUGGAGCUUAAUAGGGAAAAAAAAGAAGAAAGAAUAGAUAAUUAGAAAAGCAAUUCAAAAAAAUAAAAUUUAUCCUCUUAAAUUGGUUUUGUGUAAUACUAUAGAAGCCAUUUCUUGAGUUUGAUAUGGUAGAAUUUGGAUUCAUAUUUAUUUUAAAAUCAAGAAAUUCAAGUGUUGGUAGCAUCAAUAGAAUCUUAACAAAUUUGAAAAAAAAUAUUUAGGUAGAUCACAUUUAAAUAUAGCUAAUAGAAUAAAAAAUUAGUAUUAUUAGAAAGACAUGAUCAAUUAAAUCUUUUUUCUUAUCUAUGACACCGACUUUAUUUUUUUACAUAGUCAAUACAAUUUAUUACAACUUAUAUGUCAUUAAAUUAUAUACGUUUAUAUUAAAUAUAAUAUAAGACCAUUAAUGGAAUAAUUAUGCAAGUAAUAUAAAUUGUAUAUAAUAUAAAAAAUUUAAACUCCAUCAAACUAAUGGAAUCUAUUAUAAUAAGUAGACUAGACACCAUGUUGGCCCGAGUUGCAGGCCUGGGCCAGAUUUUAAAGGCUGGGCUUUGAGUUGCCCGUGGGCCUGAGCCAAGGCCUUCUCUUGGUAUCAUCAUUUUGAAGAAAUAAAUUGCUGAUACAGAGAAAAAAACUAUACUAAAUAGAAAAAUAAAUAAAAGCAUUGACUAAAAUGAAGGUCAAGGUCCUUGAAAAAUAAUCUUUAAAUUGUUGCAUAUAUAAUUUCAAUAAUGCAUAAAUAAUUGCAAUAUAUAUGAUAUGAUAAAGAAUUUGGAAUUAAAAGAAGAUUGAUCUAUUUUAAAUGUGGUUGGAAUAUUUCUAAAUUUGUGAUGGGAAGUUAGACAGCCAAUUAGGGAUCCAUAUUAUUUAUUUUCAAUGAUAUGAAUUUAUUUACUUUUAUUAAUAUUCUUAAUGCAACAAUAUAAAAUAUGUCAAUUUUCUAAAAUUUAAAAAGUAAUUGUAAAAGAAUUUUUUUUAAUUAUUUUUCUGAAAUUGAGUUUAUUAUAACAUUUUUCUUUACAUAAAUUUCUUUUUUAUUUUUAUUUUUUUUAAAAUGAGAUAUGAAAAAAAGAGAUCAAUAUUAGUACAAGUAAAACCCAAUAUAUAUAUAAAAAAAAUGAAUAAAUGUUUAUGAAAUAUUUUUUCUCUUUUAAUUCCUAUUCAAUUCAUUACACAAAAUAUUUUUGGUUUUUAUGCUAAAAUUUAUUGUUUAUUCAAAAAUUCUAGUAUACCUAGCUAUCAUAGAAGAGCCCCAAAAUUUUAUUGUUUAAGAGAAUAUGUGUUGCCACUUUAAAAGAUUUAUAUGCAAAAGGGAUUGAUAUUUUUUUCCUUUGGAUAUAUUUAGUUCCCGGAAAAUUUGAGGGAAAAUGUGAGGGAAGAAAAAUAGAGAAGAAAAGUAUAACGAAAUAAAAAGUGAAGGAAAAUGAAAAAUAGAUUUAAAGUUAAUAAAUUAUUUUCAUUGGUUUUUUCAAACUUAUUUUACUUAUUUUAUUCUAUUAAAUAAAGAUUAGCUAAUUUUAAUUAUAUUUGGUUUGAUUUUUAUUAUUUUUCAAAGCAAAACCAAAUAUGAAAAAAAAAACAUUUUUUUUGUUCAUUUUUUCUUUCCUUAUUACUUUUCAAAACUCAAACAUAGCUUUUAGAUUUGGAGCAUGGAAAGAUAAGAGUAUUGAAUAAAGGUUCUAUAUAUGCCCAUGCCCAUGAUACCAUUGAAAAAAAUGGAGAAAGGGUGAAACUUUUUCUCUUCAAUGGAAAUCAAAUAUAAUUAUUUUUAUCUUGUAGUAAUUGAAUGUUAUACUCCAUAAACUCAAAAUUAAAAUAAAUAAAAAAUUUAAAAACUAGGACAAUCCCAUUUUUUUUUUCAAUUUCUUAAAAAGAAAUUAAAUUACAUUUAUUUAUAUCUAUUUUCAUCCCUACCCAAAAAAAUAAAAAAAAAAUUAACAAGGUGGGACAUGUAUGAGAAAUUCUCACACUAACUCUCUCUAGUUUAUUUUUUAUUUUUUAAAAAAAAUCAAUUUCUUUUAAAAAAAUUAAACUAUAUAAAAAAUAAAUAUAAUUUAAAAUAAAAUAAUUUAACAAUUUUUUUUUUAAGAAAAGUAAAUUUCUUAUUUUAUAUAUGUUAAAAAUAAAUAUAAUCUUUUAUUUUUUUAUAUAUAUAAUCGGGUAAGGUAGAGUGGGACAAAGAAAUAAUCCCCUUCGAUUCCAAUAUGAAUUUUUAAAAUAUAAAAUAAAAAUCUUAAACUCAUCCCUAAUCCAUUUAUUUUUAAUCCUAAACUCGUCUUAUUAAGAAUAAGGCAAAGUGAGUACAUGAAAACACUUCUUUUAUCAUCAUCUCUACAAGUUCUAAUGUUUAGACUGCAAUCCAUAUCAAAGAUUUAUAAAGAAAGGACAACGAUGAAUUUCAUAAACAUUUGAAAGCAUAUACGUACAAAGUUUUAAAUAAUAUUGCUUGAGGUGCAAAUAUUAUUUGGCGCACAUAUUGAGGGACUUCAACUUGUUUUUUACAUUAGUAAGUAAUCUUGAAUAUCUAGAGUAACUUGACCAAAAUCUCUUUAAUUUUAUUUUCUUUGAUGGUUGUAUGAUGAAUUAGAAUGCUUAUAUAACAUGAUUAAAAAUUUUAAGAAAAAAAAAACUAAGAAGAAAGAAAGAAGCACCGAUCUUCCAAAUAUUGCUUCCACUUUAAUAUCUAGAAGGCUCUAAGAAAAGAACUUUUUUCAUGAAUCAUAACCCAAGUCGAAAAUAAAUUGAACCCAUUUUCUAAGUUAAAUUUUGAAUUUUUUACUAGUGAAUGCAAAUUGGGAAAAUGUAUAUAAAUAUAAUUAAACUAGAAUAGUAGGUUAGGUUUGUAGGUGGAGUUUGUUUGAAUUGUUGGAACUUCCAAGUCGUUGUGGGUCUAGUGGUCCCAUAGCUCUCUAUUAAUUUCCACCAUCAAUUUUCUGCAAUAAAGUCAAGUCAUUCCUAACCCCUAUAUUAAGUUGGCCUUAAAAGUCAAGUCAUUGAUCAUAGUUACAUUCAUGAAUCACAACCUAAGUCGAAAAUAAAUUGAACCCAUUUUUCAAGUUCAACUUUGAAUUUUUUACUAGUGAAUGCAAAUUGGGAAAACAUAUAUAAAUAUAAUUAAACUAAAAUAGUAGAUUAGGUUUGUAGGUGGAGUCUGCUUAAAUUGUUGAAACUUCCAAGUCAUCGUGGGCCCAGUGGUCCCAUAGCUCUCUAUUAAUUUCCACCAUCAAUUUUUUGCAAUAAAGUCAAGUCAUUCCUAACCCCUAUAUUAAUUUGGCCUUAAAAGUUCAGUCAUUGAUAGCUAAAUCCCAACCCAAGUCAAAAAUAAAUUGAACCCAUUUUCUACGUUCAACUUUGAAUUUUUUUUAAUUGGAAAAAUGUAUAUAAAUACAAUUAAACUAGAAUAGUAGAUUAGGUUUGUAGGUGGAGUCUGCUUGAAUUUGUGAAACUUCCAAGUCAUCGUGGGUCUAGUGGUCCUAUAGCUCUCUAUUAAUUUCCACCAUCAAUUUUCUACAAUAAAGUCAAGUCAUUCCUAACCCCUAUAUUAAUUUGGCCUUAAAAGUCUAGUCAUUGAUAGCUACGUUCAUGAAUCCCAACCCAAGUCAAAAAUAAAUUGAACCCAUUUUCUAAGUUCAACUUUGAAUUCUUUUAAUUGGGAAAAUGUAUAUAAAUACAAUUAAACUAGAAUAGUAUAUUAGGUUUGUAGGUGGAGUCUGCUUGAAUUUGUGAAACUUUCAAGUCGUCAUGGGUCUAGUGGUCCCAUAGCUCUUUAUUAAUUUUCACCAUCAAUUUUUUGCAAUAAAGUCAAGCCAUUCCUAAACCAUAUAUUAAUUUGGCCUUAAAAGUCAAGUCAUUGAUAGUUACGUUCAUGAAUCACAACCCAAGUCUAAAAUAAAUUGAACCCAUUUUCCAAGUUCAACUUUGAUUUUUUUACUAGUGAAUGCAAAUUGGGAAAACGUAUAUAAAUAUAAUUAAACUAGAAUAGUAUAUUAGGUUUGUAGGUGGAGUAAGCUUGAAUUGUUGAAACUUCCAAGUCAUCACGGGUCUAAGGGUUCCAUAGCUCUCUAUUAAUUUUCAUGGUCAAUUUUUAUGAAUUAAGAUUUAAAAGUGAGAAGGGAAUAAAUUUUUUCUUUUUCAAUUCAUUACAAAAAAUAUUUUUGGUUUUUAUGCUAAAAUUUAUUGUUUAUUCAAAAAAUUAAAGUAUAAAUAUAUAUAUAUAUAUCUUGCUAUUAUAGAAGAGCUCCAAAAUUUUUGUGUUUAAGAGAAUAUGUGUUGCCACUUUAGAAGAUUUAUAUACAAAAAGGAUUGAUGUUUCUCCUUUGACUAUGUUUGGUUCCCAAAAUUUGAGGGAAAUAAAAAAAAAAUAGUAAAAAAGAAAAAAUGAAAGAAAAUAAAAAAUAGUUUUAAAGUUAAUAAUUAUUUUUAUAUGUUUUUUCAAACUUAUUUUACUUUUUUUUUCAUUAUAUAAAGAUUAAAUAAUUUUAAAAUGCAUAAAUUUCUAACUAAUUUUAAUUAUAUUUAAUUUUUCUUUUAUAUUUUUUAGAUAGGAUCCGACACAUGAAAAAUCCUUUUUUUUAGCAUUUUUUUUUCUUUUCUUAUUACUUUCCAAUAACCAAAUAUAACCUUUAGAUUUAGCCUUUAAACUUGGAGUAUGGAACGAUACUGAGUAUUGAAAGAAGGUUUUGUAUAUGGCCAUGAUACCAUAGAAAAAAUGGGCGAGAGAGAAAAAACCUUUAUUAAAUGAUAAAUUAUUUUUUUCAAUGGAAAUCAAAUAUAAUUAUUUUUAUAAUAAUUACUUUAUUUUUUUUAAAAAUAAUAAUUUGUUGUUGCAUUAAGUAUUCUUGCAUUUGGAGAAGCAUGUUACUACUUACUACAUAAAUAGAUAUUCAUGGAGUGCAUUCUCUAAAAAGCUCCAGUCUCAUGAAAAUGGAAAGAUGGACCGGCCGGUGAACCGGUUCGAGUUUGGAUUUAUUGGCUGCCUCAGCCUUACACGCAUGAUAGGCUGUUGCAGGUGAAGAACUAAUUAAUUUAAAGCCUUCUUCUAUCCUCUCCUAUUCCUCUAUCACUCCAAAUGUUCCACAUGAUAAUGACAAUUCUUUUGUUAAAUGGUAAAAAAAAAAUUUAAAUAUUAUUUAAAAUUUUUUUUAAUUCUAAAUCCAAUGGAAAUUCGACUCUAAGGUGUGUAGAAGGCCCUAGUGCCCAUGUUGCUAAUUUGAUGAUAGUUAAAUUGUCAUUUUGGGAGAUUCCACACACUAGUAUUCUCAUUUAUAAAAUCAUGAACUUUGGCAUCCUAAUUAAUGCAAUUUAAACUUUUUUUGUUUACAAAUGAAAUAAGAGGCAACAUAUAAACCCAAAAGUUAAUUUUCCUACCAUCUCUAUGCACCAUUUUAGCUUUACUCCAAUAUAUUUUCUAUGAUUAAUUAUUUUCAUUCAAACAAUAAUAUCAAAAUAUUUUAAAAUUAGACAUAUCAUAAUCAAAUACCAUUAUAUUAUUACCGAAUAAUAUUUAAUGUAAUUUAAUUAUCAACGUAUACUUAUAAAAUUUAUAUUUUUUAUUAAUGCAUAUAAUAUUAUUAUCAAAUAUGAUAAAUUAUAUAUAUAUAUAUAUAUAUAUAUAUAUAUUUCUUCAACAAAACAACUUUAAAAUAUCUAUUAUAUUUCUAAUUUCAUUUCUAAGAAGUUUUUUUUUUUUUUUUACAUUUUUAUAAGUUUUGAUCAAUUGUAGGCUAACUGAUAUUUUUUAUAUCAAAAUAUCCACCAAUAUAUCUCUGAUAUAUUAGAUAUAUCCGUAAAAUCGAAAUACCAAUAUAUCCGUGAUUAUCGAUAUUUUUAUCCUUGAGGGAUAAUAACUAAUCUAGUUUUUGCACUUAUUGAUAUUUCUCAACAUUUAGAUUGAUUUGACCAAAAUCUUUUUAAUUUUAUUUUCUUUGAUGGUUAUAUGAUGAAUUAGAAUAGUCAUAUAAACAAAUUUAAGAAAAAACGAUAAAAAAGCUCACAUUUUUCAAAUAUUGGUUUCAACUUUGAAUAUUUUUAUUGGUAAAUGAAAAUUGUGAAAAACCUACUAAUGCUAAUACUUUUCACCACAUAAUUAAAUAUAAUAAACUAGAAUAGUGAUUCAUUGAUGUCUUAUAAAGCUACAUGCCUACUUUGACUUGUUAGUUGAUUUUUGUAGGCAGAGUCCAUUUCCAUAUGAAUUGUUGAAACUUCCAAGUCCUUGUGGGUCUAGUGGUCUCUCUAAUAAUUCCCACCAUUAAUUUUUUGUGAUGAAGUGACGUCAUUGAUAGCUACUAUAUCAAUUUGCUAUUAAAAGUCAAGUCAUUGAUAAUUACUAUUCAAUCUUUUUCAAUAUGGAAAUUGGAAUCUCUACUCUUCUCAUUGUUCAUUUUUAGGUAAUGUGAGAAUGUGAGAAUGUGUGAACAUAAAUGUCUUCUAAUCAACCAAUUUUUUUUGAAAAAAACAUGUACAAAAUUGCAAACUUGCAAAAUCAAACUUUCUUGUUGAAUAACCAUAGCUUGAUGGUUUUGAAGAAUCAAAGGAUGAAUCAUAAAAGGGUAUUUGAUAAAAAAUAAAAAUUAAAAAAAUUAAAAGACAACUACUCCCUUAGGUGUAAUAAGUGUAUUUGGUAGCACAAAUUUCCUACCACUUAUUAUUUUUUCCUUUCUUAAAAAAUUAUUUACUCUAUUAAAUAAACUAACCUUGGCUUAUCACUUAUAGCAAAAUAGGUUAAGUACUUUUUAAAAUUUUAUAAUAUUAGAUUUACAUUUUUAUCCUUCAAAAUUUCAUUAAUGUUAGAUUCUUCUAUAUGCUUAACUAAUAAAUAAUUUUUAGCAUUUUUCUUUUCUUAUAAACAUAAAAAAAUAAAAAUAUUAUUAACUUAUUGGUAUAUUUUAAAAUUUUAAUUAGAUUUAAGCUUUUAUUUAUUUGGAUUACCAAUUAUACAUAUAAAUCCUUUAUUAUUAUUGUUAUUAUUGAAAGAAAGGGGUUGAAUAGGUAGUCCCUCAAUCCCCAAAUUAAAUUCUUUAUUGCCUACUUUUGGUUUAUUCCUUUACAUGAAUUCCUUGGUGAGAGUAAACAUUUCAUUAAUAGAUAAAUAAAAUUGAUUCCAUAUCAUAGGGUAUAAUGUGGAAAAAUCACCAGUCUCAUGUGUUCCUUAGUGGAUCCUUUGGAGCCCUUAUCAAAGUUUCAUGAUGAAACCAUUGACUUUUGUUUAACCCAAAUGUGCUUUCAAGACAAAUCUUGAAAUAUUUGAGAGAUGGAGGUUCAAGUCUUUUAUGAACGACCAUGUUCUCUUAGGGUUCAUGAAAAUUCACACCUUUUGAUAAAUAAAACUUAUCUAUUUAUACGUCUAAAACCCAGUAUUUAUUUAUUUAAUUAUAGAAAGUUUCUUAGUUUUAAAAACAUUUCAAAAAUCAUUUUUAGAAUCAAAUAAUAAUUUUAGAGAUAAACACAAUAUUAAAAUUUAACAAAAACAAAAUUUCGAAUUAAAAACACAAUAUAAACUAAAUUACAAAAUAUAAAGGAAUUUUUAUCCUAAUUUCUUGUUUCAAAACCAAAUGGAACACCUAGAAGGGGAGUGAAUGGGUGAUUUUAAAAUUUUUCAAUAAUGAUUUAUAAGUUAUACCCAAUUCUUUUACCCUGCGAGUUGUUAGGGACUAUCAAUUCUUUCCUUUUGGCAAUUCAAACAAUAUAUCAAAUAAUAAAAAGAUAUAAAUAAUGAGACAUAAAGAUUUUUACAUGGAAAACCCCCCACACUAACCAUGGAGAUAAAAAGCCAUGGAGUCUAAGACCUAUUAAUCUAAAUUCACUGUACGAAAUCAAGUUACACAAAUUUAUUUGAUAGCUUUAACUUAAAGACUUACUCUCCGGUACUGACAACUUGAUUCACAUCCACAACGUAGCAACCCUCAAUUACUCCAAUGGAUCACUUCAAGCUUACUAAAAGGAUGAAGGCCUUCAAACCAAGAUUCAAAAAUCAAUUCCUUGAAUGAAAGAUCAGGGAUGGUGUGCCACUUUAGGCUUUCUCUCUAAGAACUCUAAAAUGAUCUCCUCAAUGAAAACCUCUUAAACAAAAUGAGAUAUUUCCCCACAAUCUCUAAUCCUCAAGGGGUUAUAAUGAGAUAUUUAUAAGCAACUAAGUUGAAGAGUUUCAGUUUUGGAACAUGACCGCUCGAGCCAACACACUUCCUACUUGAGCGUUUCGGGCACUUGAGCGGUAAGGCUCGCUUGAGUUGUCCUAAGCGCUUGAGCAUUCCAAGCUACUUGAGCAAUCUUGCUCUAUUUCAAAAGUUAAUUUUAAAUCAUUUUAAGUUCAAAACAAAAUUGAUUCCCUUUAUACCUCAAAGUAGCCUAACUUACAAACCAAACUUUUUUAGAUAUACUUGUGACUUCCUGGUUGGACGAACAACUCUUAAUCUUCAAUGGAAAGCAAGUCAUUAUCUAAAAAGAUUUAUAUGGUCAAACAUAAAAAAACAAAAACAAAAAAAUUGCCAACAUAACAACAAGACUCAAUGUCCUAACAAUCUCCCCCUUUGGCAAUUUUAUGACAAAAACAACAUUACAUAUACCCACUUGAACUCUCAUAAUGGAGUUUAAUAAUACACAUUAAUGUUCAAUUAAAAAUAAACUAAGGGAAUACUUUGUAUCACUUUGUAGUAUUUGUCUUCCAACUUUGUAACCUACACACAUAUAGAAAACUAUACCAAAGGUAAAGCAAUGUGUAGGAUAAGAUAUGAUCAAGAAAGCAAAAUAGGAUAAUUGAAAAUUUUGCUUGAUGCCUUGUGAAAGCAUGAAAAGGGAACAAAUUCAUAUAGUAAUACCAAGGGACAAAGCAAAACUAGAGAAGAAUAUAUAUGUAUGCAAAUCAACCAAACAUAAUAAAAGCUACAUAAGAUGCAAUAGAUCAAUAAUAAUGCCUAGGGGUCUAUCUCCAACCAGAAAAUAGGGAGUGAAAAUCAUAGGAAGAACCUUCUGUGACUUAGAAAGGUUCUAGAGAGAUAGUCAAUUCAAACAUAAAUAUCUUGCUAGAAACAUCUAUGUUAUGUAUCUCUCUAAACCUUCUAAGUUAUGCUUUCAUUAGUUGAUUUGGUUUUUCUCCAAUGUCUCAGGUUUAAUUUCCUCUAAUAUUUCAAUUAGAGAGAAAUUGGUAGUCGAUUGACUUAGUGGGUGUUUGGUAAAACUUAAUACUUAUUAUUUAAUGAUUAACUUUAAGUUAAAUUGUUCUUAAGUUAUUAAUUUAAAAUUUAUUACUUAUUUUGUAUUUAAGUACUAGGGUUAUUUGAAAAAAUCGACUUAAAAUUUAUUCUAAAUCAUCAAAAUGACACAUUUACCCUUAUUAAUUUUAACUUAUAUUUAUUUUCAUUAAUUUUAAACAAUAAAUUUAUUCAUAAAACAUCUAUAUUUUUGUAGAUACAUAACCAUAAAAUAUUUACUAUAAAAAAUGAGUCAUGGAUGUAGAAUUAUAAUUCUAAAAUAUACACUUAUGAGUGUGGGUAAAUAAGGCAAAAAUGAUUUGAGAUUAAGAGUAAAGUUAAUUAUUUUGACUUAAGACUUCAAGUUAAAAAUAACUUUAAGUUGCAAUAUUAAGUUAUUUUAUCAAACAUGCUUAAUUUACUUAACAACUUAAAUUAAGUUAUUAAGUUGAAUUAUCAAACACCCCACUAGUAGUAUGUUGAAAAUUCACACCUUUUGAUAAAUAAAACUUAUCUAUUUAUACGUCUAAAACCCAGUAUUUAUUUAUUUAAUUAGAGAAAGUUUCUUAGUUUUAAAAACAUUUCAAAAAUCAUUUUUAGAAUCAAAUAACAAUUUUAGAGAUAAACACAAUAUUAAAAUUUAACAAAAACAAAAUUUCGAAUUAAAAACACAAUAUAAACUAAAUUACAAAAUAUAAAGUAAUUUUUAUCCUAAUUUCUUGUUUCAAAACCAAAUGGAACACUUAGAAGGGGAGUGAAUGGGUGAUUUUAAAUUUUUUCAAUAAUGAUUUAUAAGUUAUACCCAAUUCUUUUACCCUACGAGUUGUUAGGGACUAUCAAUUCUUUCCUUUUGGCAAUUCAAACAAUAUAUCAAAUAAUAAAAAGAUAUAAAUAAUGAGACAUAAAUAUUUUUACGUGGAAAACCCCCCACACUAACCAUGGAGAUAAAAAGCUAUGGAGUGUAAGACCUAUUAAUCUAAAUUCACUGUACGAAAUCAAGUUACACAAAUUUAUUUGACAGCUUUACCUUAAAGACUUACUCUCCGGUACUGACAACUUGAUUCACAUCCACGACGUAGCAACCCUUGAUUACUCCAAUGGAUCACUUCAAGCUUACUAAAAGGAUGAAGGCCUUCACACCAAGAUUCAAAAAUCAAUUCCUUGAAUGAAAUAUCAGGGAUGGUGUGCCACUUUAGGCUUUCUCUCUAAGAACUCUAAAAUGAUCUCCUCAAUGAAAACCUCUUAAACAAAAUGAGAUAUUUUCCCACAAUCUCUAAUCCUCAAGGGGUUAUAAUGAGAUAUUUAUAAGCAACUAAGUUGAAGAGUUUCGGUUUUGGAAGGUUUCUUAAUUGAAUUUGUGUGAAAAACUCAACAGAAUCAACAUGACCGCUCGAGCCAGCACACUUCCCACUUGAGCAUUUCGGGCACUUGAGCGGUAAGGCUCGCUUGAGUUGUCCUAAGCGCUUGAGCAUUCCAGGCUACUUGAGCAAUCUUGCUCUAUUUCAAAAGUUAAUUUUAAAUCAUUUUAAGUUCAAAACAAAAUUGAUUCCUUUUAUACCUCAAAGGAACCUAACUUGCCACAAACCAAACCUUUUUAGAUAUACUUGUGACUUCUUGGUUGGACGAACAACAACUCUUAAUCUUCAAUGGAGAGCAAGUCACUAUCUAAAAAGAUUUAUAUGAUCAAACAUAAAAAAACAAAAAAAUUGCCAACAUCACAACAAGACUCAAUGUCCAUGCAUGGUCACCUGAAAGUUGACUCCAACCACAAUAUAAUGCAUGUUCUCAUAGAACAUGUGAACAAGAUGGAGAUAGAAAGUCCCUUAGAGAGAAAACAGAGUCUUCUAACCCUACUCUUGAAUGAUGAUAGGGAAGACAGUGUCCUGAAAAGCUUAGAGGUUAAUGGCAUGUUGAGGCUCGACACACCGAUAUGUGAAAGAAGCGUAAUAAUGGUCCCAUGCCACCUGGCAGUGAAAGCGCUCAAUCGAAAGUGCAUCUAGGUUAAAAAGACCCUAGAGUGGGAUGCCCUAGACGGUUUUCAGUGACCUAGGAAAGGUCACCUCCCUCUGAAAUCUAUGACUAGCCAUAUCUAAGGUAUAUAAUAUGAAAAAAAAAAAGCUAAAGAAAAACUAAAGAAAAUCCAAAGAAAAGCUAAACCACUAAAAAUGUUAAACUCAAUGCGUCGAACAAUACUAUACAAAUGGAAAUGAAAAAUAUGAAGCGAACUGACCUCAGAAGACAAAAGGACAGUUACCCAGAGGGCUCGAAGAGGAAUAGGAAAGUUUGAAAUGAAUAUUGUGUGAUGGAUGACCUUUAUAUAGCUUAUAGGAGUGCUUGAUGCAGAUUAGCACUUGAGCGUCAUGACUAACUUAAAUCAAAUUAUUUAUUAAUAUGGAAAUAUUUUAUAAGUUUCAAAGGAAGUAUUCAAUUUAGAACCUUUUUAGAAUUUUUUUGAAAGAAACAAAAAUAAAGCGUGAAAUAUUAUGUGUUAAAGGUGUUAGAAGACAAUAUUGUCUAAUCAAAAGCCUUACACAUUCCCAAAAAAAAAAAAAAAAAAGGAAAAAAAAAGAUACUAUAUAAGAUUUUGAUCACAUCUAAUAGAAACUAAUAUUUAGCAACAUAUCACCAAGCACUAUCUUAUCAGAAAGCUCUAACAUGUUGGAAAUUUAUGUAAGGUUCCAUAACAACUAACAACUUUUUAUGACGACUCGGUAAUGGACCAUUUGCACUUCAACUACAUUAUUAAAUUUAAAUCAUAUUAGAAUAUAAUUGACUUCUCUUUUGUGAGGUUACAUAUCUUGUAGGAUGGGAUAGGUGAUUCAUUUCAUAUAUGAAAUUUUCUUAAUUUAGUAAUGCUUCCAAGUUCAUUAUGAAUCUAAUGGUAUCACAACUCCUUGAAUAUUUGUAAUCUGUAAUCUUUGCUUCAACUUCUCAAGUCUAGUCAUUUUAUCGGCAUAACUAGUUUGCUUCAAUUAUCUCUCAACUUUAUUAUAAAACUAAGGGAAAGGAUUGUCACUCAUUUUAUAUUAACUUAACCAAACAUCUUUAUAUAUAUAUAUAUAUAUAUAUAUUGUAAAUUUAGGAAAAAUUCAUCCAUUAGCCAUAGUAAGUAAGAAUCAAAUAAGGGAUAUGUAAGCCAAUGGUGAUAUUGAUGGCGUUAAAUCAAUGACAUAGUAGAAAAGUGGAUUGUCUAUUUUCAAACCUUUAUAUUUUCAUGCAAUAGUAAAAAGGUUAAGGCAUCACUUGAAAAGUAGUUCGUUUUUUACCUUGGACUAUGAUUUAUGAAUAAAGUUCUUCUGUUGUAUACCUUUUGUGAUGCCCCAACCUAAUUUAGGGGUAAAAAAAUAAUUUAGAAAAAAAUAAAUAAAAAGUUAAAUAAAUUUAAUUAAGGUAAAAAUGUAUUUUUGUAUUUAAAAUUCCUAGGUAUCAAUUAUAUAUUUCUUGUCUUCUCUAUUCAAAAAACCAUAUUACACAAAAAUCAAAUAUCAGAGAACAUAGGACAACGCAGGGUUGAAGAUUUGGAGGUUUAGGGUUGAAGAUUAGUUUUCCAGGUAAGAUUCUAACCCUUAAAUUAGUAUUUUAGAUUCGUUAAUUAGUUUGAACACUUUAGAUAUUCUUUGAAAAAUCUGAAUAUACAUUAGGGUUUGUUAAUUUAAUUUUUAAAUAAAAAAGAUUGAAAAUUUAUGAACAUAAGUAGAGUUAUUAUUAAAGAUUGAAAAUUUUUGAAUAUUUGAAUUAAAAAUCUAGAAAAAAAAGAAGAAAAUAAAUUAUAGCUUUGGACGUGGAAAAAAAUUAAUAUUAAUUAAUAAAUAAAACCUAUGAGUAUGGAAGUAGAAAAAUAUGAGAGUUGAAAGCAAAGAAAAAAAAAGAGAAUAAGGUUUUGUGGUUGUACAUGCCUCCUUAGUGGAAAAAAAAAAUACAAGGUUGCUUGCAAUAGGAUAUGACAAAGAGAGAGAGAUAAAUGCUUAGAUGUUGAUUUUUGUGGGGAAAAAAAGAUUGGGUAAUGUAGGAGAGAAAUAGGUAGCACUUUUAGAGUCGGUGGAGUUGUUGUAAAAGCUCGUAGGGGUAAUUGUUAGGUAGUAGUAGGGUAUGAGAUUAAUUGUUAGGAAACAUUAGGACUUGAAAUAAUAAUAAUUGCUUCUAGUAAAAGUUUUAAUUUAGUUUAAGUAUAUAAAAGAAAUAGAUGAUUAGAAUAAGAUUUGGAAGGAAUAUGAAUUCAUAAAAAUUUCAAAAUUUACUAAUUUAGAUUAUUAUUGUUUUGGAAGUUGAAUAUAAUAUAGGUGAUAAUAUUAUUAAUAUAGGAAAUGAUUAAGAUUCUCAAACCUACAAUUUUAGAUAAAUAGUUAAUAGUAAUAGUUGAUUUUUUAUUUUUUUUUUAUUUUUUAUUUUUUAUGUUAUGUUAAGUGAAUAAUGGAUUCUUUGAUUAAUUCUCUAAGGUUUCUAAGUGCUUCUUUAAGGUAAGGGAUAUUAAUACUGAUUUUGUAAAUGAAAAUAUUUCUUUUUAUAAGUUAUUUUAAAUUAUGAAAAUUUUUAUUUUUAUUUAUGCAUGGAUCAAAUAUAUAUUUUUUCAUGAGAAACAUGUUUGGGCAAUUUCUUUGUUUAUAAAUAAAUAAAUGAAAACUUUGGAAAUAUAAUGUUUUGUUUUGUAAGUUUAAAAUAAUGAAAUAAAGUUUUUGACUCUGGUUUAUAUGACCUUAGUUAAUAGGUUAUAAUUGUUGACAUUUUCAGCUCCAGUCAACGAUUAUAAUUGUUGACAUUUUCGGCUCUCCAAUCAAUGAUUAUAAUUGUUGAGAUUUUCAACCCUAGCCAACGGGUUAUAAUAGUUGACCUUAUAGCCCUAGUCAACAGAUAUAAUUGUUAACCUUUGGCUUUUCCCAUCUUAAAAAGAACAAAUUUAAGGCUAGCCAUUUAUUUGUAAAGUCCCACCUAACUAAGUACCAUUUGUUAUUUAAUAACCAGAGUAAAGAUAUUUUGAAUGUAUUUGAUGUGAAAUUGUUGUGAUAUUAAUAUGAAAAUGUUUGGUUGAAAAGUUCAAAUGUUUAAUGCAUGUUGAAUUCAAAAGUUUUUAUGAAAAUGAUUAUAUGUUAUAUCUCUUAUUUGUAAGUUUGAUCCAUGAAACUGUAUUAAUAUUCCUUAUUGGACUUUGAGCUCAUUCCCCUUUAUUGAGAAUUUUUUUUCGUAUUCUCAGUUUGGGCAAGGAGUGAUGACUGGGUUGGGGAAUUUUCUUUACUAUGGUUUUGCUUCAAUCUUAUUUUGGACAUUGUUUAGAUGUUAAAAUUUAAUUCCCAUUUAAAUUAUUUGGGUUUGGAGUUAUUUGGACGAUAAAACUUUGAUUGAUGUGUUAGUUUUAAAGUUGAGAAUUGAAAAUUAUAGAAUUUAUUUAUCUUACUACUUUGAACAGAAAUUUAGUAAUUGGAGAUCAUCCAGUUACAAGAUGAAUAUUUGAGUCGUUUCAAGUCGUUUCCACUUUGAGUGUUCAGGCUUAGGGUGUGAAAUGAUCGUUAUGCCCUUGGAGUGGGUAUAUUGUUUAUUUGAAUUUAAUGGUCCCCGAACUCCUUAAUUACUCAUAACUUUAUAUCAGCUUCUCAAAGUUAAGUUGUUUUACAACUACUAUCUAGCUACUUUUCUCUACUAUGACAACUUUAUUACAUAGUGAUUAAUUGAAAGAAUCUACAUGUCUUAUUUCAUAGGAUAGUUGAUUUUUUUACUCAAUGAAUUUUGCUUUUAUUAUUGAAAAUUUCAAAUCAUUGUAGUCCAACAAUUUCCUAUCCAUUGGUAAUUUCAUAUUACAUUUCCAAAGUCUAAUCAUUUAAAAACACUUGUAGUUAAUAUAUUGGCAAUUGCAUUGUGGGAAGUUGUUCACUUGAUUUUAAUGUUGAAACUUUCAAAUUUUUGUAGUCCAACAAUUCCCUAUCCAUUGGUAAUUUCAUAUCACAUUUUCAAAGUAUAAUACUUGUAUAUAGUAUAUUUGGUGAUUGUAGAGUGGAAAGUUGAUCAUUUUCAUGAAGACCUCUAAAAUAGAAUUUUUUUUCAUUCCAUUUAUUAAAGAAUUUCAUUAAUUGAACAUAUAUGUUUUUUUAACCGAAAAGUAGAGGCCACAUUAUACGAGGCCUUAGGUGACAAUACUAGGUGAGGGCUUUUUUUUUUAAUUUAUUUAUUACGAAAUAUAAAUAAUAUUAUUUAUUGUAUAAUAAAGAUUAUUAUAAUAUAUUUUUUAUAGAUGAAAAAAAAUAUUAAUUGAGUUUUAUUUUUUUAAAUAAUUGUUUUCAAUAAAUAACGUAUUUGUAAAAAGAAAACUAUAAAAUAUAUGCAUUUGAAAAAUAUUUAAUUUUUAUUUGAUUUAGUAUCAAUUAAUAUUUGUAAUAUUUUUUAAUAUUAUAGAAGUUAACAUACUCAAUUAAGAUAUUCAAGAUCAAGAGAAUAUUUGAGAUUGAAUUAAUUUCUUUAUUGUUUAUGUUUUAGUAAAUUUUUAUAUCCAUUAAAAUUUUUUUAUUGUUUAUUUUUCAUUCAAUGUUUGCAUUUUGUAAUAGAUAUUAAAACAAAUUUUUUUCUUGUAUGUUAAAAAAAUAUUUCAAUGUCUUUAAAAAUAAAAUAUUGUAGUAAAAUCAAAAUUACAUUGUGAAACUUUAAGCGAAUGUUUUAUACUAAAGAAGUGCCAAUUAAAGUAAGCAUGCAUCUACAAUUGUAAUUUAGAUGUCAUAUUGAAACAAUAGUUCUCUUUGACUAUAUCAUAAAAUUUGGUUCGAAUUACUUUAAGUCAUCUUGUAGAUUUUCAAGUUCCAAUGAUAUGCAUCAAGUAUGUGCAACAUACUUGAUAUGACUAAUAUUUUCUUAAGUAAUUGGACACUUUUUUCUAUAAAUUUACUUGAUUAUCAAUGAAUACUUUUAUGUAAGGUAUUGAUAUAAUUCGAUAAAUAUUUUAAAAUAGUAUUAGAAUAGCUUUGCUCUUUCCUAAUUAACAAAUUUACUAAAUUAACUUAUAUAUAUUUGUUUAUUUUAAUUUACUGGUAUUUGACUCAAUUUGUUAUUAUUUUUAAAAUUAUAGGAAAACCAUUAUUUAUAGAGUUUAAUUAUAUUUGGUAAAUUAUCUUUUUAAGUUUGACUAGGAUUAGGAAACUAUUAAUUUAAGAUUAAUCCAUAAGGCUCUAUAAAUUUGCAGUUUUAUAUAACAUUUAAAAAAAGAAAGAAAAAGUAAGAAAAAGUGAAGAGAGAUAGGCAAAGAGUGCAUUGGGUUUUAGAUAGAGAAAGGUCGAGAGAGUUUUGAUUACUACUCAAAAAGAACAUAUUUUAGAUAGUAAUUCUCAUGGGUUUCACAUCUUUUGAGUAUUAAUUAUGCCUAAAAAUGCUCAAUUAACAUGUUGUUGCCCUUGCAAGAGUUACUAAUAAGUUUUAUAAAGUUUUGGAGUCAUUUCAAGUUAUGAUUUUAAUAAAUUGGUGAUGAAAGAGAUGAAUUGAUUUGAAGAAGGAAAAUAAUAUUGAUGAUGAUCCAAAUGCAUAAUGAAAGAAGCAAUAUAAUUAGUUUGAUCGGGAUUUGCUGCUAAUUUGGAGGUAGUUAAGGUGGAGUCAAAAGAAGAAAAUGGAAGAAAUGACAAAGAGGAACUUAAAAACCAAAUGUUGCAGAUUUGUAUGAUCAUUCAAAAAUUACAUGACUAUGCCAAAUGGAUUAGAGAAGGAAAAUUGACUAUAGUAUAAGGAGGAUGCUUAAGUUGAUUUAGCAUGAACAUGAGAAAAUUUCGCAUGAACAUGCGAAAAUUUUGCACAAUCAUGCGAAAUGGUCCAGAAAGCUCUCUAAUGUUGUUGUUGCUCCACUAAUUUCGCACCACCAUGCGAAAUCGAUCUUUUCAUGCAAAAUGGCUGAAGCUCAUGUGAAAUCAUGAUUUUGAUGCUAAACUCCAGAUUUGUGAAUUUGGAAGGUUUUAGAAGACCAAUGAGAGGUUGCCAAGUGUCCACUUGACCUUGGUCUAUAAAUAGAAACUUGAAUUUCCCAUGUAAAGAGCUUUGUGAUACUUUUGAUUUUAGAUUUUUCUAGAAACUCUUUCUCUAAAUAGAAUUCUAUAUUUUCUUUAAUUUUCCCUCAUUUUCUCAUUAGCCAAACAUGCCUAGUGAGACCAAAUUUCCAAGUAUGAGUGACUAAAUCUCGUUUUUCUCAGAGGAAUGAGGAUCUAGAGGCAAGAUCUAUGGUGAAUUAUAGAAAUGAGUUUUAAUUGCAAAUGUAAUUUGAUUCAAUUGAUUGAUUAAUUGAAAUUCGAGGAUUUUUCUCUUCAAAUUGUCCUGAAUGACAAUUACAUUGCAAACUAGGCAGAUUAAUUAAAUUCUUAAAGUUAGAUUUAAUGAGACUGAAUAGUUGCAUUGUAUGAAUCAUUGGAAGAUGAUUUAAGAUGAAUUGAAUAUAUAAUUUAAAUUCAUAUCUUGGAUUAAAUAACCUAAUUUGAAGAGAAAUUAGGUUUAGACUUAAAGGGAAAUCUAAAAUCGGUUUAGAUAAGAAUUUAGGUUUUCAAUCUAACUUGAUGAAAAAUAAAUCUCAACAUUUAUUCACCAUGGAAAUUGUUUUCUAAAAAAUAUUAACUCUGAGAAUUCCUUUUCCUUAUCAGUUUUCUUAUAUUCUACAUUAUAUUAUUCUUUUCGAUUAGAAAUCAUUGUUAUUUUGAUUUUUCGUGAAUUGUCAAAUCAAUUUCACUUGACCAUAAUCAUUUCUUUUCCUCUCAUUUAAACCUUAAUUAUCGAGAAUAAUCCAUCCCAAUAGAAGACACCUAAGACCACUAUACUACUGUAGCUUUUGCUAAAAAACCUUUUUGAUCGGGCAAGAGUUACCUUAGCAUAGUUGAAUUAGGUUAUAAAUUUUUUAUCCAAUAAACAACAAAAAAAUCAAUUGAUCAAGUUUACAUUGUGUAUUCUUGAAUUUUAUUAAUAAAUUUGAUCCCCUUUUUUGAAGCGAUUACACCAAACCAAGUAAAUAUUUUAUCUACUUCAUUUGCUUUAUUUUUUCUAUUAAGUUUAGGUGUUGCAAUUUUUAAGAGUCAUGGUGAGAAGAUUGUGGGAAAAAUUAUUUUAAGGAUGGAGUCGAACAUAAAAUAUGAAAUUGAGUCCUUUGAUGGAAAUAAUAAUUUUAAUAUUUGAUAGAGUAUUAUUAAAGAUGUUUUGAUACAACAAAGACUUCUCAAAGCAUUACAAGGCAAAAAAAACUAGAGAGCAUGACAAAUAAAGAAAUGAAAGAAUUACAAGCAAGAGUUGUAAGUACUAUUUGUUUAAGUCUUAAAAAUGAAAUACAUUGUUUUGAAUGAAAAAAAUAUUCUUUUAGGGGUGUCAAUUGCUCUUUUAGAGACCAAAAAUAUUAAGCAAUCAAGUAGUUCAUCUCAUAUUGGACAAACUGUUAUGAUGAAUUCUAAACCAUAUCAUCAUAGGAGUAAAUCGAAAGAAAAGUAUCUGAUAGGAGGAUGAUCAUUCCAUUCACACUUAUAGAGGAAUAUGAAGUAUUAUUNNNNNNNNNNNNNNNNNNNNNNNNNNNNNNNNNNNNNNNNNNNNNNNNNNNNNNNNNNNNNNNNNNUAGUGAUUGUUUUAUGUUGAAGAAAGGCUAAUUAAAGUAAACAUGCAUCUAAAAUUAUAAUUUAGAUGUUGUACUCAAAUAGUUGCUCUCCUCGAUUAUAUCAUAAAAUUUGGUUUGAAGUCUAAGUCAUCUAAUAAUUUUCUAGUUCCAAUUACAUGCAUCAAACAUGUGUGUUAGGAAGUGUUGCAAAUUACUAAUUAGUAUAUAUUCUUUUUUUUUUAAGAAUAUUGUAUUAAAUAUUUCUAGGUUGAUAUAUUAUUGUAAUAUUAGACUUCUUUAUAGAAUAAGGAAGGUUGUUGAAAAUAUCCCUAUAAAUAUUCUAGUUCAUAAGGGGAAAAAGUUUUGAGAUGAAGAUGGACCCAUAAAGACUAUACAAGGUGGAUAGAGAUGUGAGGAAGAACGAGAGGUACCCGAUGGAGCGAGAGGGCUCGUGGUAGGGUAUAGGUACGAAGAGUGAGGAAACAUGGGAUGUUUUGGGAACUCAAUAUUUGUAUCUAGUUAUGUCCUCUAUAAGUUCUAGUUCUGUCAUCUGCAUUGUUCUCUAUUUUAUAGUGGAAUGAUUCUCUCUUAUCUGUGGACGUAGGCAUGGUUUUCGAACCACGUUAAAACCUUGUGUACCGUUUGUGUUGAUUUUUUUUAUCUUUAUUUUCUUGAUUAAUGAAGUUUGCAUCAAAGCUUCUGUCAACGUAACAAACUUGUAUCAAAGUUUGGGAUAAAGAUUUCUAGAAGAGUAAAAGAUCAUAGAGCACACAAGAUGAAAACAAAAGGAAUUUUUAGUGAAAAAGGAGUCAAUUGCUCUCUCGUGGUGAUAUGAUAUAAAAAGUUUAUGUCAUGGAAAGUUUGAAGAUUUACUUCAUGGAAUCUGGUCCAAAAUGGAGAUUGUUAAUAAGUGUCCCAAAUUCCUAAUUAGUAUAGAUUUUUUUUUUUGUAAAGAAUAUUGUAUAGAAUAUUUCUAGGUUGAUAUAUUAUUGUAAUAUUAGACUUCCUUAUAGAAUAAGGAAGGUUGUUGAAAAUAUCUUUAUAAAUAUUCUAGGUCAUGAGGGAAAAAAGUAUGAGAUGAAGAUGGGCCCUAUAAAAACUAUAUGAGGUGGAUAAAGAUGUGAGGAAGAAUGAGAGGUACUCAAUGGAAUGAGAGGGCUCGUGGUAGGGUAUGGAUACAAAGAGUGGGGAAAUAUGGGAUGUUUUGGGAACCUAUUAGUUGUAUCUAGUUCUGUCAUCUAUAAUGUUCUAGUUACGUCCUCUAUAAUGUUCUCUAUUGUAUAGUGGAAUGAUUCUCUUUCAUCCGUGGAUGUAGGCAUGGUUGUCGAACCACAUUAAAACCUCGUGUACUAUUUGUUUUAUUUUUAAAUUUUUUUUAAUCUUUGUUUCUUGAUUAAUGAUGUGUGCAUCAAAGCUUCCAUCUACGUAACAAACUGGUAUCAGAGCUUGGGUUGAAGAUUUUUGGAAUAGUAAAAGAUCACAAAGCACACAAGAUGAAAACAAAAGGAAUUUUUAGUGAAUGUGGAGUCAAUUGUUCUCUCGUGGUGAUAUGAUACAAAAAGUUUGUGUCAUGGAGGGUUUAAUGAUUGACUCCGUGGAAUUUGGUCCAAGGUAGAGAUUGUUAGGAAGUGUCCCAAAUUCCUAAUUAGUAUAGAUUUUUUUUUUUUAAAGAAUAUUGUAUAGAAUAUUUCUAGGUUGACAUAUUAUUGUAAUAUUAGACUUCCUUAUAGAAUAAGGAAUGUUGUUGGAAAUAUUUUUAUAAAUAUUUUAAGUCAUGAGGGGAAAAAUUUAUGAGAUGAAGAUGGGCCUAUAAAGACCAUAUGAGAUGGAUAGAGAUGUGAGGAAGAAUCGGAGGUACCCAGUGGAGCGAGAGAGUUCGUGGUAGGGUGUGAAUAUGAAGAGUGGGGAAACAUGGGAUGUUUUGGGAACCCAAUAGUUGUAUCUAGUUCUGACAUCUAUAAUGUUCUGGUUCUGUCAUCUAUAAUGUUCUGGUUUUGUCCUCUGUAAUGUUCUUUAUUGUAUAGUGGAAUUAUUCUCUCUCAUCUAUAUAGGCAAGUUGCUAAACCACGUUAAAACCUCGAAUACCUUUUGUGUUGAUUUUUUUUAUCUUUGUGUUCUUGAUUAACGAUGCUUGCAUCAAAGCUUCUACCAACGUAACAAUGUGCAACAUAUUUGAUAUAACUUAUAUUUUCUUAAGUAAUUGAACACUUUUUUCUAUAAAUUUACUUGAUGAUCAAUGAGUACCUACAUAUACGGUAUUGACAUAGUUUGAUAAACAUUUUAAAAUAGUAUUAGAAUGGCUUUUCUUUUUCCCAAUUAACAAAUUUAUCAAAUACACACACACACACACACACACAAAAUACUCAUUAGUAUGUCUUUUAUGAAAAAACUAUGUUUGUUUAUUUGAAUUUAGUAGCCAUUCAAUUCCUUAGUUACUCAUAAACUUUUUAUCACCUUCUUAAAGUCAAGUCAUUUACAAUUAUUUUCAAGUCAUUUACAAUUAUUUUAGCCUUCUCCAUUAUGACAACUUUAUAAGAUAGUGAUUGAUUGGAAGAAUCUACAUGCCUUUGUUGAUAGUAUAAUUGUUUUUCUUUUUUUUCGUAUUCAAAGAAUCUUGCUUCUGUUAUUGAAACUUUCAAAUCCUUUAUGUCUAGUGGUCUUAUAAUUCCCUAUUCAUUGGUCUUUCAUAUUACCAAUCAUUUUGCAAAUGAGUUAAUUUCAUUCACAUCCUCUGAGAUUUGAUGUAAAUUCGCUUAGUUACCAAUGAUUUCAAAUUUCAUUAAUUAGUACCCCUACAGAUAUAAUUCGUGUACAAAAUUUAUUUUUUAAAAGAGUUUAGGUAAAAAUAUUUUAGGUAUAUGUCUUUAACAAUUCUCUAAAAUAAAUUUUACUUGCUAAAAAAUAACUUAUAUAGAUAGAAUACAUCUACAGGAGUUCUAACUAACGAAAUUUAAAACUAAUGGUGGUUUAGUGUAUUUAAACUAAACAUUAGGAAGGGUGACUGAAAUUAACCCUCUAGGUAUAUAUGUUUAACAAAAUUUUUAUUGUUUAUUUUUCAUUUAAUGUUUGCAUUUUUCAAUAAACAUUGAAAAGGAAUUGUUUUUCCAUAUGUUAACAAAAAGAAAUUUGAAUACCUAUAAAAAUGAAAUCUUGUAGUAAAAUUGGAGUUACAUUAUCAGACUUUUAACGAGUGUUUAUGUUUAGAAAGGCCAAUUAAAGCAAGCAUGCAUCUAGAAAUUGUAACUUAGAUGCAUCAAACAUGAGCAACAUAUUUGAUAUAACUAAUAGUUUCUUAAGUAACUAAACACUUCUUUUUCUAUAAAUUUACUUGAUUGUCGAUGAAUACUUACAUACAUUUACAUAGUUUGAUAAAUAUUUUAAAAUAAUAUUAGAAUAACUUUGUUUUUUCUCAAUUAUAUUAGAAAAUAAUAUAAAGUUACUUAUAAACUUUAUAUCAUUUUCUCAAAGUCAAGUCAUUUACAAUUAUUUCUAUCUAGUCUUCUCCAUUAUGACAACUUUUAUAUGAUAGUCGUUGAUUGGAAGAAUCUACAUGUCUUUUUUGAUAAGAUAGUUGUUUUUAUUAUUUUUAUUUUUUUUAUUCCAAAAAUUUGCUUCUAUCAUUGAAACUUUCAAAUCUUUUAUGUAUAUUACCAAUCAUUUUACAAGUGAGUUAAUUUCACUUAGGGUAGAUAUACUUAGCCACACCCCUAUAGAUGUAAUUUGUGUUUAAAUUUUAUUUUUUAUUUAGGUAAAAAUAUCUUAGGUAUAUGUGUUCUACAAUUCUCUAAAAAAUAAAUUUUCUUAUCUAAAAGUUUAUAUAGACAAAAUACAUCUAUAGAAGUCCUAACUAAUGAAAUUUAAAAUCAAUGGUUGUUUAGUGUAUUUACAUUAAACCUUAUGGGGUAUGAUUGAAAUUAAGUCUUUUACAAGCACUUGUAGCUAAUAUGUUUGUAGUUGUAGUCUUGGAAAUUGAUCAUUUUCUUGAAGGCCUCUAGGAUAUUGAAAAUAUUGCCAUAGUUUUAGACUUUUUUUUUAUUACACCUAAUAAAAAAUAUUAUUAAUUUAACAUAUAUAUUCUUGACUUAAAAGUAAAGUCUCUCCAUAUUGUAUAAGCCCUUAGGUGGCAAUAUUAGGUGAAGUUUUUCUUUCGUUUAUUACAAAAUAUAAAUAAUUUAUUAUUGUAUGAUAAAAUUUUAUGUAAUAUAUUUUUAUAGAUGUAAAAUUAUUAAUUGGGUUUUGUUUUUUUUUACUAAAUUGUCAUUUCAAUAUAUAAAACUUAUUUGUAAAAAGACAAUUAUAAACUAUAUGAAAUUGAAAAACAUUUAGUUUUUUUAUUUAAUUUAGAAUUUUAUUUGGAUUAAUAAUUGAUAUUUGUAAGAUUUUUGAAUAUUAAAAAAAGUUAGCAUACUUAAGAAAGAUAUUCAAGAUCGGGAGUGUUUGAUAUCGGAUUAAUUUCCUUAUUUUCUCUAUUUUAAUAAAUUUUCACGUCCAUUACAAAAUUUUUGUUGUUUAUUUUUUACUUCAAUAUUUUUAUUUUGUAAUAGAAAUUUGAAAAGAUUUUUUCCUACAUGUUAAAAAAAAAAAAGAUUUGAACACUCCUAAAAAAGAAAUAUUGCAAUAAAAUUAAAGUUUACACUGUAGGACUAUUAGCAAAUGCUGCAUACUUAAAAUAGACCAAUUAAAGUAGAAAUACUUCUAAAAUUGUAAUUUAGGUAACAAUAAUAUAAAAAGACAAUAUUUUUGAAACAAUAGUUCUCUUGGAGUUUUGGGUACAAUGGACUAGACUUUAUGUAACAAUAGAUAUACAAACUUUCCAUUAACAUCUUGAGAGACAUGAUGAGGAGCAAAGUCAUCCAAGAAGGUACCAUAGAGGUACCUUAGCUCAAUUCAUCUAGACUACAUAAUGUUUAAAGAUCAAAUUCAAUGACUAGAUUUCAAAAAUCAAUAUAAGCUUUCUCAUAUUCUACUCUAUAUAAGACAAUGGUAUGAUACCUCUCUUGUGUCGUAGAAUGCACCAUGAAAACCUUAUCAUUUUAACAUCAGUUUGAAACUUAAAAGUCACUUAGCACAUUCUAGUUAUUAAUUUAAGAGCAUUAAAAGAAAUAUAUAAAAAAAAAGUUACUUUAUCCUUGUGAUUUUGAUCUAGGACUUUUAAUGAUAUUAAAAAAAAAAACAGAAAAAUAAAUGGAAAUAAAAUCAAUAAAUUAAACAAUUGAAUUAAGUUAGUUUAAUUUUUGAAUCGUUAAAUGGGUAAAUAAAGAUCUUAGAUUUGAUAUUAAUAUGAACAUCAUGACUUCAGUGAAUCUUACAAGAAAAUUUUAGUUUGAAAGACUUCAUUCAUUAAACGUGUGGCACAUAUUAAAGUAAAACUAAGUCUUCUCUAUAAUUUGUACCUAUCAUAGUUUCUUUCCUCAUAAAUAGCCUUUUUUGAAUAUAAUAUAGACUUCAACAUGCAUGGUGGGGCCAAUCAAACUACUAGUCAAGACAACUCAUGGGCAACAACGAUGUACCAACUACAUUUAAAUACUCUUCAUAUAUUUGCAUAUCAAGAGUAAUUUAGUAGUGUCUUUCUUAUGUACCUCAUAUCUAGACUUUCAAUGGAGAGUUCUUCAUCUAAAAAUUUGACUUGGGUUUUCAUACUAGUUUUGGUUUAGACAUGUGGAUGCAAAGGUUGCAUCAAAGAAGAGAAGUAGGCUAAAUCAUCUUACAAAUUUUCAAGUUCAAAUUAGAUGCACCAAACAUAUGCAACAUAUUUGAUAUAACUAAUAUUUUCUUAAGUAAUUGAAUACAAUUUUUUUUUAUAAAUUCACUUGAUUAUUAAUGGAUAACUAACUACAUGUAUGGUAUUGACACAACUUGAUAAAUUUUUUAAAAUAGUAUUAGAAUAACUUUGCUAAAAAAAAGUAAAAAUAAAAAUAAAAAUACAUCUAUAUAUAUAUAUAAUUAAAUAAAAUUAAAAAUUAAUAUAUAUAUAUAUAUAUAUAUAUUCUGUGUGUGUAUGUGUGCAUGGUCUCACAAGUCAUUAGCUACUCAUAAGCUUUAUAUCACUUUCUCAAAGUCAAGUCAUUUUGUAAUUAUUUCUAUCUAGCCUUCUCCAUUACGACAACUGUAUAGGAUAUUGAUUGAUUGUAAAAAUCUUCAUGUCUUUUUUUAUAAGAUAGUUUUUUAUUAUUAUUAUUAUUCAAAGAAUUUUCUUUUAUUAUUGAAACUUUCAAAUCCUUUAUGUCUAGUGGUCCUACAAUUCCCUAUUCAUUGGUAUUUCAUAUUACCAAUCAUUUUACAAAUAAGUUUAUUUCACCCGGUAAAUAUACUUAACUACCAAUGGUUUCAAAUUUAAUUGAUUAACACACUUAUAGAUGUAAUUUGUUUUUAAAUUUUAUUUCUUUUAGAAGAAUUGUAGGUAAAAAUGUUCUAGGAAUAUGUGUUCAAUAAUUCUCUAAAAACAAUUUAUAUAGAUGGAAUACAUUCAUGGAAGUUCCAACUAAUGAAAUUUAAAACCAAUGACGAUUUAAUGUAUUUGCACUAAAUCUUAGGGGAGGUGUACUAAAACUAGCCCUUUUACAAAUAUUUGUAGCUAGUAUAUUUGUAGUUAUGGUGUUGGAAGUUGAUCAUUUUCUUAAAGGCCUCUAAGAUAUUGGAAAUAUCGCCAAAGUUUUGAACUUUUUGUUUCACCUAAAUAAAAUAUCAUUAAUUUAAUAUAUAUACUCUUCGCUUGAAAGUAUAGUUUCUUCAUAUUGUAUGAAGUUGUAACUAGGUGACAAUAUUAGGUGAAAUUUUUUUUUGUUUACUACAAAAUAUAAAUAAUAUAUUUAUUAUAUGAUAAAAUUUUGUAAAAUAUAUUAUUAUAGAUGCAAAAUUAUUAAUGGAGUUUUAUUUUUUACUAAAUUAUCAUUUCAAUAAAUAAGAACUUAUUUGUUAAAAGAAAAUUAUAAAAUAUAUGCAAUUGAAAAAAAUUUAAUUUUUUUAUUUAAUUUGGUAUUUUAUUUGAAUUAAUAAUUGAUAUUUGUAAAAUCUUUUAAUAUUAAAAGAAGUUAACAUACUUAAAAAAGACAUUCAAAAUCAAGAGAGUAUUUGAUAUGAAAUUAAUUAAUUAUUUUUUUUCUAUUUAAAUAAAUUUUUACAUCCAUUAAAAAAAUUUUCUUGUUUAUUUUUCACUUCAAUAUUUUUAUUUUGUAAAAUAAAUAGAAAUAAAAUCAACAAAUUAAACAAUUGAAUUAAGUUAGUUUAAUUUUGCCACCGUUAAAUUGGUAAAUGAAGACUCUUAUAUUUGAUAUUAACAUGAACAUCAUGACUUCAUUGAAUAUUCUCACAAGAAAAUUUUAGUUUGAAAGAUUUUAUCCUUUAAACAUGUGGCACAUAUUAAAGUGAGACCAAGUCUUCCCUAUAAUUUGUAUCUAUCACAAUUUCUUUCCUAAUGAAUAACCUUUUUGAAUAGAAUAUAGACUUUAGCAUAUUACCAACCAUUUUACAAAUAAGUUAAUUUCACUCAGUAAAUAUACUUAACCACCAAUGGUUUCCAAUUUGUAGCACUCUUAUAGAUGUAGUUUUUUUUUUAAAUUUUAUUUUUUAGAAGAAUUGUAGGUAAAAAUAUUUUAGAUAUAUAUGUUCAACAAUUCUCUAAAAACAAUUUAUAUAGAUGGAAUACGUUCAUGGAAGUUCCAACUAAUGAAAUUUAAAACCAAUGAUGAUUUAAUGUAUUUGUACUAAAUCUUAGGGAGUGUGGACUAAAAUUAGCCCUUUUACAAAUAUUUAUAACUAGUAUAUUUGUAGUUGUGGUAUUGAAAGUUGAUCAUUUUCUUAAAAGGUUUACCAUUGAAGUUAGUUGAAUAUAAAGUUAGGUGAACUUUACCAUUGUUUAAUUGGUAAAUGAAGACUCUUAGAUUUGAUACUAACAUGUACAUCAUGACUUCAUUGAAUCUCUCACAAGGAAAUUUUAGUUUGAAAGACUUCAUCUUUUAAACAUGUGGCACAUAUUAAAGUGGACCAAGUCUUCCCUAUAAUUUGUAUCUAUCACAAUUUCUUUCCUCAUAAAUAGCCUUUUUUAAUAGAAUUAAUAUAGACUUUAGCAUGCAUGGUGGGCCCUGUCAAACUAUUAGUCAAGAUAAUUUGUAGGUAAGAACGAUGGACCAACUAUAUUAAAUAUUCUUCAUCUAUUUGCAUAUCAAGAGCAACUUAAUAUUGUCUUUCUUUUGUACUUCAUGUUUGAACUUUCAAUGGAGAGUGUGUCAUCUAAAUAUUUGAUGUGGGUUUUUAUACUAUUCUUGGUUCAAAUAUGUGGAUGCAAAGGUUGCAUCGAAGAAGAGAAGAUGGGUUUGCUUGAAUUCAAGGCUUUUCUUAAAUUGAAUAAUGAGCAUGCAGAUUUUCUUCUCCCUUCAUGGAUAGAUAACAACACUAGUGAAUGUUGUAAUUGGGAGCGGGUUAUUUGCAAUCCCACCACAGGUCGAGUUAAGAAGCUUUUCCUCAAUGAUAUUACGCAACAACAAAGUUUCUUGGAAGACAAUUGGUACCAAUAUGAAAAUGUCAAAUUCUGGUUACUAAAUGUCUCCCUAUUCCUUCCUUUUGAAGAACUUCACCAUCUAAACUUGUCUGCAAACUCAUUUGAUGGGUUUAUUGAGAAUGAAGGUAUGUUACCUCUCACCUUUAAAAUUUCAUUUCACUUAUACUCCAAACAUUCUAAAGGAACUACUAGCAUAUGUUCUUAAAAGUGUUCAGGUGGAGACCAAAUGGUCACUAGUAACUAUUGAAUUUAAUAUAAGAACAAUUACUAAUUAUUAAAAUUUAUAAUGUAAAUUAACAUUUAAACAGAACAAUAAAAAAAUUAUUAUUUUAGAAAACUAUAGAUUACAUUAGCCUUAUAUAUAUAAGCAUACUUGUUAUUUAUGCCAUCAUUUCACACUCAACCCAAUAAGUGGGAUUCAACUAAGAGUGAGCAAUUUCACAAUUAUUAAUUAACAGGAACACUUAGUCUCCCAUAUCCUUAUCCUUUUUGUUGAAUUGUCUUUCCUUAUCUUCCAUUCCUAAAAAGCUUGAUUUCUAUAUUCUAAAUUGAUAAAGAUUGGUUAAAGAAAGGUGAUCACAAAAUUUGACUAUUGCUGUCAAAUAAGGAAUCACCAUCUUCAAAGUUUCACAUUUACAAAAAAAAAAAAAAAAAAAAAAAAAAAAAAAAAAAACCCUAGCCUUGGGUAAGGUCCAAGCCUUAUUGUUUUAAGCUGAUGUCGGGUUGGUUUAAUAAUAAACAAAAAAAAUCCUAACCCAUGACCAUCUACGCAUUUCCAAAUUCCACCCAUCCACAACCCAUUAAUAUGACAUUUUCAAGGACAAAAUUUAAUCAAUUAAACCUAUUAGAUGGAUUCUCCAUACAAUGUUAAAAUGAAUAUAAAAACUUUAAUUCAAAAAAUAAUUUCCUUUAUUUAGUUAGGAUUCAAAUUAUAGGGGCACAAAACAUGAAAAUUUUCAUGUUUAAAAUUCACAAAGAUCACAAAAGCUCUUUGAAGCUCUAUGGACUUUUUUAUUUCUAACAUUUAAACACAAAAAUCACCAUAUUUAAUUAGAGAUUUGGAUACAUAUUCUUAUAUUAAAGACAUGUAAGCUUACAUAUUUAAAUAUGAAGAUCUCAACUUGUAAUUACAUGCUUCUAAUUAAAGUUAUAUUACUCUAUUUUAUAGGAUUUAAAGGGUUAUCAAGUUUAAAGAAAUUGGAGAUCUUAGACAUAAGUGGUAAUGAGUUUGAAAAAAGUGUCUUAAAAUCUUUGGACACAAUAACAUCACUCAAGACAUUGGCUAUUUGCAGCAUGGGACUGAAUGAAUCUUUUUCCAUUCGAGGCAUGUUAUAUGUCCACAUUGUUUCUUUGAAAUUAAGUAAAAUAUAUUUCUAACUUUUAAUGUUCCUUAGUUAAUCUCUCUUUUGAUUCAUGUUUGUUGCAGAAUUAGCUAGUUUGAGAAAUUUGGAAGUGUUGGAUCUAAGCUAUAAUGAUUUGGAAAGCUUUCAACUAUUGCAAGGUACUUCAUUAACUUGCUAAAAAAACUUAUGAUAUUUUGUUAUUAAAUUAAAGGUAAGAUUAACAAACAAUUUCUUCUCAUUAGUUACUUUUCUUUGUAAUAUCAUUAAAUUUGAUAUAAAGUAGUCUAAAUCAUCCUUUCAAUUUAUAAGUUUUAAUUAAAACGCAUCAAGCAUGCACAAGAUGUUUAAUAUAACUAAUAUUUUCAUAAGUAAUUGAAUUUUUUUAUAUGAAUUAAUUAACUUGAUUAUCAAUAAAUACUUACAUGUAUAAGAUUAAUAUAGUUUCAUAAGUAUUUUAAAAUUGUCUUACAACACACACACACACACACACAAGGAAAAUGAAAGGUAUGUGAUAUCUUUAUGCUAUGUUUGGUUCCCAAAAAAAUUGAGGGAAAAUGAAAGGAGAAAAAAGUAGAGACGAAAAGUAAAAGAAAAGAAAAAAAGUAAAGAAAAAUAUAAAAUUGAUUAAAGUAAAUACAUUAUUUUUAUAUGUUACUUUAACUUGUUUCACUUAUUUUAAUUCUUCAAUGUAAAGAUGAAAGAUUUGAAAAUGCAUAAGUUUCUAAUUAUUUUUUAUUUUAUUUUAUAGUUUUUACAAUACAACCAAACAUAAUAAAAUCAUUUUCUUUAAUUUUUUUUCUUUUCUUAAUACUUUUCACGAACCCUUUAAGUUAUGUUUGUUUGCAGAAAAUAUGAGGAAUAGAAAAUAGAAAAGAAAAUUAGAAGGAAAGAAAAAGUGAAGUAAAAUAAAAAUAAAUUUAAAUUUAAUAAAUUAUUUGUAUAUGCUACUUUAAACUUAUUUCACUUAUUUUAAAUUAUUUAAACUCAUUUCUAAUAAAUAAUAAUGGAAAUUGUAGAGAAGUUUGUGUUAUUCAAGCUUUGCAAUGACUUUACAAGGUGAAGGAAAAUAUUCUUGCUGAAAUUGAAAAAAGAAAUACCUUCUUAAAUAGCCUAUUGACCGAAAACACAUUACCCUAACAUAUACACACACCUUUAUUAUUUAUACAAUCAUUUAAUACUUAAUCCAGUUAGUGGGAUUCUAGUGGUUGUUUUUAUCUUGGUUUCCAAUAUUUCUGAUUGAUAGUGUUCGAUUAAUGAAAUAUCAUAAAUUUUGACCCUAAUAAGGACCAAUCCCUAUUAAAUGUAAUUGGGUUGACCUAAGACUAAAUGUUAGAUCCAACUAAUAAAAACCCAUCUAUUUGUUGGAGUGUAAAUAACCCGGCCUUAGGUAGGGCCCAUGCCUUAUUAUUUUAAGAUGUAGUCCAACUGGUUUGACACUAGAUUGAGUAAAGCCCAACUUAUGAGCAUCUAUGCAUUUCCAUCCAUCCACAACCUACUGGCAUGGACAAACUUUGGUCAAUUAAACCUAUUAUAACUGCAUACAAAAUUUUAAGUUCAAAAGAUAAUUUUCCUUAUUUAGUUAGGAUUCAUAUUAAAAAGGCACAAAGCACGAAUUUUCAUGUUUAAAUUCACAAAUAUCACAAAAGCUCCUUCAAGCUCUAUGGACCAUUUUAUUUGUAACAUUAUAUUACUCUUAAUUAUCAAAUUAACCAACAAAUUCUUCUCAUUAGUUAUUUUUCUUUAGUAAUGUCAUAAAAUUUGAUAUAAAGUAGUAUUGGUCAUCAUUUCAAAUUUUAGGUUCCAAUUAGAUGUAUCAAGCAUGUGUACCAUAUUUGAUAUAACUAAUAUUUUUAUAAGUAAUUGAAUUUUUUUUUCUAUAAAUCAAUUAAUUUGAUUAUCAAUGAAUACUUUCAUACAUGAUAUUGAUGUAGUUUCAUAAAUAUUUUAAAAUAGUCAUAGAAGUCUUUUAUCUGAUUCACUAGAAAGAAAAAUAAACUAUUCUAAUGAAAAGACUUGAUGAUUUGAAGUGAUUGCUUUUGAUUUUAUUUGAUUGCUACCAUUAUUAAUUGUUAGAAAUUGGCAACAAAUACCCAUUUUGCAUCACUUCUAUAUGCAUCGGGGGAAUGAAUUAUAUUUCAUAGAGCUAAUAGGGCAAAACUCAAACUUUUGGAAUUAUGGAAAAGGUUGCUAGAAAGCUAAUUAACCAUUUAUAUUAUGAUUAAGACUAGUUGGGUUAGAAAUAAUUCAUAUGGAGAUUAAAAAAAACUAUGUAAUUUAGUUUAGUAGCUUGGGUGCUAUUGUAAUGAUUAAUGAUCUGCAACUUGAACACAUCUACUAGUGCUUUCUACUUGUAUAGCUAAAUUUAUGUUACCACUUUGAACUACAGUACUUACAUGAGAAGAAAGUUUUUCCUUAGUGAUAAUGCAAAAGAAAUUAAGUAUCAAUUUUUGUUAAACUAACAAGUGAUAGUUUAGAUAUGGUUUGAAUACACUUCCUUUCUUCUAUAUUUUUAUUUUGAAAAAAAAAAACUCUUUAAUGAAAUAUAAGAAAUCUUAUAUGUAUAAAAAUUAAAGACUUAAACAAAAAAAUUCUUCAAAUUUGAAAAUUUUCGAGAAGUAUUUUUAAGAAUUUGUAUUUUCAAUAUAAUAAUUCAUAUAUUUUGUAUAAAAGUUUUUGUUUAAAAAAAUAGAAGUGUGUCCAAAUUACAAAUUAAUUGUUAAAUUAAGAAUGUUUCUCAGAUCAAGAGAUGAUGAAAGUUGUAGAGAGUUUGCAUUACUCAACCUUUGCAAUUACUUUUUGAAGGUAAAAGAAAAUACCUUCCUACAUAACAUACAAUGGCAGGUUCUGGUUUGUAAGAAACUAAUAAAUGAUUAAGAAUAUGAAUAAGACUUCCUUUAUAAUGGAUAUGUAGAGAAGAAUAGUGGAUGAUAGGAGGUGAAAAUCUUGUAAUAAAAUAUCAAUAUCAGUUAUAAGAUAAUCAACAUUUUCUCUAUUUCUUGUACCUAUGUGAUUAAGAAUCUUGUAGCUCCCUUAUUGAAAUAUAAUAUAAAAAUAUAAAUAAACUAUUUAGAAGUGCAUGUAGUUUUCAACAUGAGGAAGUUCAAAAGCAAGUUAAUUAUGAUAAUUUUCUAUAGUCUAUAUUGAACACAAAUUAUUUUUACUAAAGGUUCAAUCGUUCUAUGAAGGUUAAAAGUUUGAAUUGUUUACAUAUGCAAAUGGACAACCAAACAAGAAAAUGAUUUUGAAAUCCUUUUUGGACCUUUUUUUAUCAUUCAUUUUUUCCCCUACUCUAUUUCCUUUCCCUCAAACUCUCUAGGUAGUAAACAUUACCUAAGAUAAAUAGGGAAGAAAAUAUUUUAUCAUUUAUUUAUUUAGUAUUUUUCUUACAUUUUUUGUAUGUUAUCCAAAUAUAAGAAAACUAUUUUUCUUUAUUUUUUCUUUUCCUUGUUGCUUUUCAAGAAUCAAGCAUACUUUAAACUCUAAUUAAGAGUUACAUAGAUUUACGAAGAAACAAUGCAACUGGUAACAAAAAAUUAAGGAAAUUUAAUUUUUGAGAGUAGGUAUAAUGAGAUUGGUUUGUUUGAUACAAAAUUUGAAUAAAAAUUCUUUCAAUGAAAAUUCAAGGAAAGGAAAAAAAAAACAACUUUCUCUCUAGACUAUAAUACUAAAUCACUUAAAAAAUAUCCUAACAUCGUUUAUGUUCAUCUUUCUUUUUAUGGAUUUGAAAAACCCAAUAAUUUGGAGAAAACUGAUUCAAGGAAGAAUAAUUUUUAGAAUAAAAUAUUAUUAUUUAAGAAGAUCAUAAAUAUUAUAGUCAUUGUUGAAUAUGAUAAAUGAUUUAAAAAAAAUGGUAGUUGGAAAUUUAGAUACUUUUAUAAGACAAAUGAAUUUUUCUAGUAUGGUAUGAAAAAAGGUAAAAUGAUAGGCUUUGAUCAUUUUUUAAGGUAGUUUGUUUAAAUCAUUUUAAUUUAUUUUCAUUUAAGAACAAUAACUUUUAUUACACUAGUUAUUUUGAUUUUCUUUUGAUAGAUUUUGCAAGCUUAAGCAAUUUGGAGCUAUUGGAUUUGAGUAAUAAUUCAUUUAGUGGGAGCGUUCCAUCAUCUAUAAGAUUGAUGUCUUCUCUCAAGUCUUUAUCCCUGGCUGGAAAUUACCUCAAUGGUUCCUUACCAAAUCAAGGUAUAUAUAUAUUGUGAUUACAGGUUUUUCUGUUUUCUUUUUUAAUAUCUUGUUUGUUCUUUAUGCCAAUGAAGUCAUGCAUGUCUAUUAAUUUUUGGUAUUUAAUAAAAAACUUUAUUCUUAAUUCAUAAAGACCUCAUCAACGGUAAGUAACAGCUAGUUGUAAGUUUGGGGGCAUUGACAAGACGAGGAGAUGAUUGGUUACAUGUCUUAUUCUCUUUUGUAGGCUUUUGCCAAUUGAAUAAGCUUCAAGAAUUAGAUCUUUCUUACAACUUGUUCCAAGGAAUCCUUCCUCCAUGUUUGAAUAAUUUGACAUCUUUGAGGUUAUUGGAUCUCUCUUCCAACCUAUUCUCCGGAAAUCUUUCUUCCCCUCUGUUACCUAAUCUCACAUCCCUGGAGUACAUCGAUCUCAGUUACAAUCAUUUUGAGGGUUCAUUCUCUUUCAGCUCUUUUGCUAAUCACUCCAACCUUCAAGUGGUCAAACUUGGAAGGAAUAACAACAAAUUUGAGGUAGAAACUGAAUAUCCAGUUGGUUGGGUUCCCCUGUUUCAGUUGAAAGCUCUUGUGCUAUCCAACUGUAAGCUCAUCGGUGACCUUCCUAGUUUCCUUCGACACCAAUUAAGAUUAACCGUGGUUGAUCUCUCCCAUAAUAACUUGACUGGAAGUUUCUCCAUUUGGCUGCUUGAAAACAAUACAAGACUAGGAUCUCUAGUUCUGAGGAAUAACUCUUUAAUGGGUCAACUACUUCCCCUGAGACCUAAUAGUCGUAUCACUUUAUUGGAUAUCUCAGACAACCGACUUGAUGGGGAACUUCAACAAAAUGUGGCCAAUAUGAUUCCAAAUAUUGAGUUUCUAAAUUUAUCCAACAAUGGUUUUGAAGAUAUUCUCCUAUCCUCAAUAGCCGAAAUGAGUUCCUUACAGUCAUUGGAUUUGUCUGCUAAUAGUUUCUCAGGGGAAGUACCAAAACAAUUGCUUGUGGCAAAAUAUUUGUGGCUUCUGAAAUUAUCAAAUAAUAAAUUUCAUGGUGAAAUAUUUUCAAGGGAGUUUAACUUGACUCAGUUAGGGUUUUUACAUUUGGACAAUAAUCAGUUCAAGGGAACACUGUCAAAUGUAAUCUCCAGAAUCUCUAGGUUAUGGGUGUUGGAUAGGUAACAUGACCGAUUUGACUACCCUAGUGUUGGGCAACAAUAGUUUUAAAGGCAAAUUACCACCUGAGAUUUCUCAAUUGUUGGGGAUGAUAUUUCUUGACCUUUCUUAAAACGCUCUUUCAGGAUCUUUUCUUUCUUUGAAGAGCCUGGAGUAUUUAGAGCAUCUACAUUUGCAAGGGAACAUGUUUAUAGGAUUGAUACCUAGAGAUUUUCUCAAUUCCUCAUAUCUAUUGACUUUGGAUAUCAGAGACAACAGGUUAUUUGGAAGUAUUCCCAAUUCAAUCUCUAGACUUUUAGAGCUAAGAGGAAACCUUUUAAGUGGUUUCAUUCCAUAUCAGCUCUGUCAUUUGACUAAAAUAAGCUUCAUGGAUCUUUCAAACAACAAUUUUUCUAGGUCAAUUCCUGGAUGCUUUGGUCAUAUCAGAUUUGGAGAUUUCAAAACUGAGCACAAUGUGUAUAUACCGAUGUUGGAUUCGUAUUCAGAAAGCAAUCCUUCUAUAUAUGCGGGUUACUUAAUAAAAUUUUAUUUUUCUCUAGUGAACUCCCUAAUGAAGUAGAUGAAGUUGAGUUUGUUACCAAGAAUAGGUAUAGCUCCCACAGAGUAGAUAAAUAUAUUUGUUGGGAAUUUAGAUAUUUUUAUAGAAAAGUAGACAAGUAUUCUAAUUUAUAAAAAUAAUGCAUUUCUUUAGUUUGGUAUAAAAAAAAUGAAAUGAUAUGUAUUGGUAAUUUUUUUUAAAGUAACAAACGUUUUAUUUUAUUUGUAUUUAAGAACAAUUUUUUUUCUUAUACUAGUUAUUUUAAUUUUCUUUUGACAGAUUUUGCAAGCUUAAGCAAUUUGGAGAUGCUAGAUUUGAGUUAUAAUUCCUUAAGUGGGAUUAUUCCAUUAUCUAUAAGAUUGAUGCCUCAUCUCAAGUCUUUAUCCUUGGCCAGAAAUCACUUCAAUGGUUCUUUACAAAAUCAAGGUACAUAUGUUAUGAUUUGUUUGUUUCAUAUAGAUUAGAGAAGAUGAAUAUUGUUAAAAAAAAAAAGUUGUUGUUAAUGUAAGCUAGAAAUAAGUAUUUUGCCUUAUAAAUUAUAUAAGCAUGUGUUUGUUCUGAAUGAAUCUUUACAACAUUUAGAGUUACCAAUGUUUAUAAUUCAUAAAGACCUCAUUAACAGUGAGUAACAACUAAUUGUAAGUAAUUGUGGAAAAAGUAAGGAAAACAAAAUGAGGGAAAAGCAAGGAAUUAGGAAAUUAUUUUGUUCCCAUAAAAAAAUGCUAAGGAAGAAAAAGGUAAAAGAAAGUUUAAAAAAAGUGUAUUUUUCAAAAAUUUAUUUCUCUUUCCUUUAAUUUUGCUAUGGACAACCAAACAAGAAAAUAAUUUUAUAAUUCCUUUUUUUUUUCAUUCUCUCUCUCUCUCUCUCUUUUUCCCUACUCUAUUUCUUUUCCCUCAAACUUUCUUGAUAGUAAACACAACCUAAGGUAAAUGAGGAAGAAAAUUUUUAGUUUUUUUUAUUUUUUAUUUUUUUAGAAUGUUUUCUUACUUUUUAGUAUUUUAUGCAAAUAUAGGAAAAUUUUCAUCUUUCUUUUUAUGGAUUUGAAAAACCCAAUAAUUUGGAGAAAACUGAUUCAAGGAAGAAUAAUUUUUAGAAUAAAAUAUUAUUAUUUAAGAAGAUCAUAAAUAUUAUAGUCAUUGUUGAAUAUGAUAAAUGAUUUAAAAAAAUGGUAGUUGGAAAUUUAGAUACUUUUAUAAGACAAAUGAAUUUUUCUAGUAUGGUAUGAAAAAAGGUAAAAUGAUAGGCUUUGAUCAUUUUUUAAGGUAGUUUGUUUAAAUCAUUUUAAUUUAUUUUCAUUUAAGAACAAUAACUUUUAUUACACUAGUUAUUUUGAUUUUCUUUUGAUAGAUUUUGCAAGCUUAAGCAAUUUGGAGCUAUUGGAUUUGAGUAAUAAUUCAUUUAGUGGGAGCGUUCCAUCAUCUAUAAGAUUGAUGUCUUCUCUCAAGUCUUUAUCCCUGGCUGGAAAUUACCUCAAUGGUUCCUUACCAAAUCAAGGUAUAUAUAUAUUGUGAUUACAAGUUUUUAUGUUUUCUUUUUUAAUAUCUUGUUUGUUCUUUAUGCCAAUGAAGUCAUGCAUGUCUAUUAAUUUUUGGUAUUUAAUAAAAAACUUUAUUCUUAAUUCAUAAAGACCUCAUCAACUGUAAGUAACAGCUAGUUGUAAGUUUGGGGGCAUUGACAAGACGAGGAGAUGAUUGGUUACAUGUCUUAUUCUCUUUUGUAGGCUUUUGCCAAUUGAAUAAGCUUCAAGAAUUAGAUCUUUCUUACAACUUAUUCCAAGGAAUCCUUCCUCCAUGUUUGAAUAAUUUGACAUCUUUGAGGUUAUUGGAUCUCUCUUCCAACCUAUUCUCCGGAAAUCUUUCUUCCCCUCUGUUACCUAAUCUCACAUCCCUGGAGUACAUCGAUCUCAGUUACAAUCAUUUUGAGGGUUCAUUCUCUUUCAGCUCUUUUGCUAAUCACUCCAACCUUCAAGUGGUCAAACUUGGAAGGAAUAACAACAAAUUUGAGGUAGAAACUGAAUAUCCAGCUGGUUGGGUUCCCCUGUUUCAGUUGAAAGCUCUUGUGCUAUCCAACUGUAAGCUCAUCGGUGACCUUCCUGGUUUCCUUCGACACCAAUUAAGAUUAACUGUGGUUGAUCUCUCCCAUAAUAACUUGACUGGAAGUUUCCCCAUUUGGCUGCUUGAAAACAAUACAAGACUAGGAUCUCUAGUCGUAUCACUUUAUUGGAUAUCUCAAACAACCGACUUGUUGGGGAACUUCAACAAAAUGUGGCCAAUAUGAUUCCAAAUAUUGAGUUUUUAAAUUUAUCCAACAAUGGUUUUGAAGGUAUUCUCCCAUCCUCAAUAGCUUAAAUGAGUUCCUUACAGUCGUUAGAUUUGUCUGCUAAUAGUUUCUUAGGGGAAGUACCAAAACAAUUGCUUGCGGCAAAAUAUUUGUGGCUUCUGAAAUUAUCAAAUAAUAAAUUUCAUGGUGAAAUAUUUUCAAGGGACUUUAACUUGACUCAGUUAGGGUUUUUACAUUUGGACAAUAAUCAGUUUAGGGGAUAUUUCUCCAGAAUCUCUAGGUUAUGGGUGUUGGAUGGGAGAUAGUUUUAAAGGCAAAUUACCACCUGAGAUUUCUCAAUUGUCGGGGAUGAUAUUUCUUGACAUUUUUCAAAACGCUCUUUCAGGAUCUCUUCCUUCUUUGAAGAGCCUGGAGUAUUUAGAGCAUCUACAUUUGCAAGGGAACAUGUUUAUAGGAUUGAUACCCAGAGAUUUUCUCAAUUCCUCAUAUCUAUUGACUUUGGAUAUCAGAGACAACAGGUUAUUUGGAAGUAUUCCCAAUUCAAUCUCUAGACUUUUAGAGCUAAGAGGAAACCUUUUAAGUGGUUUCAUUCCAUAUCGGCUUUGUCAUUUGACUAAAACAAGCUUCAUGGAUCUUUCAAACAACAAUUUUUCUGGGUUAAUUCCCGGAUGCUUUGGUCAUAUCGGAUUUGGAGAUUUCAAAACUAAGCACAAUGUGUAUAUACCGAUGUUAGAUUCGUAUUCAGAAAGCAAUCCUUCUAUAUAUACGGGUUACUUAAUAAAAUAUUUAUUUUUCUCUACUGAACUCCUUGAUGAAGUAGAUGAAGUUGAGUUUGUUACCAAGAAUAGGUAUAGCUCCCACAGAGUAGAUAAAAAUAUUUGUUGGGAAUUUAGAUAUUUUAUAGGACAAUAUACAAGUAUUCUAAUUUAUAAAAACAAUGCAUUUCUUUAGUUUGGUAUAAAAAAAAUAAAAUGAUAGGUAUUGGUAAUUUUUUUUCAAAGUAACAAACGUUUUAUUGUAUUUGUAUUUAAGAACAAUGUCUUUUCUUAUACUAGUUAUUUUAAUUUUCUUUUGACAGAUUUUGCAAGCUUAAGCAAUUUGGAGAUACUAGAUUUGAGUUAUAAUUCCUUAAGUGGGAUUAUUCCAUCAUCUAUAAGAUUGAUGUCUUGUCUCAAGUCUUUAUCGUUGGCCGGAAAUCACCUCAAUGGUUCUUUACAAAAUCAAGGUACAUAUGUUAUGAUUUGUUUGUUUCAUAUAGAUUAGAGAAGAUAAAUAUUGUAAAAAAAAAAAAAGUUGUAGUUAAUGUAAGCUAGAAAUAAGUAUCUUGCCUUAUAAAUUAUAUAAGCAUGUGUUUGUUCUUAAUGAAUCUUUACAACAUUUAGAGUUACCAAUGUUUAUAAUUCAUAAAGACCUCAUUAACGGUGAAUAACAACUAAUUGUAAGUAAUUGUGGAAAAAGUAAGGAAAACAAAAUGAGGGAAAAGCAAGGAAUUAGGAAAUUAUUUUUUUCCCAUAAAAAAAUGCUAAGGAAGAAAAAGGUAAAAGAAAGUUUAAAAAAAGUGUAUUUUUAAAAAAAUUAUUUCUCUUUCCUUUAAUUUUGCUAUGGACAACCAAACAAGAAAAUCAUUUUAUAAUUCCUUUUUAUUUUUUUCAUUCUCUCUCUCUUUUUUUCCCUACUCUAUUUCUUUUCCCUCAAACUUCCUUGGUAGUAAACACAACCUAAGAUAAAUGGGGAAGAAAAUUUUCAGUUUUUAUUUUUAUUUUUUUAGAAUGUUUUCUUACUUUUUAGUAUUUUAUGCAAAUAUAGGAAAAUUAUUUUUUUUUCUUGCUCCUUUUCAGACAUGAAUCACACUUUAAAAGAAAAUUAAUUUUUAAUUAGGAGUUAAGAUAAAUUUAAGGAGAAACAAUGAAUCACGAAUAACAAAAAAUUAAGGAAAUUGAAUUUUUGAAAGUAAGUAUAAUCAAAUUGCUUCAUUUGAUACAAAAUUUGAAUAAAAAUUCUUUCAAUGAAAAAUCAAGGAAAGGAAAAAACAUUUUUGUCUCUAGAUUAUAAUACUUAAUCAUGUAAAAAAUCUCUUAACAUCAUUUAUAUUCAUAUUUCUUUUUGUAGAUUUGAAAAAUUCAACAAUUUGGAAUAAACUUAUUCAAUGAAGAAUAAUUUUUAGAUUUAAAGAUUAUUAUUUAAGAUCAUAAAUAUUACCAUCAUUGUUGAUGUCCAAGAAGAUCAUAUUCAACAAUUUUUUUAAUAUGUUGUUUUUUAUGGUAAUUAAUUGAUGUCUUGUAAUUUUUAAUAUUUAAUGAAAAACAUUAAUUUAAUUCAUCUAAAGCUCUUAAUUCAUGAAGACCUCGUUAAUGUAAUGGUGAGUAAUAGUUGGCUGUAAGUUUGGAGUCAAAGACAUGUUAAGGAGAUGAUUAGUUACAUGUCUUAUUCUCUUUUGUAGGUUUCUGCCAAUUGAAUAAGCUUCAAGAGUUAGAUCUUUCUUACAACUUAUUCCAAGGGAUCCUUCCUCCAUGUUUGAAUAAUUUCACAUCUCUGAGGUUAUUGGAUCUCUCUUCCAACCUCUUUUCCGGAAAUUUUUCUUCCCCUCUGUUACGUAAUCUCACAUCCCUAGAGUACAUAGAUCUCAGUUCCAAUCAGUUUGAGGGUUCAUUCUCUUUCAGCUCUUUUGCUAAUCAUUCCAAGCUUCAAGUGGUCAUACUUGGAAGGGAUAACAACAAAUUUGAGGUAGAAACUGAAUAUCCAGUUGGUUGGGUUCCCCUGUUUCAGUUGAAGAUUCUCUCUCUAUCCAGCUGUAAGCUCACCGGUGACCUUCCUGGUUUUCUUCAAUACCAAUUCAGGUUAGUGGGGGUUGAUAUCUCACAUAAUAACUUGACAGGAAGUUUCCCCUAUUGGUUGCUUGAAAACAAUACGAGACUAGAAUCUCUAGUCUUGAGGAAUAACUCUUUAAUGGGUCAACUACUUCCCUUGGGACCUAAUACUCGUAUCAAUUCAUUGGAUAUCUCACACAAUCAGUUGGAUGGACAACUUCAAGAAAAUGUGGCCCAUAUGAUUCCAAAUAUUAUGUUUCUAAAUUUAUCCAACAAUGGUUUUGAAGGUAUUCUCCCAUCCUCAAUAGCUGAACUAAGAGCCUUAUGGAUUUUGGAUUUGUCUACCAAUAAUUUCUCUGGAGAAGUACCAAAGCAAUUGCUUGCAACAAAAGAUUUGGGGAUUCUGAAAUUAUCAAAUAAUAAAUUUCAUGGUGAAAUAUUUUCAAGGGACUUUAACUUGACUGGGUUAUUGUGUUUGUAUUUGGGCAAUAAUCAGUUCACAGGAACUCUGUCAAAUGUAAUCUCCAGAAGCUCUUGGUUGGAGGUGUUGGAUGUGAGCAACAACUACAUGUCAGGUGAAAUUCCAAGCCAGAUAGGUAACAUGACCGAUUUGACUACACUGGUGUUGGGCAACAAUAAUUUUAAAGGCAAAUUACCACUUGAGAUUUCUCAAUUGCAACGGAUGGAGUUUCUUGACGUUUCUCAAAAUGCUUUUUCAGGAUCUCUUCCUUCUUUGAAGAGCAUGGAGUAUUUAGAGCAUCUACAUUUGCAAGGGAACAUGUUUACAGGAUUAAUACCCAGAGAUUUUCUCAAUUCCUCAAAUCUAUUGACUUUGGAUAUUAGAGAAAACAGGUUAUUUGGAAGUAUUCCCAACUCAAUCUCUGCACUUUUGAAGCUAAGGAUUCUUUUGCUAGGAGGAAACCUUUUAAGUGGUUUUAUUCCAAAUCAUCUUUGUCAUUUGACUGAAAUAAGCUUGAUGGAUCUUUCAAACAACUCUUUUUCAGGGCCAAUUCCCAAAUGCUUUGGCCAUAUCCGAUUUGGGGAAAUGAAAAAGGAGGACAACGUGUUUGGACAGUUCAUUGAAUUUGGGUUUGGAAUGGUUUCUCAUCUUGUAUAUGCAGGUUACUUGGUGAAAUAUUACGGUUCCCCAACUUUAGUAUAUAAUGAAAAAGAUGAAGUUGAGUUUGUCACCAAGAACAGGAGUGACUUCUACAAAGGUGGCAUCCUUGAAUUCAUGUCUGGAUUGGACUUAUCAUGUAACAACUUGACAGGCGAAAUACCUCAUGAACUUGGAAUGCUAAGUUGGAUUCGUGCAUUGAACUUGUCUCACAAUCAAUUGAAUGGCUCCAUUCCAAAGAGUUUCUCUAAUCUUUCUCAAAUAGAGAGCUUAGACCUUUCUUAUAAUAAACUGGGUGGAGAAAUUCCUCUAGAGCUAGUUGAACUCAAUUUUUUAGAGGUGUUUAGUGUGGCUUACAACAACUUCUCUGGUAGAGUUCCAGAUACCAAAGCACAAUUUGGGACAUUUGAUGAAAGGAGCUAUGAAGGUAAUCCUUUCCUUUGUGGGGAACUAUUAAAGAGGAAAUGCAACACAAGUAUUGAGUCACCAUGCACACCAUCACAGUCUUUUGAAAGUGAGGCAAAAUGGUAUGAUGUCAAUCAUGUUGUUUUCUUUGCAAGUUUUACUACUUCAUAUAUCAUGAUCUUGUUAGGAUUUGCUAUCAUCCUUUACAUCAAUCCUUAUUGGCGUCAUAGAUGGUUCAAUUUUAUCGAGGAAUGUAUAUAUUCCUGCUAUUAUUUUGUUUUUGAUAGUCUUUCCAAGUUAUCAGCAUAUUUGUAUAAUUAGAUACUUUUAAUUGGAUGAUAUUUGCAUAAUUAACUACUAUUUGUUUCCCUGGGAUAGAAAGAAAUGGGAUGUAUAAUGCUAUGAGCUGAAACUUACAUACUUUGCUCAAAUUCUAACAUCUUUUGAUUUUAUUUUCAAGUUCCGUUAUUUAUUAUGUAUUGCUUAAUUCAAGAUUUAACCAUAUUACGUUACUCUUAUAAAAGCAAAUUCAAAUUUUUAGGAACUUUUAGCAUUAAAAUAAUUUCAUAGUCAGAUUUUAAAAAAUAAAGAAGAAAGAAAAUAAUAAAUAAUUGGAAAAACAAUUCAAGGAAGUAUUAAAUUAUUAUCUUAGAAUUAUUUGGCGUAGUAUGGGAAUUCAAAAAUAAUCUUUCAAUUUGUUAGAAAUGUUUAUUUAUUUAUUAUAGCAAUGAUUGAAAUAUCAAUCACAAAGUAAUGUUUUCUUUUCUUUUGUAGGGCACUAACACUUUUUCUUUGAUAGUAAUAAUUGAUAAAUAUAUUACACAAUUAUUUGUUUUAAAAAAGGGAGGGAUGACAAACAUAAUAACAUGUGAAAUAUUUCUAAAACUGUAAUGGGAAAUAAGCCAUCUAAUUAGGGUGCAAUAUUAUUCAUUUUAAUUUACAUGAAUUUACUUAUUUUUAUUUGCAUCAUAUUUUGAACUAUUUUAUGAAAUUAAGGGAGAUUAAAACAUCACGAGUUUCUUAUUUUAGUUUAUAUUCUUAAUAAUAAAGCAUGAAAUAUUAUAAAAAAAAAAAUCAUGAAUUUCUUUAAUUCCUUAGGAAACCAAUAUAUAAAAAAUUGAACAUAUUAUUAUUUUAUAUCCUAAAUCUCUAAAUUUGUUCAUUACCUAUUUAUUUUUAUAUUAAAUUUAUUAUUAAUUAUUUAUUUAUAUUAUUAUUUUAUGUUUAAAAUGUUCAUAAAUAAUUAAAAUUAAUAAAUAUAAAAAUAAAAUAUUAAAAAAUUAAAUUAUAAAGAUUUCAUCAAACUGACAUAUUUAAAAAAAAAAAAAAGCUAAAAAAGAUGAGGAUAUUAUAGAGGAGGGGAAAAGGAUAAAAGAAAAUUCAUGUGGUAUGAUAAUAUCACGUGUCAAAGUUAUUUUCUUUAAAAAAUAAUAAUAGUAAUGAUGAACUCAUUUGUCUUAUCAAAGUAAGUUAAAAAAAAAAAAAAAAAAAAAAAAGAAAAGAAAAAGAUGGUAGUUGGCUUAUUUGUUCUUUGAAAAUAAAAAAUCAAAGUUUUAGAAAAAUACAAUUUUCUUUUAAAUGAUGAAUGGUUACAUCAUUUCCCCUUAGCUUAUCUGUUCCUUUAAACUUUAGUUUGAAUAAAAUUAGUUUUAAUUAUUUUCUUUUUGGAAUUAUAUUUAAUCGUAUUAUUAAAAAUAUAAAAAACAUCGUAAUAAUAUUGUCAAUAAGUUUUUUUAUAUAUAUUGAAAAAUAUUUAUAUUUAAAAAUAUUUAAAUUUUGUCAUGGGCUGCCCAUUUCAAAAUGAUAAGAAUAUAAUAACCUAAUUUUUCCAAAUUCCAGGUAAAUAUGCUAAUCUAAAAAAAAAAAAUUAUUAGGUUUUUAUGUGCUGAUUGGGUUUUUUUUAUACCCAGUAUGCUCUCCAAUCUACCACUUAAGCAUCCGACAUGGCUAAAAAUAAAUUUUUAAAAAAAAGAAUAAAAAAGGAAAAAAACGAAAGUGUGUGAUCUCUUUCUUGAGUCUUCACAAUCUGAGACACUGAACCCAAAUCAAAAUUAAUCCUCCAAAUUAAUUUUCACCUCCAACCCAAACCCUAACGACUGCCUCACUUUCUUCUCAAACAUAGCUAUACGAAAAACCCUAGCCUCUGCCUCGUCUUCCUCUUAUCCCGGAAACCCAAAUCCCGUGACCCUAACCCCUUCUCUUUCCGAAAACCCUCCAGAAUCGGAAGAUUCAAGUGAUCGAAUUAAUUCUUCAGAAUUAAUUUUCACCUCGAAGCCGAACCCUAACUGCCUCAUCUUCCUCUCAUUCAUAUCCCAAAAGUAGCUUCAACAGUCAGGCCUGCGGCCAUGAAAGCCGUAGUGAUCGCCACUUCCGGCGAUCCCCAAGUUCUCCAAGUGCAAGAAGUCGAAAACCCUGAAAUUGGAGAUGAUGAAGUUCUAAUUAGAGUGGACGCCGCUGCCAUUAAUCGAGCGGAUACGCUUCAGAGGAAGGGCUUGCACCCUCCCUCAAAGGCGGCAGUCCCUACCCCGCUGGAAUCAUCGAAGCUGUUGGAAAGGUCGUCGUUCGAUGGAAGGUUGGCGAUCAGGUAUUUCAAUUGCCUAAUAUUUUGAUUCCGUUUCUGUUCCUGUAUUUUUCUCGGCUAUCCUUUAUGUGAUUUUGCUUCCUCCUGAGUACAAGUUCAUAAUAUACAUGGUACAUGGUGAAUCUGUAUGACAUUUCAUGGUAUACAGGUGUGUGCUCUUCUUUCUGGUGGAGGGCAUGCUGAAAAAGUGGCUGUUCCAGCUGGGCAAGUUCUCCCUGUCCUAUCUGGUGUUUCUCUGAAGGAUGCUGCUGAGGUUGCAUGUACUGUUUGGUCAACUGUUUUAAUGAUGAGCCGACUGUCUGCAGGAGAAACAUUCCUGGUGAAUUUUUUGUCUUUUUUAUUUUCUGAUGCCUGAUAUAUUUACCAGCACAAAUUUUCCCUGUUGCUGUUUAAUGUGUGUGCAUCAAUAUUGGAUUAGGGAGGUAGAAGAGCCAUGGUUCUAUUACAUCAUCAUAUUCUUAUUUAGAUACAUUGUAUCCCACAAUUUCAUUGCAUCCAAGGCUAUGUUGUUUUUUAUUGCACGGUUUGUCAUGGUAAUUUCUCAACCCUUCUCUGGAAAAUUAUGUUGGAUGGCUGCUAUUAAUUACCCCAAAAGAAGAAAUUUUAUGUUGAAGUAAGAUGAGUAGCACAAAGAGUUACUUGUGGUUGAUCCUAUCAUCAAAUGGGCGAUUGAUGCACAAUCCAAAUGGUAAAUUUUUUUCCCCCUUUAUCCAGAUGGAAUUUUUAUGCAUGGUUGAAUAGUGAAAUGAGGACUGAUAAUAUUUCAGGUUCAUGGGGGUUCAAUUGGAAUUGGUACCAUCUAUUCAAAUAGUGAAAUAUUGAGGAGCAAGGGUAUUUGUUACAGCAGGUUUGCCAUCACUGUUCUACCUCAUCCCACAGAAUGCUUAUCUCAUGGCACCAAUUCCUUUUCUUCACAUGUUUUCAACCAUUUUUUCCACCCAGGAACGAGGAAAAAUUAGCUGUUUGUAAGGAUCAUUGAGCAGAUGUGUGCAUCAAUUACAAGACUGAAAACUUUGUUGCAUGGGUGAAGGAGGAAACAGGAGGGAAAGGUACAUUCUAUUGUAUCUUAACGAUAAUUUCAAUUGAAGGUGGAAUUGCUUUUUAUUUUUUAGUGCACCAAAUCCACUAGUCUGGAAUGUUUGAAAAGAUAAAUAGUCAUCUUCCACUUGAUUCCGAUUGUGAAGAUCUAACCCCAAAAAUGUUGAAUGACAGGUGUUGAUGUUAUACUGGAUAAUAUUGGAGGGGCCUACUUUUGGGGAGACAUCAAUGGUUUAAAUGUUGAUGGAAGGCUUUUUAUUAUUGGUUUUCAGGGUGGAACAGUGGUACAAGUAAAUCUUUCAGGUUUACUUGCAAGGCGCCUUACAGUGCAAGGUACCACUUUCUCUGUAGAAGAUUUUUCUGUAGUUUUGGAGUUGAAUCAAUUUGAUUAAUCUCAUCCAAGUUCAGAACUGAGGUGGAUUCUGGCAAGCCAAGGAAAAACCAAAUUACCAUAAAUUCUUUUUUUUUUUCUGGAUCGUUUUACUUCUUGGAAAUCCUGUUUCUCGAUCUGGUCAGGUAUAUGGAAAUUCCAAGGAAAAUAUGUUUUACAUUUUCCAUAAUUGGAAACACUCAGGAAUUUAAUAUUUUCCUCUGAAAUAGCAAUGGUUUUCUAAUUACGACAUUUGUUUUUCUUGUAUCAUCCCAAAAUAUUUUUUAGGUGUUUGUUCUCUCUUGACACAGCUUUUAAUUGGGUCUGUCUUGCUUUUUGAUAGAUCUCUUGACAAGUUGCUUGUAUAUCAUACUUUCUUUAUUGUUUUCGGAUCAUGAACCUUGCUUCUGUCAGCCCUGUUAUCACUACCCAAACUAGUAAAUUUAUGCACAAAACUCCAUGUGUCAGUAACAGUGGUUAUUUGAUUGUAUUAAAUAAUUUGUAAAUACAGUGGAUAAGUUUGUGCAUAGAUUGAAGGCGAAUGAAAAACGUGCAUAGAUUGAAGGUGUGCUGCUUGAGUUGAUUGUAGUUUGAGCAUGAAAAUUUGAAGAUCCAGAACAGCAAAUGAGGAAUGCCUAUCAAUUUGAAACCAGCAUGGGUGGAUGAAUGGAGAGGUUCUUCACUGAAUUUGUCCAUGAAGCUUUUUAGCACUCUAGGGCAAGGGUCUCCAAGCCUAGCUGUUGAUUGCACAUCCCUCCUGCGCAAUACUAAGAACAGAGUGAAAUGCAAAUGCAGGAAAGGGUGUUUCUUAGCUGUUCAACAACUGACAAUACAUUGGCAUGACAAUUCCCUGGAUCGAAUGCCACAAUGCCCUCUUGGAGUUCCAAAGCUUGUUCACAGGUCAAACGAACUUGAGGGUUUUGGGACAUGAACUCCAAGUUUGGUUGCCAAGAAUCUCCAGGUGGAGGAUCAGCUUCUGACACGUGCACACACCUCUUGGCCAGUUUGUGUUAUUGCAAUUUUUAUUAAAUUGCUAAAAAAUUUAUCGCGAACAAUUUUUUCUUUUUUCUUUUUUCUUUUUUUCUUUUUAAACAAACUGCAAAAAUCCCUUUUUUUUUUAUAUAAAAAAAAAAAAAAUUCUCCAACAAAGUGAUUUUUUUUUGUGGCAUGACUCGGUUUGACCACUAACUCGGUGAACUGGUCUAUCGGCUCAAGUUUGGAUCCCUUAAUUUUGUGGCAAAUUGGGCAUCAAGCCCAACAACCUAACUUCCAUGCGGGCUAUCUACUGGAUCUCACCCAUUGUAACUUGCUCUGGGUGAAUGGCCAUUAUAAACUUCAUUUUAUCCUCAUGUGAUUUUGAUGUGGGAAUGGGAGAGAUGAGGAUUUGACAUUUGGACCUAAGGCUCAAUGGGUUUUAACUCCACUCAGCUACUUUAUGUCUUGUAUUUAAUAUUGCAAACCAAAAUAAUAAUAGACAUGAUUCUUUUCAAAAAAUUUAUAAUGUAAUAUUUUUUAAAAUUAUAAAAUAAUAGGUUAUAUAAAUUUUAAUAUAUAGGUAAAAUUAAUUAAAUUUUAACAAAUAUCUUCACAUUUAGACAUUACAUAUUUUUUAUUUAAUAAAAUUUUAAAAUAUUAAUAUAUCUAAAUAUAAUAUUAAAAAUGAAAAAUAAAAUAGUAAUAAUUUUUAUUUUCUUUAUAUAUUUAAAAUUAUAUAAUUAUUUUUUAUUUUAAUAACAUAUAAAUUGUAUAUUUAUAAUAUUAUUGGUUCAACUGUGAUUCAACCAUCACUCCGAUUAUUCAAUUAUGAAUUAAUAAAUUUUUUAAUUCAAUGAUAGGUUUGAUUAUAAAAAUAUUAUGUUUUUUUUUAUGAAAAGUACUCAAGAAAUAUCAUUAAUCACUAAGAUCACGUGGUUGGAUUAGGUGUAUCCGAAACAUAGGUAUUACUCUCUUCCUUAGUUAGGGCUUAGCUUUUGAAAAUGUAGAUAGGUAAAGUGGAUGGAAAGUCUAUAACUACGUAGAGAUUGAGCUUGGAGGCCAAUCUAGCAAAUGUGGAGAUUAGAAAUAGUUUACCAUCUAGAUAGUCAAGCAUAGCAAUUUACCAAACCCUUACCAACCAUCCAUACUAACCAAUUGUGGUUAAAUGUUUACAAAAAUGUACAUUAAAUCAAAGAGAAAAAAGAUUAAAAACGAACAAGAGAGAAGAAGCACAUCACCUAAUUUUGGUAAUAAAUGAAAUUAAAAUAAAUUCAUAAAUUUUUUAAAUUAAAAUGAAUUUGAACUCUAGAGAUUUGUGUAGAUAUCUUAUUAAAAAACCAAAAAGUUUGUUGCAUAUAUAAUUUCAACAAUGCAUAAAUAAUUACAACAUACGCAAUACAAUAAUAUUACACAACUAUAUUUUCAAAUAUAAUAUAAGAUCAUUAAAGUGAUAAAUUGUAGUUGUAUAAAGUAUUUAUACAAGUAAAGAAGAAAUUAUGAGAUUAAAAUGCUUGUUGGAUUCUAAGUAAAAAAGAAAUGAGAUAUAGAGAUUGUCCCAUCAGACAUAUAGAAUUUCAUAUACAUAAUUUUCCCUUCAAGAAAAUUUAGGGUCAAAUUGAAAAAAUUUCAUUCAUAGAUUUUGGUAAAACCUCUAUCUAGUCCCCGAAGUCUUGUAUACAAAAGGAAAUAACAUUGGUAUGAGGGGUUUGAAUGCUUAAUUUUAGAUUGAAAAUGCUUGAGAUAAUUUUUGAUCGACUUCACAUGUGUUUUUAAUAAACUUGGAACAUUCAAACUUGUAUUUGAAGAAUCUUCAAUUUGAUCUUAAAUAAUGUUGAAACCUUCAAAAUUUGAAUAGAAGAAUCUUUAAGCAUUUGAAUUUUGGUUUAAAGAAUUUUGAAAUUUGAGACUGAAGAAUCUUCAAAUUUGGGCCUGAAGAUCAAAGGCUAAGCUUGAAGAGUUCUUGAAGCUUGAGUGGUAUGUCCGAUUUUGUUUUGUAUUUUAUAAAAACUUUUAGGCUAUGUUUGGUUCCCAGAAAAUUUGAGGGAAAAUGCGAGGGAAAGAAAAUACAAAGGAAAAGUAGAAGGAAAGAAAAAGUGAAGGAAAAUAAAAAAAUAGAUUAAAAGUUGAUAAAUUAUUUUUUUUGUUACUUCAAACUCAUUUUAUUUAUUUUAACUCAUCAAUAUAAAGAUUAAAUAAUUUAAAAAUAUAAAAGUUUUUAAUUAGUUUUAAUUAUAUUUAAUUUUCUUUGAUAUUUUUUAUAAGACAACCAAACAUGAGAAAAUCAUUUUCCUUAGCAUUUUUUUUCUUUCCUUUGUACUUUCCGGGAACCAAACAUAGCCUUAAGUAUACUAUAUUUAUAGGUUUGAAGAGACAUUGAGAUUUUGUAUACAUGUUUGGAGUUUUAAACCUUGAAAUAUUACUCUUUUAUGAAAUUAACAUUUAUAAAAUUUGGAAGAACAUAAUUAGAUAAUAUUCUAAGUUAUUUUUAAUGAAAAUUGAUAAUUACCUUUUAAUUAUCAAAUUCACUAUUUCUAUUUAUUUUUGUAAUAUAUAUUAAUUACUAAAAUCAUUUAUUUCCUUUAUUUAGUUUGAAAGCAAUUAUAUAUCUUUUGUUUGUGUAGAGCUCAUGUGACACGACAAAUUUUAUUUUGUAACUUGCUCUGGAUGAAUGGCCAUUAUAAACUUCAUUUUAUCCUCAUCUGAUUUUGACGUGGGAAUAGGAGAGAUGAGGAUUUGACAUUUGGACCUAAGCCUCAGAGGGUUUUAACUCCACUCAACUACUUUAUGCCUUGUAUUUAAUAUUGCAAACCAAAAUAAUAACAGACAUGAUCCUUUUCAAAAUUUUUAUAUUAAUAGAAGUGUAAAUAAUAUAAGUAAAAAUAAUGUAAUAUUUUUUAAAAUGAUAAAAUAAUAGGUUACAUAAAUUUUAAUAUAUAGGUAAAAUUAAUUAAAUUUUAACAAAUACCUUCACACUUAAACAUUACAUAUCUUUUAUUUAAUAAAAUGUUAAAAUAUUAAUAUAUUUAAAAUUGUAUAAUUAUUUUUAUUUUAAUACUAUAUAAAUUAUAUAUUUAUGAUAUUACUGGUUCAACUAUAAUUCAAUCACUGGUCCAACCAUUGAACCAUGAAUUAGUAAAUUUUUUUAUUCAAUGAUAGGUUUGAUUCUAAAAACAUUAUGGCUAUGUUUGGUCCCAGAAAUUUUUUUUUGAUGGAUAAUGACAAAGAUAUUACCAAUUUGAUAUCACCAAUUGAUAACACAAUUAAAAAAUAAUAUGAAUUUUAACAUAUUUGAAUUCAUUGUAAUCAUAUCCAUGACCUAAUUUUACACAUCCUUAAAUCAUGGUUGAUUUAUGAAACAAAUCUAUACCAUCAAUAGAAAAUAAAUAAAUAAAAUAAUACAAAAAAAAUAUAUAGAUAGUCAAGCAUAGCAAUUUACCAAACCCUUAGCCACCAUCCAUACUAACCUGUUGUUGUUAAAUGUUUACAAAAAUAUACAUUAAAUCAAAGAGUAAAAAGAUUAAAAACGAACAAGAGAGAAGAAAUACAUCACCUAAUUUUUGUAAUAAAUGAAAUUAUAAUAAAUUCAUAAUUUUUUUAAAUUAAAAUAGGAAUUCAAAUACAUGUAACUAUUGUUUUUGUCUUGUAAAUCAUCCAAUUUUUCAAUGAAUUUAAACUCCACAGAUUUGUGUAGAUAUCUUAUUAAAAAAAGCAAAAAGUUUUCACUAAAAUCAUAAAAUUUAGAUUAGAAAUGAUUUACUAUAUUAGUUCAAAAUUCACCUCCACAAAAAUUGAAAUAAAUUAAUUAUCUUCAAUUCAAAUAAAAUUUCUCCAAUUAAAUUUCCAAAUAUGUGCCUUAAUACCUAUAAUGGAAUUAGUAAUUUUAAUUAAAAUAAAAAUAAAAAUAAGGAUUUGAUCUUUUUCUUACCAUUUGAUGAAAAUUAUAAAAUAUAUUAAAAUGACAAGUGAUCAGACAUUUGAAAUUUGCAUCAUUUCUACCAUUGCAAACACCACCAACCCCAUAUUUCCCAUUUUUCUACCUACUGCCAAUUCACUCAUCUCUCUGGGAAGAUUUUUGAGGUUAUCGUCAUGCUUGAGAUAAUCCAGAAAGUUGAGCGGCAUCACUCUCUGAAAGGUGCCUUACAGCAUGGGUAAUGUAUGGGAUACAUCUGAUAACUUGCCAUAUCCAUAAACCACUAUAUUAAACCAUGGUUCAUAUCCCCAACGUUACACGAGAAUCUGUACUCAUCCCAAGCAGCUUGGAGAUCAUAAAAUUAGGUUUUGAGGGCCUCCCGAGACAUGCACAGCUUCACCCUUUGUGCAUUCCUUUGAUUUGGAAAAUUUCUUCUUUAGAAUUCCCCAUUAUCAUGCCCUGAACCAAGACAUAUCAUGAUUGGAUGGGCCCCUUCACCAAUUUCACAAUAUCCAAUAGCAUAUCAUUUACUUCCCUUUUGUCAAUGGGAAUUACCAUUUUGCAUGGGAAGCACCAACGGAGAUGGAGGUUUUCAAAUUGGAUCACUAGCAAAGAAACCCACCGCAACUAUCUGAAUAAUUGAGCACAACAUCGGCUUUAGAGAACUCCUCCUGAAGGCGAAAUCGUCAUCUUGGCUAAACGUAGUCAUAGUUGGGUUGUGAGAAAUGGAGAUGAAUCAUAGAAGGCUUUCAGUUUCAUAGCAACGAAAAGGUAAAUGUACUCUAGAGAAGUUUUGACCUUGGGAGAAGCGCUUUUGAAUCCAAGUCAAGGUCUGUUCUGGAUCCCUUUUCGACUCUCUCUAUUAAAGGAAGAUAAUCUGCCUAGGAUUUGGAUGCAAGCUUGCAAGGCCAUGUUUAGGAGACUUAUGCAAAAUAUUUAUCCAUAGCUCCCCGCCUGAAACAUCUACAUAAAGCGUCUUCCAAGUGUGAACCAUUGUCUUGGGUCCUUGAGAUGAACAAAAACUGAGACAUAUCGUGAGUUAGAUGCAUUGCCUGAAAAUGCCGAGCAGUAGUAUGGCCUUCUUUCUGAUCAACUGUUUUGUCAAAUUCUAGAGCUCUCAUUCCAAAUCCAUCAGUUUUCUCAAAUGAUUGGCUAGUGGAGAUCCAUGGAUAUAACAUAUGAAAUGUGCACAAUAAAAGUAAUCAAACGGUUGGUUGGUUUGGCUGAAUCCCACAAUCGCAAAGACUAAUCAUAUGAAACUGUUACCAGCUGAGUUGAAUUUGGCCUAAAAAGGAUAUCCGUUACUACAAACUAGCGUUCUUUCAUGGUGCUCUCUCUUUGCAGGCUAUCCAUGUUCCAAAGAAAAACUCUCUUGUCAUGUCUGGCACUAGGCACUGAUUAGAGUGUGGGACGUUCAUUCUCCAUUAUCACCAAACACAUGCAGGAUAUAUAUAUAUCAAUUCAUUCAAAAUAUGCCUUUAUUUUAUGGAACAUAACCGAAUCCAUUUUGUUUGUGUUGAAGAGGUAUAGAUCUUCUAAGGCUGUGGAGGGCACCACCUUUUCUCAGAAUUCUCUCUGACGAUGGGAAGCCGAAGAGAACGGGUUUUGUUUUUAUUUUGAAAACGUUGUUAUCAUUAAAGAACAAACACUAUUCUUUGGAUUUAUACCCUCUUGCCUUAGGGACCAUACUGUUUGGCUAUUGGGCCUCACGAGUCUUAGGCCCAUCAUCUAAGGCCCAUGAUGGCACUGGGCUCUACACAUAAGGUGACCCAUACUCUGGAACGAAUAGAAAUCAUAUGUAUAUAUAUGGAUAGCUAAAUCCUGAACAAUGGUUAAUAUGAUGUCGGUCCACAUUUAUUCUAUCAAUCUCCCACUUGGACCACAUAUAUUACAAAACAAUGUUCAUGAUAGUACUUUAUUGAGCUCAUCUUUGCUAUCCUAUCUUAAUAUCCUUAAACAAUCCGGUCUACUAGUUAUGCUAACAUAGGAUCAAAGUGGCCUUCAUUAAUCAUAAUUAUAACUAGACCCAUCAAUGAUCACAACAUUAACAAAAUUAGCAACAUAGAUCAAGUAUGGAUGUGUAGCAUGGAAAUUACAUAAAAUGUGAUCUUUAUUAUGUCUAUUUCCAAUUGGUCCUACUUUAUGACUAAAAAAUAGUCAAAUUCCACUUUCAACACUUGAUGCUAAACUGCUUUUAAAAGUCAUCAUUUCAAUUCAGAGAAUUCAAAUACAAUAGUCUUUAAAAUCAAGGUUUGUACAGAUAACACAAUAUAACAUCAUAUCAAGAAAACAAACACAAAAUCUAAAUACAAACUCCCACUAUACUGGAACAUCAUCAAUAUGUACAACACCCAUAUGUGUGACAUGAUCAUGAUAUACUUUGGGUGGCAAACCCUUAGUGAGCGGAUCCGCAAUCAUGAAGUUUGUGCUUGUAUGUUCAAUCGAUACUUGAAGACUCUAAACUCUUUCUUUCACAACCAAGAACUUGAUGUUAAUGUGUUUGGACUUUGACGAACUUCGGUUGUUCUUAGAAUUACAAUUCUGUGGCUUUAUUAUCACAAUUUAUUCUUAAUGGUUUCUCAAUCUCAUCAACGAUUCGCAACUGAGUGACAAAAUUCCGUAGCCAUAUCCCAUGGUUUGAUGCUUUGUAGUAGGCUAUGAAUUCUGCCUCCAUGGUGAAAGAAGCAAUAAGUAUUUGUUUAACACUUUUCCAUGAAACUGUUCAUCCAACCAACAUGAAGAUGUAGCUUGAAGUGGAUCUCUUGCUGUCAAGACAUCCCACGAAAUCGGAGUCCGAAUAUCCCAUGAUCUCUAAAUGACUGGAUCUACGGUAUGUGAGCAUAUAAUCUUUAGUUCUUUGUAAAUACUGCAUAACCUAUUUUGCCUUUUUCCAGUGAUCCAUACCUGGGUUACUCAAAUAUUUGCCUAACAUUCCAAUAAUGUACGUAAUAUCUGGAUGCGUACAAACUUGUGCAUACAUGAGACUUCCUAUUGUUGAGGCAUAGGGAAACCUCUUCAUAUCCUUCUUUUUAAGUUCAUUUUUCGGACAUUGGUGCAAACUAAAUUUAUCGCCUUUUGCUACAGGCAUGUCUCCUGGUGUACAAUUGCUCAUGCCAAAUCUACUUAACACCUUAUCGAUGUAGGCCUUUUGUGAUAACCCAAGUAUACCUCUUGAACGAUCCUUAUAGAUCUGUAUACCCAGCAAAAAAGAUGCAUUACCUAGAUCCUUCAUGUCAAAUUUACUAGACAAAAAUCGCUUUGUUUCAUGCAAAAGUCCCACAUCACUACUUGCAAGUAGAAUAUCAUCAACAUAUAGCACCAAGAUAAUGAAUUUGCUCUCACUAAACUUGAGAUAUAUGCAUUGAUCAAUGGUGUUUUCCUUAAAACCAAAUGAAGUAAUCACCUGAUCAAACUUUUGGUACCAUUGUCAAGAUGCUUGCUUUAAACCAUAUAUGGACCUUUUUAAUCUGCAUACAAGUUGCUUUGAAUCAUUAGACUCAAAGUUCUCCGGUUGCAUCAUGAAUAUUGUUUCAUCAAUGUUACUAUUAAGAAACGUAGUUUUAACGUCCAUUUGAUGCAGCUCUAAAUCAUAAUGAGCCACAAGUGCCAUGAUGAUUCUAAAGGAGUCAUUUGACGAAACCGGUGAAAAGGUCUCCUUAUAAUCAAUGCCUUCCUUUUGAGUGAAACCUUUUGCGACUAGACGUGCCUUAUACCUAACAAUGUUGCCUUUUGAAUCCCACUUGGUCUUAAAAAUCCAUUUACAACCAAUCGGUUUUACACUUUCAGGCAACUUUACUAGGUCCCAAACACCAUUGUCUUUCAUUGAUUUCAUCUCAUCCUUUAUGACUUCUAUCCACUUUUCAGAGUCAGAACUUUGUUUGAAUUGACUAACUGAAAUUGGAUCGUCUUCCAAACCCAUGUCAAACUCUUGUUCCUGGAGAUGUACAACAUAAUCAUCUGAAAUUGUACUUCUCAUUUCUCUAGUGGAUCUCCUUAGUGGCACUUGUAUUUGAGGUUCUUGAGGCUGUUGAGUUACCUCUUCAUAAACUUGAAUCGGUUCCAUAACUUGAGCAGGAGGAAUCUCAGGUGUGUUUUGAAUCUCUGUUAUUGACUGCACAUUCUGGAUAGUGUCAUCAAACAUAAUAUGACCAUGUCCAGUUGUAAUAAUAGGAACACUAACAGAUUACUCUUCAAAUACCACAUUUCUUAACGGUUCUCUCCCAUUUAACUCAACAUCCUCAAUAAAUUUAGCUUUGCCCGUUUCAAAAAAGGAUCUAGUUGAGGGGUCAUAAAACUUGAAACCUCUCAACCUUUUAGAAUAUCCUACAAAGUAGCAGCUCACUGUUCUGGAGUCCAAUUUCUUUUCAUUUGGUUUUUAAGGCCUAGCUUUAGUUGGACAACCCCAGACAUGCAAGUGCCUAAUACUAGGUUUCUUGCUAGUUCAUAACUCAUAUGAGGUUUUGGCUACUGCUUUGCUUGAGACUCUAUUCAAAAUAUAAAUUGUUGUUUUGAUGGCUUCGCCCCAAAGUGAUUCUGGUAAGGUGGAAUGACUGAUCAUACUUCUUACCAUAUCCUUAAGAGUACGGUUUCGCCUAUCUGCUACACCAUUUUGGCUUGGAGUCCCCAGCAUAGUGUAUUGAGGAACGAUACCACACUCCAUCAAAUAUUUGGCGAACGACCCUAGACGUUGUUCAUUGGAUCCGUCAUAUCUGCCAUAAUAUUCACCUCCACGGUCAGAUCUGACGACCUUUAUUUUCUUGCUUAGUUGGUUCUCAACUUUAGCUUUGAAAUUCUUGAACACAUCUAAUGAUUGAGACUUCUCAUGAAUCAAAUAAAGAUAGCCAUAGCGCGAGUAAUCGUCAAUGAAAGUGAUAAAAUAUUGUUGUCCAUUCCAAGAAGGGGUAGGAAAUGGACCACAAAUGUCCGUAUGUAUCAAUUCAAAGACGUCACUGCACUUGUUAGCAUCAUUUUUUUCUCAUAUUUGUUUGUUUACCCUUAAUACACUCUAUACAGACUCGAAAGUCUAUGAAAUUAAGUGGAUCAAGAAUUCAUUCUGACACAAGCCUUUGAAUACGUUGAUUUGAAAUAUGACCCAAACGCCUGUGCCAUAACAUCGAUGAAUUCUCAUUUGUUAAUUUCCGUUUAAUGUCAUAAUUACUUGAAUUCAAGGUUUCAUUUCCAUUAGUGGUCUUUAUAUUUAAUUUGUAUAAUUUGUCUAUUAGACUACCUGUACCAAUAACAUUUGAAUUUAGAUAAAGACUAACCAUUCCAUUUCUAAAUGAACAAUAAUAUCCAAAUUUGUCUAGACAUAAAACAGAAAUUAAAUUCCGUCUAAACGACGAUACUACAAAAGUCUCUUCCAAAUCCAAAGUACAUCCAGAGUCUAACUGUAAUCUAAAAAGACCAAUAGUCUUGACUGCAACCUUGUUGCCAUUUCCCACAUAGAUGUAUUUUUCACCAUCAGUUGGCAUUCGACUCCUUAGGCAACCCUACAUCGUGACACUUAUGUGAGUAGUUGCACCCGUAUCUAUCCACCAAGUGUCAGUAGGCACUACGACUAAAUUAAUUUAUGAACAAACAAAGUUGAGAAGUGUACCUUUCUUUUCACGCCAAGCGGCGUAUUUGGUACAUGUCUUCUUCAUAUGACCAACCUUCUUGCAAAAGAAACAAGUCAUCUCCUUAUCUUGUUUCUUCUGCACCUUUUGCAUUGAUGUCCUAAAAAUUGCAUUUUGUUUUUCUUUAUUGUCCUUCUUUCUUUUCUUUUUGGUACCAAAUCCCUGAGAUGUGGAAGCCAAGUGAGAACUUUCUAUCUUUUCUUGUUUCAAUCUCUCAUCCUCUUGUGCACAUUGAGCAAUAAGCUCAUUCAAAGUCCAUUUUUCCUUUUGUGUUGUAACUAAUUUUGAAUGGACUGAAUUGUGUAGGCAGAGAGAUUAAGACCAAGUGCACAAGUAUGUCUUCCGAAAACUCUAACUUUAGUGCCUUUAGUCUAGUCACAAGAUUAGACAUUUCCAUAAUAUACUCCCUUAUAUUCUCUUUCCCUUUGUAUCGCAUAGAGACAAGCUUACUAAGAAUAGUGCUUGUCUCAACCUUUUCAUUUGAAGCGAAUCGGUUUGCUAUCUGGUCUAAGAAUGCCUUGGCUUGAGUUUUCUCAGGUAUUGGACUCCUUAUAGCUUUUGGAAUUGAGUACUUCGUUAUCAUUAGACUCAUGCGAUUGGAUCGCUCCCAUUUUUCCAUAGUAGACCUUUGCUCAGUAGUGCUGGCACUAGUAAGAUCUGGAGGGCGAUCCUCUCUUAAUGCAUAGUCUAAAUCCAUGCACCCGAGCACAAUUAUAACGUGCUCCUUCCAUUUCUUGAAGUUUGUGUCAUUAAGCGCAGGAAUGUUAUUAACAUUUGUAGAUAUAGAAUAUGUUAAAUUCAUAAUAAUAAAGCUCACAAUCAAUCACAUAAACAUCAUACAUACAUGAAAAAUAACAUCAUACAAGAUACUUAGCACAAAUAUUAAUAUUUUGUCUUUGGACAAUAAAUAUUAACUUGUAAUUGGUAUCCUUAUACAAAAUUAAUUCAUAAAUAUUGACAAUAAAACCAAAAACAAUAUGUUUGUCUUUAGACUAAUAUGUCGAAUGCAAGAUAAACUUUAUAUGUCACAUAUUUAUGACUACUUUAUUUAUUAUUAUAUUAAAAUAAUCUUCCUUUGGGCCGAUUAUUUUAAAUAAUAAUAAUAACAUGUUUAGAUAUUAUAAAAUAAAUAAAUUAUAUAAUAUAAGUUACUUUGGCAACUAACAUACAUAAUUCAUUUAUUUUAAAAUAUUAAACACAAACAUAACAAGAAAUAAUAAAUUCAAUUAAAAUUAUUUAUUUAUUUAUGCAUAAUAUAUAUAUAUAUAUAUAUAUAUAUAUAUAUAUAUAUUAAUUGAAGCAUAAAAAACCAUCUACAUGUGUAUAUAUAUCAAUUGAAGCAUAUAUACAAGCAUUAGUCUAAUGGUUUAAGCAAAAAAUAGGCCAUGGUAAAGGGUUUAAGCCAACCCGCCCCUUUAGUUUGGUUUUUGUUUUUUUUUUUUUUUUUUUUAAUUUCUUUUGGGCUACUGACCAUGCAUUCUCUCAUGGCCCAACGAAUAUAUAUAUAUAUUUGUUUUAAAAAAAUUUUGUCCAUUGCAGCCCAAAGCGACCAUCCCUUGUAAUGGCAUCAUCAACGGUGCCAGAGCUGUCCUCGAACGACACCGACAGUGAAACGCCGCCACCAUCACCGGAACGGUGAUUUCCCAUCGCCAAACGACGGUGUCACUACCAGAAUGACGUUGUAACGGCAUCGCUGGGAAGCAGCCUAACCUGUGGCGUGACACCAUGACAAGCAAUGCCGCUAGCAGUGAAACGUUGUCGCCAUCACCAGAAUGGUGAUUUUCCAUCGCCAAACGAUGGCGCCACCAUCGAAACAACGCUGAAACGACGUCACUGGGAAGCAACCCUACCCGCGGCACCAAAAUGGCACUUGGAUGACAUUUGGAACUCUUGCAACAACGCUCAAAUCAGCGAUUCUCACUGGCAAAUGACGCUUGAACGACGUCUGGAAAUAAUGCCUACAACGCCUAAAAAUUGUGCUCUUUUGAACGCCUGAAACAACGUUGAAAUGACGUCUACCGGCGUCUGGAAUUGCACCGCUGUCUAGAACGAUGCCAUGAUGGUGUCUCACUCACCUUAAAUGGCACCAACCACCGUGACUUGCAUCCCCAAAAAUGGCACUUGAACAGCGCCUGAAGCGUGCCUGGAACGACGCUGCAAACGAUGCUUGAAAUGGUGCAUUUUGUAUGCUUGAAAAUGGCACAGGAAUGACGCCUACACUACGUCCAUUUUGAAUGCCUGAACGGUGUCCUAACGGCGCCUGAAUGACGCCUGGAAUUGGCCCAGAUUUAUUUUAUGUUGUUUCCUUCCUCUUGGAUCUUUUGUUUGUGUUUUAAAAAAAAAGUGUUUUGGUGAAAAUGGGAAAUGCAACCAGGCUCUGAUACCAUUUUGUGGGACGUUCAUUCUCCAUUAUCAUCGAACACAUGCAGGAUAUAUUUAUAUAUAUAUAUAUAUAUCAAUUCAUUCAAAAUAUGCCUUCAUUUUAUGGAACAUACCCGAAUCCAUUUUGUUUGUGUUGAAGAGGUAUAAAUCUUCUAAGGCUAUGGGGGGUACCACAUUUUCUUAGAAUUCUCUAUGACGAUGGGAAGCCAGAGAGAACAAGUUCUAUUUUUAUUUUGAAAACGUUGUUAUCCUUAAAUAACAAACACUAUUAUUUGGAUUUAUACUCUCCUACCUUAGGGACCAUACCCUUUGGCUAUUGGGCCUUACGAGUCUUAGGCCCAUCAUCUAAGGCUCGUGAUGGCACUAGGCUCUACACAUAAGGUGGCCCAUACUCUGGAACGAAUAGAAAUCAUAUGUGUAUAUAUGGAUAGCUAAAUCUUGAACAAUGGUUAAUAUGAUGUCAGUUCACAUUUAUUAUAUCAUAGAGACUUCCCAUAUGAAGAAAAUUGACAGUAGGUAGCUUUGCCAUUCUUGUCCGUAUACAACCAACCUUAGCAAGGGUUGAACCCUUUUAUGCUUAGUUGUGCCAUACAAAUCCUUACCACCGCCUACAACAUGUAAUCGAAAUGAUUCGAUAAUAUCAUCUAGUGAACCAAUACCUCCAAAUGAGAGACCAUUGCCUUGGUAACUAGGGCUCAUGACUGAGAAUUGCGUGAACCCCUUUGCUUGGGUUGGAGCUUAACUGAUGCACAAAAUAUUCAUAGGCCUCUUCCCAUAACUGGCACCUUGUGUUUGCAACAUAAUUGAACAUGUAUUGAAGUGAGUUUUUUUGCAUCUUUUUGUAAGAAAAUUCUAAACAACAGAGACUGCUUAGUGUGCCCGGCUCCUCGGGAAAUCAAGGUUCAUUCCUGUAGGGCCAGUUUUUUCACAGUCGAACUAGAUAACAUGGAGAGUAUGUUGCAAUGCUUCAACAGGGUAUUUCUUAGGAAAAUCCACCUGAAGUUGGUACAAUUCGUUGGCGUACUGAGUUCCUGGAGCUCUAUUGACUUCAAUCACCCAUCUCUGUAGAUUAUCGAUGACUUAUGCUCGGAUCCUGUAGGAGGAUUGACCUGACAUUCCACUAGCUCUUUCUGGAAGACGAUCUUGUUUAACACCUUGUGAGAAGAGGCAAGGGAACUGGUCAUUGUUUCUUCGAGAAGAUCAGUGGCCGAGGAUGGGUUUGGACCAUAAUUGCUAUAUGGGUUUUCUUUGGGUGAACCAAUUAGUGGAGUGGGUGGCUAUAUAGCAACUGAAGGGUGGUCAUACUAAUGAGGAGCUAUUAUUUCAUGCAUGUGGAGAGGAAAUGAGUAGCUUCUUCAAGGAUAUAUGAUUAUUCAUCUCUAGCUUACGUUGAAUAUCUCCUAACAAAUUUCUGCUUUGAAGCUCCCUUAGUUUCACUACAGCUAACUUGGCCAACUUGGUUUCAUCAUGUUUCCUACAACCUCUAAGCAAAGCACGCCAGAUCACUGAAUCAGGUUCUAUUUGCAUUUUGUCCAUAAACUCCUUUGCCUAUUGACAAUAAACUGCCCCUCAAAAUUUGAUGAGAUAACAUCAAUGCUGACAUGUUGGUCAUCCCCAUAAGCAUCUUUAUAGAGAUUGAUUCUAUGUUUAGAUAUUUCUCUCUCCUCAAGUGAGUUCAACUUUUUUGUAACAUCCUUCUCCUUCUCUACUAAUAGUCUUAGUUGAACAUCCAACCUAUGUUCCCAAAGUGCCAGCAUCUCAUAUCUGAUGACAAGCCAACAACCUUGCCCUUGCUGAGACCCAAAUAAGUAUCCAGAACCAUCAGCAUCAACCCUUUCAUAGGCCUUUGUAUUUGAAGGUCGGAUUGGGAUUGCUUUGAAUGCACUGGCACUACAAUACACAAUUGUAUCUUCUCCAAUAAAAACACCACACAGAGGUGAGGGGACUGGUAUUAGCAAAGAAGUGUUGUUAUCUAUAUUGUUCUGAGCCCGAGUACCCUCAACAAAAUCCUCAUCCUCAUCUGUACUCUUCCAUUACAUCCCUAGGCUUUUCAAUGUGAUCCACAUGGCUUACAGGAAUCCAGAAAUACCAGUCUGUAUAAAUGUUGCUCUUAUGGGGCUCUCCUAGAAAACAUCCCUAUCAAGAUGAUCAACCUAGCUUAGAUGCUCAGCACCCCAAACUUACUAGAAAUAGAGGAAUUAAAAGCAAGGAUAGGAGCCAAAGUAAAAAUUUAGGGAAGAGCAAAUAGGAAAUCAAGCAAAACAUGAAUGUACAGAGCCUCAUUUCAGGUGACAUCUUUGGGCUAAUAAUAGGUGGAAUUAACAAAGUAGACAAGCAUGAUUGUUAUAAAUAUCAAGUUCAAGGAUGAAGCCGUGCAUCAGCUACUUAUAGGGGGAGUCAAGGAAACCAAGAUAAGAUCAAAGAGAGCAUGUAUGCAAAUAAACAGAUUCGAAAAAAUAGACCAAACAACUCGUGAAUAUCCUCCUACAAAAAACUACUACACGUGGCAAAAAGUGAUGAAACAAAAAGAGUCGGGUCCGCAUAUACAUAUCCUAUUCUAUCCUAUUCCUUCAAAUCCAAAGCAACCUGUAUUUUCAAUGGGAUUUGUUGUGAUGAAUUUUACUGGAUUGUAACAUGUAAAUAUGUUAAAAGAGGCUUGGGACAUUCCUAUAUAGUAACGCAUAAAGGUACUUCCAUUGUGAAGUUGUCAAAAUUGCAAAUUUAAAUUACAAAAUUUGAAAACAUAGAGAUGAAAGAUGAUGAAACCUUCUUUGAAAUUUUAUAUUGAACUCAUUAAUAUUAUUAAUUUUCAUUUCAGUGUAGGGGAAAGAAUUCUUUACUCUAAAGUGGUCACAAAAAUAUUAAAAUUCCUUGUUGAGAGAUUUAGACCUAAAGUGAUCAAUAUAGAAGAAAGUAAAAAUAUUCUAAGUGUAGGUAAACUUGUAGACUCAAAUGACUCUACCUUCUCAUAAAAAAUCCUCAAUUUUAUAAAUUAUAUAGAUUUCUUCAUUUGAUACAAAAUUUGAAUAAAGAUUUUUCAAAUGACAACACAAGGAAAGGGAAAAAAAAAAUUCUCUCCAGUUCAUUUCAUUUAAUCACUUAAAUUAUUUAAAAAUAAAAAUGUUUACUGCUAACAUUAUUUAGAUUCAUCUUUCUUUUGAUGGAGGUUAAAAUUCAUAAUUUUGAGGAAAAAGAUGAGGAUUCUCAUUUUUUUUUCCAUGUAUGAAUGGGAUUCUCAUUGUGUAUAUGUGGGUUACUAAAUGGCAAAUUUAGGGGCCAAUAUGAGGAAAAAUAUGAAGUUGAGUUUGUCACCAAGAACAAACAUGACUCCUAUAAAGGUGGCAUCCUUAAUUUCAUGUCUGGAUUAGACUUCUCAUGUAACAACUUAACAGGUGAAAUCUCUCAUGAACUUGGAAUGUUAAGUUUGAUUCAUGCAUUGAACUUGUCUCGCAAUCAACUAAAGGGCUCCAUUUCAAACAGUUUUUGCAAUCUUUCUCAAACAGAGAGCUUAGAUCUUCUUAAUAAUAAACUAAGUGGAGAAAUUCCUCCAAAAUUGGUUAGACUAACUUUUUUAGUGGUGUUCAAUGUGACUCAUAGUAGCAUCUUUGGAAGAGUUUCAGAUAUGAAUGCAUAAUUUGCAAUAUUUGAUGAAAGUAACUAUGAAGAUAAUCCUUUCCUUUGUGGACCACCAUUAAAGAGAAAAUGUAGCAUAAAUGUUAAGCCACCUUACCCACCAUUAGAGUCUUCGGAAAAAAGUGAUGCAAAAUGGUAUAAUAUCGAUCUUGUGGUUUUCUUUGCAAGUUUUACUAUAUCAUAUAUCAUGAUAUCAUUAGGAAUUUCAACCAUUCUUUACAUUAACCCUUAUUGGUGUCAAAGAUGGUUCAAUUUUAUCGAGAAAUAUAUAUACUUUUGCUAUUAUUUUGUUUCCUAUACUCUUUCCAAGUUAUUAACAUAUUUUGAAUAAUUAGAGAUUUUUGUUUUCAAUAAUAUUUACAUAAUUAACUACUAUUGGCUUCCAUGACAUGGAAAGAAAUGCGGUGAAGGCAACAACCACUUUUUUUUCUCCUCUACUAGUGCAUGAUUGAUAUGAGUUAAAACUUGCACCCUUAUCUUUGCUUAAAUUUUCUCAGCUUUUGUUUCAAUUCUUAAUUAUCAUUUCUUUUAUGUGUUGUUUAAUACAAUAUCCUAAACACAUUGCUUUGAAGGUUACUUAUUUAUUAAGCAUGAUAUUUAUUUUUCAUAAAGACAAAUUCAAGUUUUUUAGGAAUUUUUAGAAUUAUUAUAAUUUGGAGUUCACAUUAGAGGAAAAAAGGAAAGAAAAGAAUAGAUGAUUAAAAAAACAAUUUUAGUAAGUAUAAUUUGUCAUCUUCGGUAUAACAAAUGGGAAUUCCAAAAUAAUAUUUCAAUUUGUUAGUCUAUUCCUUAUAGUAUUAAUUGAUAUAUCAAAUAGGAAGUCACGUUUUGAUUUUUUAUUAGCUUCAAUUGCAUGUCACAUAUAUUUUAAAAUCAAGCAUACCUCAGCCGGGAAGUUCUUGUAACAUGCAUGAACAUGAUAUGAUGAAUUGAAUAAUUUUCUUAAUUGUGUGAGACACAAACCCUCUUUGUUUAAUAAUAAUAAUAAUAUACUACACAUUAUUAAAUCAUAUAUGUAUAUUUAUAGUCGUAUAAUAUAUUCAAAAUAUUAAACACAUUACCCUCUUAAAUUUUUAUGAAUGGUGUUUACUUUACAUAACGACAGAUUCAAAUUUUUUUAGAAUUUUUUAAUGUUAAAAUAAUUUGGAGCUUAAUAGGGAAAAAAAAGAAUAAAUAAUUAGAAAAGCAAUUCAAAAAAAAUAAAAUUUAUCCUCUUAAAUUGGUUUUGUGUAAUACUAUAGAAGCCAUUUCUUGAGUUUGAUAUGGUAGAAUUCGGAUUCAUAUUUAUUUUAAAAUAAAGAAUUUCAAGGGUUGGUAGCAUCAAUAGAAUCUUAACAAAUUUGCAAAAAAGUAUUUGGGUAGAUCACAUUUAAAUAUAGCUAACAGAAUAAAAAAUUAAUAUUAUUAGGAAGACAUGAUCAAUUAAAUCUUUUUUCUUAUCUAUGACACCGAUUUUAUAUUUUUACAUAGUCAAUAUAAUUUAUUACAACUUAUAUGUCAUUAAAUUAUACAUGCUUAUAUUAAAUAUAAUAUAAGAUCAUUAAUGGAAUAAUUAUGCAAGUAAUAUAAAUUGUAUAUAAUAUAAAAAAUUUAAACUCCGUCAAACUAAUGGAAUCUAUUAUAAUAAGUAGACUAGACACCAUAUUGGCCCGAGUUGGAGGCCUGGGCCAGAUUUUAAAGGCUGGGCUUUGAGUUGCCCGUGGGCCUGAGCCAAGGCCUUCUCUUGGUAUCAUCAUUUUGAAGAAAUAAAUUGCUGAUACAGAGAAAAAAACUAUACUAAAUAGAAAAAUAAAUAAAAGCAUUGACUAAAAUGAAGGUCAAGGUCCUUGAAAAAUAAUCUUUAAAUUGUUGCAUAUAUAAUUUCAAUAAUGCAUAAAUAAUUGCAAUAUAUAUGAUAUGAUAAAGAAUUUGGAAUUAAAAGAAGAUUGAUCUAUUUUAAAUGUGGUUGGAAUAUUUUUAAAUUUGUGAUGGGAAGUUAGACAGCCAAUUAGGGAUCCAUAUUAUUUAUUUUCAAUUAUAUGAAUUUAUUUACUUUUAUUAAUAUUCUGAAUGCAACAAUAUAAAAUAUGUCAAUUUUCUAAAAUUAAAAAAGUAAUUGCAAAAGAAAAUUUUUAAUUAUUUUUCUGAAAUUGAGUUUAUCAUAACAUUUUUCUUUACAUAAAUUUCUUUUUUAUGUUUAUUUUUUUAAAAAUGAGAUAUGAAAAAAAAAGAUCAAUAUUAGUAAAAGUAAAACCCAAUAUAUAUAAAAAAAAUGAAUAAAUGUUUAUGAAAUAAGAUUUAAAAGUGAGAAGGUAAUAAAUUUUUUCUCUUUUAAUUCCUAUUCAAUACAUUACAAAAAAUAUUUUUGGUUUUUAUGCUAAAAUUUAUUGUUUAUUAAAAAAUUCUAGUAUAUCUAGCUAUCAUAGAAGAGCUCCAAAAUUUUAUUGUUUAAGAGAAUGUGUUGCCACUUUAAAAGAUUUAUAUGCAUACCUUUGGAUAUGUUUAGUUCCCGGUAAAUUUGAAGGAAAAUGUGAAGGAAGAAAAAUAGAGAAGAAAAGUAUAACAAAAUAAAAAGUGAAGGAAAAUGAAAAAUAGAUUUAAAAUUAAUAAAUUAUUUUCAUUGGUUUUUUCAAAUUUAUUUUACUUAUUUUAUUCUAUUAAAUAAAGAUUAACUAAUUUUAAUUAUAUUUGGUUUGAUUUUUAUUAUUUUUCAAAGCAAAACCAAAUAUGAAAAAAAAAACAUUUUUUUUGGUUAUUUUUUUCUUUCCUUAUUACUCUUCGGGACUCAAACAUAGCUUUUAGAUUUGGGGCAUGGAAAAAUAAGAGUAUUGAAUAAGGGUUCUAUAUAUGCCCAUGCCCAUGCCCAUGAUACCAUUGAAAAAAAUGGAGAGAGGGUGAAACCUUUACUAGAUGAUAAAUUAUUCUCUUCAAUGGAAAUCAAAUAUAAUUAUUUUUAUCUUGUAUUAAUUGAAUGUUAUACUCCAUAAACUCAAAAUUAAAAUAAAUAAAAAAUUUAAAAACUAGGACAAUCCCAUUUUUUUUCAAUUUCUUAAAAAGAAAUUAAAUUAUAUUUAUUUAUAUCUAUUUUCAUCCCUACCCAACAAAAUAAAAAAAAUUAACAUUGUGGAACAUGUAUGAGAAAUUCUCACAAUUUUUUUUAAGAAAAAUAAAUUUCUUAUUUUAUAUAUGUUAAAAAUAAAUAUAAUCUUUUAUUUUUUAUAUAUAUAAUCGGGUAAGGUAGAGUGGGACAAAGAAAUAAUCCCCUUCGAUUCCAAUCCGAAAUUUUAAAAUAUAAAAUAAAAAUCUUAAACUCAUCCCUAAUCCAUUUAUUUUUAAUCCUAAACUUGUCUUAUAAGGAAUAAGGCAAAGUAAGUACAUGAAAACACUUUUUUUUAUCAUCAUCUCUACAAGUUCUAAUGUUUAGAUUGCAAUCCAUAUCAAAGAUUUAUAAAGAAAGAACAACGAUGAAUUUCAUAAACAUUUGAAAGCAUAUACAAAGUUUUAAAUAAUAUUGCUUGAGGUGCAAAUAUUAUUUGGCGCACACGUUGAGGGACUUCAACUGGUGUUGUCUAGGUUUUUUACACUAGUAAGUAAUCUUGAAUAUCUAGAGUAACUUGAUCAAAAUCUCUUUAAUUUUAUUUUCUUUGAUGAAUUAGAAUGCUUAUAUAACAUGAUUAAAAAUUUUAAGAAAAAAAAACUAAGAAGAAAGAAAGAAGUACCGAUCUUCCAAAUAUUGCUUCCACUUUAAUAUUUAGAAGGCUCUAAGAAAAGAAUUUUAUUCAUGAAUCACAACCCAAGUCGAAAAUAAAUUGAACCCAUUUUCUAAGUUAAAUUUUGAAUUUUUUACUAGUGAAUGCAAAUUGGGAAAAUGUAUAUAAAUAUAAUUAAACUAGAAUAGUAGGUUAGGUUUGUGUGGUCCCACGAUGACUUGGAAGUUUCAACAAUUCAAGCAGACUCCACCUAUAAACCUAAUAUACUAUUUUAGUUUAAUUAUAUUUAUAUAUGUUUUCCCAAUUUGCAUUCACUAGUAAAAAAUUCAAAGUUGAACUUGAAAAAUGGGUUCAAUUUAUUUUCGAUUUGGGUUGUGAUUCAUGAAUGAAACAAUGAUCAAUGACUUGACUUUUAAGGCCAACUUAGUUAAGUCAUUCCUAACCCCUAUAUUAAUUUGGCCUUAAAAGUCCAGUAAUUGAUAGCUAAAUCCCAACCCAAGUCAAAAAUAAAUUGAACCCAUUUUCUAAGUUCAACUUUGAAAUUUUUUUUAAUUGGAAAAAUGUAUAUAAAUACAAUUAAACUAGAAUAGUAGAUUAGGUUUGUAGGUGGAGUCUGCUUGAAUUUGUGAAACUUCCAAGUCGUCGUGGGUCUAGUGGUCCCAUAGCUCUCUAUUAAUUUCCACCAUCAAUUUUCUGCAAUAAAGUCAAGUCAUUCCUAACCCCUAUAUUAAUUUGGCCUUCAAAGUCCAGUCAUUGAUAGCUACGUUCAUGAAUCCCAACCCAAGUCAAAAAUAAAUUGAAUCCAUUUUCUAAGUUCAACUUUGAAUUUUUUUUAAUUGGAAAAAUGUAUAUAAAUACAAUUAAACUAGAAUAGUAGAUUAGGUUUGUAGGUGGAGUCUGGUUGAAUUUGUGAAACUUCCAAGUCGUCGUGGGUCUGGUGGUCUUAUAGCUCUCUAUUAAUUUCCACCAUCAAUUUUCUGCAAUAAAGUCAAGUCAUUCCUAACCCCUAUAUUAAUUUGGCCUUAAAAGUCCAGUCAUUGAUAGCUACGUUCAUGAAUCCCAACCUAAGUCAAAAAUAAAUUGAACCCAUUUUCCAAGUUCAACUUUGAAUUUUUUUUAAUUGGAAAAAUGUAUAUAAAUACAAUUAAACUAGAAUAGUAGAUUAGGUUUAUAGGUGGAGUCUGCUUGAAUUUGUGAAACUUCCAAGUCGUCGUGGGUCUAGUGGUCCCAUAGCUCUCUAUUAAUUUUCACCAUCAAUUUUCUGCAAUAAAGUCAAGCCAUUCCUAAACCAUAUAUUAAUUUGGCCUUAAAAGUCAAGUCAUUGAUAGUUACGUUCAUGAAUCACAACCCAAGUCUAAAAUAAAUUGAACCCAUUUUCCAAGUUCAACUUUGAUUUUUUUUACUAGUGAAUGCAAAUUGGGAAAACGUAUAUAAAUAUAAUUAUACUAGAAUAGUAUAUUAGGUUUGUAGGUGGAGUAAGCUUGAAUUGUUGAAACUUCCAAGUCAUCAUGGGUCUAAGGGUCCCAUAGCUCUCUAUUAAUUUCCAUCAUCAAUUUUUAUGAAUUCAGAUUUAAAAGUGAGAAGGGAAUAAAUUUUUUCUUUUUCAAUUCAUUACAAAAAAUAUUUUUGGUUUUUAUGCUAAAAUUUAUUGUUUAUUCAAAAAAUUAAAGUAUAAAAAUAUAAAAUAUAUAUCUUGCUAUUAUAGAAGAGCUCCAAAAUUUUCGUGUUUAAGAGAAUAUGUGUUGCCACUUUAGAAGAUUUAUAUACAAAAAGGAUUGAUGUUUCUCCUUUGACUAUGUUUGGUUCCCAAAAAUUUGAGGGAAAGAAAAUAAAAAAAAGGUAGUAAAAAAGAAAAAAUGAAGGAAAAUAAAAAAUAGUUUUAAAGUUAAUAAAUUAUUUUUAUAUGCUAUUUCAAACUUAUUUUACUUAUUUUUUUUCAUUAUAUAAAGAUUAAAUAAUUUUAAAAUGCAUAACUAAUUUUAAUUAUAUUUAAUUUUUCUUUUAUAUUUUUUAGACGGGAUCCAACACAUGUAAAAAUCCUUUUUUUUAGCAUCUUUUUUUCUUUUCUUAUUACUUUCCAAUAACCAAAUAUAACCUUUAGAUUUAGCCUUUAGACUUGGAGUAUGGAAGGAUACUGAGUAUUGAAAGAAGGUUUUGUAUAUGGCCAUGAUACCAUAGAAAAAAUGGGCGACAGAGAAAAAACCUUUAUUAAAUGAUAAAUUAUUUUUUUCAAUGGAAAUCAAAUAUAAUUAUUUUUAAAAAUAAAAAUAAAAAAUAAUAAUUUGUUGUUGCAUUAAGUAUUCUUGCAUUUGGAGAAGCAUGUACUACUUACUACAUAAAUGGAUAUUCAUGGAGUGCAUUCUCUAGAAAGCUCCAGUCUCAUGAAAAUGGAAAGAUGGACCGGCCGGUGAACCGGUUCGAGUUUGGAUUUAUGGGCUGCCUCAGCCUAACACGCAUGAUAGGUUGUUGUAGGUGAAGAACUAACUAAUUAAUUUAAAGCCUUCUUCUAUCCUCUCCUAUUCCUCUAUCACUCCAAAUGUUCCACAUGAUAAUGACAAUUCUUUUGUUAAAUGGUAAAAAAAAAAUUUAACAAUUAAUUUAAAAAAUUUUUAAAAUCUAAAUCCAAUGGAAAUUUGACUGUAAGGUGCGUAGAAGGCCCUAGUGCCCAUGUUGCUAAUUUGAUGAUAGUUAAAUUACCAUUUCGAGAGAUUCCACUCACUAGUAUUCUCAUUUAUAAAAUCAUGAACUUUGGCAUCCUAAUUAAUGUAAUUUAACUUUUUUUUGUUUACAAAUGAAAUAAGAGGCAACAUAUAAACCCAAAAGUUAAUUUUCCUACCAUCUCUAUGCACCAUUUUAGCUUUACUCCAAUAUAUUUUCUAUGAUUAAUUAUUUUCAUUCAAACAAUAAUAUCAAAAUAUUUUAAAAUUAGACAUAUCCACUAAUAUAUCUUCGAUAUAUUAUAUAUAUCUGUAAAAUCGAAACACCAAUAUAUCCGUGAUUAUCGAUAUUUUUAUCGUUGAGGGAUAACAACUAAUCUAGUUUUUGUACCUAUUGAUAUUCCUCAACAUUUAGAUUGAUUUGACCAUUUUUUUUUUAAUUUUAUUUUCUUUGAUGGUUAUAUGAUGAAUUAGAAUAGUCAUAUAACAUUAACAGAUUUAAGCAAAAAUGAUAAAAAAGCUCGCAUUUUUCAAAUAUUGGUUUCAACUUUGAAUAUUUUUAUUGGUAAAUGAAAAUUGUGAAAAACCUACUAAUGCUAAUACUUUUCACCACAUAAUUAAAUAUAAUAAACUAGAAUAGUGAUUCAUUGAUGUCUUAUAAAGCUACAUGCCUUCUUUGACUUGUUAGUUGAUUUUUGUAGGUGGAGUCUGUAGGGACCCCUCCCCCUGAUGACACGUGGCACGCAUUUCUAUCCGGAUUAGCUCCAUCCGGAUUUCCUCCAAGGAGACACGUGGCGCGCUUCCCCUAUCCGGACUCCCUCAGGGAGAAGCACACGACACUCGCAAACAUCACAUCCGGACGACCGCCAUAUCGCAUCCGGACGAUCGACAUAUCCUAUCCGGAUAUGUUUGUCCGGAUCGUUGACUAAAGUAAGCAAGUCUUACUACGUCAUUCCGACAGCCUGCCAUGGCCCACGUUCCACCACCUGCAAAGUGAAAAGACAGGAAUGAUGGCAAGUCACUUCCUACGAUCUCUGACAGCUGUGGCGCCUCUCACGAUCUCUGUCAGCCGCCCGUAGGGUGAUGAUGGCCCUGUCACCACCUAGAGUCAUCAUGACAAGCCAAAAUAUCUCUCUAUCAUUAAAGAGGGAGACAGAGCUUCUGGUACUAUAUAUAUGGACCUUCACACAAAGAGGAAGGUAAGCUUGCUAUACCUAGUAAAAGGCCAACUGAUUUAUCUCUUUAACCAUGGCUGACAAAACCAUCGGAGGGUGUGUCCGGACACCCUGUCCGGACGCCUUUUGCAGGAACGAUUGAACCAGGAAUCUAUAUUGGUUGAGAUCGUGCGUCCAUCCAUUUGGCAACUACGUGGAUCACCAGGGACGCGAGGCCUCAACAUUGGCGCCGUCUGUGGGAAAAUCACUGAUUCAGUCACCGACAAAGAUAGCCACACCUUCCCAAAGCCGCUCGUCCGCUAGGGAAAAGGAAGAUAAUUCUGAAUGGCGCCGAGCCAUUGAAAGAAGACAGUUGGCAAGCUCGUGACAACUGCAAGCUCUCCUCCAGGAGACAGAAUGACUAAGAGAAGAAAACGCGGUACUACGCAUCCAAGCUUCAUCGACGGGGCCUCCCCGUCGUCAGCAUUCAAAAGGCCAGGUAGCAAACUCAAGGCCUGACCCAGAGUCAAUAUACCCUGGGGCAGCAGGAGCAAUACUUGAAACAUGCAACGUUAGGCCACAUGAGCCACACACGCCCAUGCACCGAGCUCCCCAUGAGGAAAGCUCAGACUCUACUCAUUUUUCAGCAAAAAGACAACGCGACAAAAAAUCCCAAUUGUCAAACUCAAUGCGUGCGAGACUAGGCCCACAGGAGCCUGGGAGGCCAAAGCCGCCAGUAGCCAUAACCUGGGCAGUGCACCUUGACCCUAUGGUCACCCCCAUGGUGCAGAGCGUUCUCCCGCACCGUGACCCUAUGGUCACCCCUAUGGUGCAGAACGUUCACCCGCACCUAGCGGUACGACAAGCUGGGAGAAACCUCCCAAAUGAGCCACCCAUUGGCUCCAUUAGCAAAAGGCUGGACGACAUGCUCUCCACGCCUUUUUGCUCUCAUAUCAUUCAUUACGAGCCCCCAAGGGGAUUCCUCGUGCCCAAAUUCUCCACAUACGAUGGGUCCAGCGACCCCUUCGACCAUAUCAUGCAUUAUCGACAGCUCAUGACUCUCGAUAUAGGCAAUGACGCGCAGCUAUGCAAAGUAUUCCCCGCCAACCUACAAGGGCAGGCCCUCUCAUGGUUUCACCGCCUACCUCCCAACUAUGUUGAUAAUUUCAGAGACCUAUCAGAGGCCUUCGUGGGACAAUACUUAUGCUCUGCUCGACAUAAGCAGAACAUCAGCACUCUGCAAAACAUAAAAAUGCAGGAUAACGAAUCCUUAAGGGAGUUCGUGAAGUGGUUUGGUCAUGCCGUACUACAGGUAAAGGCUUACAGCAUGGAUGCUGUCCUGCAGAUCUUCAAGCGAAGUAUUUGUCCAGGCACCCCAUUUUUUGAAUCACUCGCUAAAAAGCCUCCUACGACGAUGGACGACUUGUUCCAGCGUGCGAGCAAAUACUCAAUGCUCGAAGAUGACGUGCGAGCAGCCACCCAGCAAGUCUUGGUUGCCGGACAGGCAUCUAGAAGUGGCACGGAAAGAAGUGCCAAACUUCCGGACAGGCCAAGACAGUCCCAUCAAAGGCAGGAAGGGCCAAGUCGCCCGGAAAGGCCGCCCCUCACACCCCUUUCCAUAUCCUAUGAGAAGCUUCUCCCUAUGAUCUAAGACAUGUCCGACUUCAGGUGGCCUAGACCCAUCGGAACGGACCCAUCCAAAAGGGAUCAUAGUAAAAAAUGUGCCUUCCAUAAAGAGCAUGGUCACACAACGGAGACAUGCAGGUGCCUUCAUUAUUUGGUCGAAAGGCUCAUAAGGGCGGGACAUUUAAAGCAAUACCUCCACUCAGAUACCGGAGGUAGAGAUGCUUCCCGAAAUCACAACUCUGGAGCCCCUAGGGCCCUAGCCGUCCCCAAAGCCGUUAUAAACUAUAUUAACAGAGGCCCAUCUGACGAGGAGUACGACUCCAAACGAAAGAAACAAAAGUUGUUGCGGGCAGCAUCGGUGCGCGAACGUGUCAACUCCAUCCGGCCUGGGAUAACUGGGGGGGCCCUCGCCCCAUAGAUGGGAUAAUCAUUUUCCCACCAGUAGACCCCACCCGGAUAUUGAAGCCGCACCGCGACGCCCUCAUCCUGUCCUUAAAGAUAGGAGACUUCGACGUGAGACGCAUCCUGGUUGACCCAGGUAGCUCGGCCGAUCUUGUGCAAGCAUCGGUCAUUAGCCACAUGGGGCACAAUCUCACAGGCCUCGAAAACCCUGGGCGAAUCUUGUCCGGAUUCAACGGGGCGUCAACUACUUCAUUGGGAGACAUUGUACUGUCGGUCCAAGCUGGCCCAGUCACUCUCAACGUACAAUUUUCGGUGGUACAAGAUUUAUCACCCUUCAAUGUCAUCUUGGGGCGCACAUGGCUGCACUACAUGAAAGUCAUCCCCUCUACAUAUCAUCAAAUGGUAAGCUUCCUUACCAAGGAUGGGCAAAUUGACCUAUACGGCAGCCAGUUAGCCGCUCGCCAAUGCUACCAGAUAGCACGAGAAGCAGGGACCAACCAGGAGGAUGCAUCCCUCCCUGAGUCCAGCCAUGCACGUGACCAAUAGCAAUUAUUGAGUCCGGGGGACAAAGAUCCCCCGGCAGCGGAUCCCUUGCAAGCAAUCCAAAUUUCGGAAGAAGGUACUCACCUUACGAAUAUCAGUUAGAAGAGACCCGGAACAUGCAGAACGCCCUCAGACAAAACCAUGACGUCUUCGCAUGGACACAUUCUGAUAUGAAGGGAAUUCAUCCCUCCAUUACCUCUCAUAGGCUUAACGUCUUGCCAACAGCCAGACCCAUCCGGCAGAGGGUUAGACGUUUUCACCCGGACAGACAAAAAAUUAUCCGGAAUGAGAUUGACAAGUUGCUAGAAGUCGGAUUCAUCAGAGAAGUGCAUUACCCGGACUGGUUGGCAAAUGUAGUGGUGGUACCCAAAAAAGAAGGCAAAUGGCGGGUGUGAGUCGACUAUACCAACCUCAAUAAUGCAUGCCCAAAAGACAGUUUCCCUUUGCCACGGAUGGAUCAAAUUGUGGACUCCACUGCUGGGUAAGGGAUGCUCUCCUUCUUGGACGCCUUCUCUGGAUACCACCAAAUCCCCAUGUCCCCGGCUGAUGAAGAAAAGACAGCCUUCAUAACACCACAUGGUCUCUAUUGCUACAAAGUCAUGCCAUUCAGACUCAAAAACGCUGGUGCCACUUACUAGAGACUGAUGACGAAGAUCUUCAAACCUCUGGUCGGCCGCACAAUAGAGGUAUAUAUUGACGAUAUCGUGGUUAAAAGUAAAACCCGAGAGGAACAUGUCCUCCACUUGCAAGAAGUCUUCCACCUCUUGAGGAAGUAUGGCAUGAAGUUGAAUCCCUCUAAAUGUGCCUUUGGCAUAAGUGGUGACAAAUUCUUGGGAUUUAUGGUUAGCCAAAUGGGGAUAGAGGUCAGCCCGGACCAAGUCAAGGCAGUCAUGGAAACACCACCCCCUAGGAGCAAAAAGGAAUUACAACGCCUCACAGGCAAGCUCGUCGCGCUAGGGCGUUUUAUAGCCCGCUUCACUAAUGAACUGCGACCCUUCUUCUUGGCAAUACGAAAAGAAGGAGCAAACGGAUGGACGAACAACUGUCAAAGCGCUUUUGAAAAAAUUAAACAUUGCCUCAUGCAAUCGCCCAUCCUGAGCAGUCCCCUCCUUGAAGAAAAACUGUAUAUGUAUCUGGCUGUAUCGGAGUGGGCAAUUAGUGAUGUUCUAUUCCGCUGCCCCUUACCCAAGGAGCAGAAACCUAUCUACUACGUCAGCAGAGCAUUGGCAGACGUAGAAACCAGGUAUUCAAAGAUGGAGCUAAUGGCCUUAGCUCUUCGAAGUGCUGCCCAGAAGCUCUGCCCCUACUUCCAAGCCCACCCGGUGGUCAUGCUAACUGACCAGCCCCUUCGCAACAUUCUGCACAAGCCAGACUUAACCGGAAGAAUGCUUCAAUGGGCCAUAGAGUUAAGCGAAUAUGGAAUCGAGUUCCAACCCAGGCUGUCCAUGAAAGGCCAAGUUAUGGCUGACUUCGUGUUGGAAUACUCCCGAAGGCCUAUCCAGCGCAAGGAACCAAGUGAAAAAGAGUGGUGGACUUUGCGGGUCGAUGGAGCCUCACGAUCAUCAGGAUCCGGAGUAGGGCUCCUGCUGCAAUCACCAACAGGAGAACAUCUGGAGCAAGCCAUCUGGAUGGGGUUCCCCGCCUCUAACAAUGAAGCGGAAUAUGAGGCCAUCCUAUCCGGAUUGGACCUCGCCCUGGCUCAUCCGUCUCCAAGCUCCGGGUCUAUAGUGACUCCCAACUCAUGGUAAGACACGUUAAGAAGGAAUACGAAGCUAAGGAUGCGCGCAUGACGUGAUAUCUGACUAAAGUAAGGGACACCUUACAACGGUUCACCGAAUGGACGAUCGAAAAAAUCAAACGAUCUAAAAAUGGACGUGCCGACGCCUUAGCAGGCAUAGUUGCCUCCCUCCCCAUCAAAGAAGCCAUAUUGUUGCCUAUACAUGUGUAAGUCAACCAUUCCGUCGCGGAAACCUCCACUUGCAAUACCAUUGAGGCAAAUCAAGCAGACGACCAAGAGUGGACGGAAGACAUUAUAAGGUACCUCUAGACAGGCACUCUGCCUGAAGAGCCCAAGCAGGUACACAAGCUCCGGGUGCAAGCCGCCCGUUUCACCCUAAUUGGGGGGUACUUGUACAAGCGAUCCUUCACAGGUUCCUAUCUUCGGUGCCUAAACCACUCAGAGGCCCUGUAUGUAUUAGCUGAAUUGCACGAGGGAGUAUGUGGAAUUAUUCUGGAGGUCGAUUUCUGGCACACAGGGCCCAUUCGCAAGGAUAUUACUGGCCCACGAUGAAGAAGGAUGCGGCAGCCUAUGUCAAAAAAUGUGACAAAUGCCAAAGGCAUGCCCCCAUACCACAUGUGCCGUCGGAGACAUUGAAGCCAAUAUCAGGCCCCUGGCCCUUCACGCAGUGGGGCAUGGACAUAGUAGGACCCCUACCACCCCCACCCGCUCAAAAGAAAUUCCUGCUCGUCGCCACGAAUUACUUCAGUAAAUGGGUGGAAGCUGAGGCAUACGCUAGCAUCAAAGACAAAGAUGUCACCAAGUUCAUGUGGAAGAACAUCAUCUGCCGCUUCGGAAUCCCCCAAACCAUUAUAGCCGACAACGGUCCAUAGUUUGAUAGCAUCGCUUUCCAGAAUUUCUGUUCGAAACUAAACAUCCGGAAUUCAUACUCCACACCGCGUUAUCCUCAAAGUAAUGGGCAAGCAGAGGCCACAAACAAGACUCUAAUCACUACCUUAAAGAAAAGGCUCGAGCAAGCCAAAGGAAAGUGGGUGGAAGAGCUACCCGGCGUCUUGUGGGCUUAUCGAACCAUACCCAGAUGUCCGACAGGAAACACUCCCUUCGCCCUCGCAUACGGUAUGGACGCAAUCAUUUCUAUUGAAAUAGGGCUACCCACUAUCCCGGACCGAGGCAGGAAAGCAGGAUGAUGCAAAUGUGGAGUUAAGAAGAAACUUGGACUGGGCAAACGAAGUAAGGGAAACUGCAUCCAUUCGGAUGGCAGAUUAUCAACAAAGGGCAUCCGCUCACUACAAUCGCAAAGCAAGGCCCAGAAGCUUUAAAAAUGAUACGCUGGUCCUUAGAAAGGUUUUCGAAAAUACUGCUGAGAUAGGAGCGGGAAAAUUUCAAGCCAAUUGGGAAAACCCCUAUAUAGUAUCUAAGACAAGUGAAAGUGGAGCCUAUCAUCUGCAGAAGCUAGAUGGAACCCCAUUGCUCCGACCAUGGAAUGUAUCUAAUCUAAAGUAGUAUUACCAAUGAAAGAAAAAUAGAGGUACAAAUAUGAAUAAGUAUGUUUUAUUAAUACUUGUGAAAAAUUGUAUACAAAAGUUCUCCGGACUACAAAAUACAGAGAGAAGAUAGCAGUAAAAAUUACAAAAAGAAAAGCUCUCAUUGGGAAGGCUUGCCACGCAGCUUCUCCUCCUCACCCGGGGGAAUCGAAGGGACGUCCCGUUUGAUACCAAGUUUCUUCAUACAGCAACGGUAGCCGAAGAAGUACAUUUCGUCUACCUACUUCUGGUAGUCUGCUUCAAGUUCCUCCCUUUCCGCAGCAAACUCAGCCUCCAACUCUUCUUUUUGCGCUAAUAAACGCAACUGCAAAUCCUCUCUCUGCUUUUUCUCAAUUGACACCUCUGUUUGGAGUUGCCUCACUUCUCCCGCAGUUGGGCCAUUUCGUCCUCCGCCUCAUGUAGACGGGCGUCUGUAGAUUCCUCCCGACUCUUUGCCUCAGCUAGCUCUACCCGGAGAGCCUCGUUGUCAUCUCGAGCAGCGGAUAAACUGGCUUCGGCCUGCUCUAAUCUCAAGCGCAGUUCCUCUUCACUGUUUAUGCGUUGAGAGACGAAGGCCUUCAUAUAAUCAGCAGUUCGUAGUAGGUCAGAAAAAAGAUCACGUUGUUGAGCCAUGCCGCGGAUACCGCUCACCAGCUGCAGAAAAACCCACAAACAAGAAGUGCAAAAAUUACAACCCAUGUGACAAACACAUCAGAAUGGCAAGAAAAAUCAAGAAGUAAACUAUACCAUUUCCGCUGCUUCAAACAUUUUUGCUGAAGGCACAGCAACAUCUGAGCUGGAUGGAAUCCGUUUCAGCAUCUCUCCCAACUGCGCAUAGCUGAAAGGACUAGCGGAGAUGCAAGCUGCAUCAUCAACGGGACUUCCUCCUGACGAGGCAUUAGGGAGUGACUCCUUUCCCGAGUCCGGGGCCUCAUCAUUCUCGACCGGCUGGGUCUCUCCGAGUGAACCCCCAUCUGGGACCAGCACCGGGGCGGUUGGAUUCUCUUCUGCCAUCUCUGUCUCACUCCCCUCCGGAUGAUCCUCCUGGACGGACGAGCAGCUGACUUCGAUGGUUUCCAAAAAACGAUCUUGAAGCCGCCUGAUGAGGCUAGACUUUAAGUCACGGGCCGGACGAGACCUCCUUGCAGUUGGCCCCUUCACCGGUAUAAAGGCAAGGGAGCUUGGCUCGCAAGGAGGCACACCCUGACUUUCUGCCCUCGUUUCUUCCGUUGGGGGUGCCGUAGGAGGCAAUGCUUCAGUACAAGAGGCCUCGGCUGCAUCCGCGUCCGAAUGGGGAGAGCCGAGCUGAUUUACUGAAGUCGCUUCCUCAGCCAGAAGAGCCAGCCGUCCAGCCGCUGGCACUGAAGGCCCCGAAUGGUUUAGACCCGCGAGACGUCCGGAGCCUCUUGAAACAGAAGGCAAGACGGGGGAAGGGGGGAGAGGGGGGGGGGGGGGGGUGGUCUGGCUCUCUUAUUAUUAUUUCCUUUACGAAAGUUGGAGGUGGUAUUACCACUUCCUUUGGUGGAGUUGGAAGUUUUAUUUAUUUCCCCUUAUUGAGAGCCUUCUUCUUCUUUUUCUUCGCCGGGGCGCCAGCAGGAAGAGAGGGCGCGAAGCGUUUUAUAUCGGGGGCCCUCCGCAAAGUUCCCUCUUGCCUCAUUCCCUCCCGUUCGUCGAGACGUGCUCGGCGUGCCUGGGCAUCUGCCUUGCGCACCUCCUUGUAGAAAGGAAGGUCUUUUAGAACAAAAUGCUCCCCAGGCAUUACCUUCUUUGGCAACUUCCUGGGGAGAAUAUUGAUGACAUACGCCUGGGGCUCUUGGACAACGGCUAGCAAGUUUCGCGUAGUAAGCAGCGUCUCAUGAUGCCUCUCAGCGGCAGUAAUCUCAAAUAACUUGUUCAGUCGAACGAAAGACGUUUUUUCUACCCACUCGACUACGCGACCCCUCUUGUCCGGACCUGCAUUAUCAGCAACCAAAGAUAUUAAGCCAUCUGAUAACCCCAAAGCAAGAAAAGCAACAAGACGAAUGCCGAACAAACCCCGCAAGCUGUCUUACCCGGAAGCACCAACGAAAGGUUUGGGGAGAAUGGCCUCUCCGGAUGCUCCAGUAGCCCAGCCCAGAUACCCCGGACCAACACAUGUCCCUUGGCUCCUCCCUUCGUCGAAUCCGAAAGCUUAGUCACUAGUUGGAGAGAAGGCAGGUGGGAAACCAUGCUAAAAAUGUCAUUUUUCUCCUUCUUAAGGGAGUAGAUGAAAAGAACCUCCAGCAGCGAGAGGUCCAGGUUGAACAACAUGCUCAGAAUGCUGCAUCCCAUCAGCACCCGGACCAUGUUGGGAUGGAUGUAGGCCGGGGGGAUCUGGGUGAAGUGGAGAAAUUCUUUGAAAAGUGAUGGGAGAGGGAACCGGAGCCCAACAUUGAGUUGCUUCUUGGUAAAGCAGAUAGUGUUCUCCUCAGUUUUCUCAGUCGACAUGGCCUCUCCGUCCAUAAGUUCAACGGACACGCCAUUUGGGAUGCAGAAGCGUUCGCGAAACUCCCUCACAUUCAACUUAUCCACGGAUUUCUCAGCAUGAGCAUCUCCGGGUGAGCUGGAUGAAGUAGCUUCCUUGUUCGCAGACAUUUUGUAGGCUGGGGCUGAAAUGGAAUCUGCAUGGAGGAAUGCCAACAGUCAAACACAGCAAUCCGACCCCACAACCUUAACUCUACCCCAAAGAAGAAUCGGUGACCCACAAAAGGCACAAGGGUGCAACAGAAACCCUAAACACACCCAAAACACGAUCAAAACCCCCCGAAAAAAGCCCUAGAAACCAAUACCGAUUCCUAGUCGCAAAGCAACUUGCCCAGCAAGCCAGAAACAACCAACAAAACAAACACAACAAGGAGAAAAAAAAAAUAGAAAACGUACCGAGUGUAAAACUGGAAAAAUGGGAUGAAAUCCGCAGUGCAGUCACCGUCACGAUACGAGUAUUACCGGCAGAAAACCCUAGAGCUUCACUAGAAAGUGAAAAUACGCGGAAGGUAGAAGAGAAAGCACUACCAGAAAAAGCGCAGAAGGAAAAAUGCAAGAGAAAGGCACAGUUUGCUAUUUAUAGAGAGACAGCUCCUCGGUAUCCCAAAUGCUUAGCCGCACCAUCAUUGAAAGGACACGCUGCCUGGGAAAUCCCAGAAUCGGCGGCUCAUCAUAAAUGAUCUUCUUCCUUUUUCGCCCCCGCUCGCCACGUGGCCCAAUAAAGCGAAAAAAGUCAACCUCAGUUUCAAAAAACAAUCAUUUUUUAACCCACCCAUUUUGCCCUGGCAAAAUGGGCAGGUUAAAAGGGGGGCAUUGUAGGGACCUCUCCCCCUGAUGACAUGUGACACACAUUUCUAUCCGAAUUAGCUCCAUCCGGAUUUCCCCCAAGGAGACACGUGGCGCGCUUCCCCUAUCCGGACUCCCUCAGGGAGAAGCACACGACACUUGCAAACCUCACAUCCGGACGACCGCCAUAUCGCAUCCGGACGACCGACAUAUCCUAUCCGAAUAUGUUUGUCCAGAUCGUUGACUAAAGUAAGCAAGUCUUACUACGUCAUUCCGACAGCCUGCCACGGCUCACGUUCCGCCACCUGCAGAGUGAAAAGACAGGAAUGAUGGCAAGUCACUUCCUACGAUCUCUGACAGUUGCGACGCCUCCCACGAUCUCUGUCAGCCGCUCGUAUGGUGAUGAUGGCCCUGUCACCACCUAGAGUCAUCAUGACAAGCCAAAAUAUCUCCCUAUCAUUAAAGAGGGAGAUAGAGCUUCUGGUACUAUAUAUAUGGACCUUCACACAAAGAGGAAGGUAAGCUUGCUAUACCUAGUAAAAGGCCAACUGAUUUAUCUCUCUAACCAUGGUUGACAAAACCAUCGGAGGGUGUGUCCGGACGCCUUUUGCAGGAAUGACUAAACUAGGAAUCUAUAUUGGUUGAGAUUGUGCGUCCAUCUAUUUGGCAACUACGUGGAUCACCAGGGACGCGAGGCCUCAACAUAGUCCAUUUCCAUUUGAAUUGUUGAAACUUCCUAGUCCUUGUGGGUCUAGUGGUCUCUCUAAUAAUUCCCACCAUUAAUUUUUUGUGAUGAAGUGCAGUCAUUGAUAGCUACUAUAUCAAUUUGCUAUUAAAAGUCAAGUCAUUGAUAACUACUAUUCAAUCUUUUUCAAUAUGGAAAUUGGAAUCUCUAGCGCUACUCUUCUCAUCGUUCAUUUUUAGGUAAUGUGAGAAUGUGUGAACAUAAAUGUCUUCUAAUCAACCAAUUUUUUUUUGAAAAAAACAUGUACAAAAUUGCAAAACUUGCAAAAUCAAACUGACUGUAAUCAACCAUCAUAAUUUUGAUGGUUUUGAAGAAUCAAAGGAUGAAUCCUAAAAGGGUAUUUGAUAAAAAAUAAAAAUUAAAAAAAUUAAAAGACAACUACUCCCUUAAGUAUAAUAAGUGUAUUUGGUAGCACAAAUUUCCUACCACUUAUUAUUUUUUUUCUUAAAAAAUCAUUUACUCUAUUAAAUAAACUAACCUUGGCUUAUCACUUAUAGCAAAAUAGGUUAAGUAGUUUUUAAAAUUUUAUAAUAUUAGAUUUACAUUUUUAUCCUUCAAAAUUUCAUUAAUGCUAGAUUCUUCUAUAUGCUUAACUAAUAAAUAAUUUUUAGCAUUUUUCUUUUCUUAUAAACAUAAAAAAAUAAAAAUAUUAUUAACUUAUUGGUAUAUUUUAAAAUUUUAAUUAGAUUUAAGCUUUUAUUUUUUUGGAUUACCAAUUAUACAUAUAAAUCCUUUAUUAUUAUUGUUAUUAUUGAAAGAAAGGGGUUGAAUAGGUAGUCCCUCAAUCCCCAAAUUAAAUUCUUUAUUGCGUACUUUUGGUUUAUUCCUUUACAUGAAUUCCUUGGUGAGAGUAAACAUUUCAUUAAUGGAUAAAUAAAAUUGAUUCCAUAUCACAGGGUAUAAUGUGGAAAAAUCAUCGGUCUCAUGUGUUCCUUAGUGGAUCCUUUGGAGCCCUUAUCAAAGUUUCAUGAUGAAACCAUUGACUUUUGUUUAACCCAAAUGUGCUUUCAAGACAAAUCUUGAAAGAUUUGAGAGAUGGAGGUUCAAGUCUUUUAUGAACGACCAUGUUCUCUUAGGGUUCAUGAAAUUUCACACCUUUUGAUAAAUAAAACUUAUUUAUUUAUACGUCUAAAACCUAGUAUUUAUUUAUUUAAUUAUAGAAAGUUUCUUAGUUUUAAAAACAUUUCAAAAAUCAUUUUUAGAAUCAAAUAACAAUUUUAGAGAUAAACACAAUAUUAAAAUUUAACAAAAACAAAUUUUUGAAUUAAAAACACAAUAUAAACUAAAUUACAAAAUAUAAAGUAAUUUUUAUCCUAAUUUCUUCUUGCAAAACCAAAUAGAACACCUAGAAGGGGAGUGAAUAGGUGAUUUUAAAUUUUUUCAAUAAUGAUUUAUAAGUUAUACCCAAUUCUUUUACCCUGCGAGUUGUUAGGGACUAUCAAUUCUUUCCUUUUGGCAAUUCAAACAAUAUAUCAAAUAAUAAAAAGAUAUAAAUAAUGAGACAUAAAGAUUUUUACAUGGAAAACCCCCCACACUAACCAUGGAGAUAAAAAGCCAUGGAGUCUAAGACCUAUUAAUCUAAAUUCACUAUACGAAAUCAAGUUACACAAAUUUAUUUGGUAGCUUUACCUUAAAGACUUACUCUCCGGUACUGACAACUUGAUUCACGUCCAUGACGUAGCAACCCUCGAUUACUCCAAUGUAUCACUUCAAGCUUACUAAAAGGAUGAAGGCCUUCAAACCAAGAUUCAAAAAUCAAUUCCUUGAAUGAGAGAUUAGGAAUGGUGUGCCACUUUAGGCUUUCUCUCUAAGAUCUCUAAAAUGAUCUCCUCAAUGAAAACCUCUUAAACAAAAUGAGAUAUUUCUCCACAAUCUCUAACCCUUAAGGGGUUAUAAUGAGAUAUUUAUAGGCAACUAAGUUGAAAGUUUCAGUUUUGGAAGGUUUCUCAAUUGAAUUUGUGUGAAAAACUCGGCAGAAUCGACAUGAUCGCUCGAGCCAACACACUUCCCACUUGAGCGUUUUGGGCACUUGAGCGGUAAGGCUCGCUUGAGUUGUCUUAAGCACUUGAGCAUUCUAGGCUACUUGAGCAAUCUUGCUCUAUUUCAAAAGUUAAUUUUAAAUCAUUUUAAGUUCAAAACAAAAUUGAUUCCCUUUAUACCUCAAAGAAGCCUAACUUGCCACAAACCAAACCUUUUUAGAUAUACUUGUGACUUCCUGGUUGGACGAACAACAACUCUUAAUCUUCAAUGGAGAGCAAGUCACUAUCUAAAAAGAUUUAUAUGGUCAAACAUAAAAAAACAAAAAAAUUGCCAACAUAACAACAAGACUCAAUGUCCUAACAAUCUUCCCCUUUGGCAAUUUUGUGACAAAAACAACGUUACAUAAACCCACCUGAACUCUCAUAAUGGAGUUUAAUAAUACACAUUAACGUUCAAUUAAAAAUAAACUAAGGGAAUACUUUAUCUCACUUUGUAGUAUUUGUCUUCCAACCUUGUAACCUACACACAUAUAGAAAACUAUACCAAAGGUAAAACAAUGUGCAGGAUAAGAUAUGAUCAAGAAAGCAAAAUAGGAUAAUUGGAAAUUUUGCUUGAUGCCUUGUGAAAGCAUGAAAAAAGAACAAAUUCAUAUAGUAAUAUCAAGGGACAAAGCAAAACUCGAGAAGAAUAUAUAUGUAUGCAAAUCAACCAAACAUAAUAAAAGCUAAAUAAGAUGCAAUAGAUAAAAAAUAAUGCCUAGGGGUCUAUCUCCAACCAGAAAAUAGGGAGUGAAGAUCAUAGAAAGAACCUUCUGUGACUUAGAAAGAUUCUAGAGAGAUAGUAAAUUCAAACAUAAAUAUCUUGCUGGAAACAUCUAUGUUAUGUAUCUCUCUAAACCUUUUAAGUUAUGCUUUCAUCAGUUGAUUUGGUUUUUCUCCAAUGUCUCAGGUUUAAUUUCCUCUAUUAUUUCAAUUAGAGAAAUUAGUAGUCGAUUGACUUAGUGGGUGUUUGGUAAAACUUAAUACUUAUUAUUUAAUGAUUAACUUUAAGUUAAAUUGUUCUUAAGUUAUUAAUUUAAAAUUUAUUACUUAUUUUGUAUUUAAGUAUUAAGGUUAUUUGUAAAAAUCAACUUAAAAUUUAUUCUAAAUCAUCAAAUUAACACAUUUACCCUUAUUAAUUUUAACUUAUAUUUAUUUUCAUUAAUUUUAAACAAUAAAUUUAUUCAUAAAACAUCUAUAUUUUUGUAGAUACAUAAUAACCAUAAAAUAUUUACUAUAAAAAAUGAGUCAUGGAUGUAGAAUUAUAAUUCUAAAAUAUACACCUAUAAGUGUGGGUAAAUAAGACAAAAAUGAUUUGAGAUUAAGAGUAAAGUUAAUUAUUUUGACUUAAGACUUCAAGUUAAAAAUAACUUUAAGUUGCAAUAUUAAGUUAUUUUAUCAAACAUGCUUAAUUUACUUAACAACUUAAAUUAACUUAUUAAGUUGAUUUAUCAAACACCCCACUAGUAAUAUGUUGAAAAUGAAGAGCAUCCAUAGCAGAUAAUGUAUAUGUAUUUGUGUUUAGAGUAGAAGGGCACUACAACAAUGGACUUGCAUGUGAUUUGGUCGCGAUAUGAUUUUGAUGAGAAUAUUUUAUUGUCUUUAAAAUAUUGUUAUAUGAAAUGCCACACUAUGUUAGUAAAUGAUAGUUAUGUUAGUAGAAAUGAAAGUUUGUUUUAUAAUGCAUUGACCAUCCUAACACAUGCACUUAAUUAUCAUUAGUAGUUAGACAUGUAUUCCCUUUUUUCAAUUUUUUUUCUUCUUUUUAAAUACAUUCUAGUGGUACUUUGCCUUAUGACUUAAUUUUUGUUACACUUACUACUUUUGGUUUUAGUCAUAUUUCAUUUUAUUAGUAUUUUCAUUUUGUGUUACAAUUUUAUUUAGUUUCUCUAUAUUCUCUUUUGGAUGGUGAUUUCACUUCAAAUUUUAAUUCAAAUUAGGCUUAUUGUCCUCUUAGUAAGCCUUUUCUAGGCGAGUUGUUAUAGAAAAUUAAACAAACCUCUCCUAAGGUUGGCCUUGUUACAUAGACUUCUUUUCUAUUUUGAAAUAUUAUAUUGACCUCCCUUGUUAGAUAUUGGUUUUUACGAUUACUAAGAAUAAUGCUUCUUAAUCAUUAUUAACGAUAAUGCAAAAUGAUAUAACUACUCUUAGUUAAAUCAAAUCAUAAUGACAAUAUUUUCAUCUUCUUUUUCCAAUUUUCUUCUUCUUCCUCCAUACAUGCUAAUUUGCAAAAAUUUAUACCCAUUAUUUAAAUGAAAUCUUUUGAAAUAAAUUAAAAUCUUCCUUAUUUGAUAUUAUAGAAACCUAAUUUAAAUAAAAUAUUUUGAAAUAAAUUAGAUAAAAAAAAAACUUGUCAUCAUUCUAACCCAAAUCAAAUUUAAAAGAAUAACUAAAUAUUUCAAGUCUCAUUUUGUCUCAAUAUCACCUUUGCUAAUCAACCUAUCCAAUCUUAGAUCAAACUCAAAUUGCAAUCAAAUUUUGACAAGAAAAAAUCUACUUAAGACUGAAUAAGAAAACUUGUGGAAAGAGUCUUAUCAAGAAGGUGCAUGAAACCCUCAGUUCAAAAACUUCUUCUAAAAUAAAAUUAAAAAAAGAAAAGAAAAGAAAGAUAUUCAAUGUUAAAGGACUUUUAAGAUAAAUCAAAAUUUGAAAAUGAAUGUUAAUACUUGCGAUAGAUUCCACAUUCAUGAACAAAUUACCAUUGCACCACUUAUUUUCAAUUCACACUUUAAUUUACUAUCCAUAGAAACUUUCAUUAAAUUUUCCAUAAAACAAACAAAGAGCCUUAACCCCCAAAUAUUUUAAUUCUUAAAAAUACAUCAUUUCAUCAAUUUUUGAAACCCUCAUUUUAACACAAAUUAUUUUUUUUUACAAAUUAUUAAAAGAAUAAAAAGAAAAUUAAGAAGAGGUUGUCAUUAUUAUUCUUGCAAAGUCACCACAAAAUAAAUUAUAACAAAUAUAGAAAAUAAAAUAAUGUGACGAUGAAGAUGAUGCUUAGAAAGUUAGAAUGAAGAAGAUAGUAUCAUUUAGAUGAUUUAGGUUAAGAUGAGGACUAGAUAAGGAAAGUGACAUCAAUUGCCUAAUUAUUUGGGGUUUUAGACAUACAAAAUGAGGGAGAUGACUAAAAUUAUGGUUUAAUUAUUUUUGGUUAAGGAUUAUUAAGUUAUUUUAAGGAAUUAAUUAAUUAAUUUAUAAUAAAUUUAGAAUUAAUUAAAAGUUAAUUAAAAUAAUUAUUGAUUCAUAGUUUAAUUUAAAACUAAUUUGAAUAAAAGAUGAAAAACUGAAAGUCCAUUAGGGUUUCACCUAGAGAGGGGAGAGGAGGUGGAUGAUUUAAAAAAUUUCAAUAAAGAUCUAUAUGUUAUAUCCAAUUUUAUUUUACCCUGUGAGAUGUUAGGGAUAACCUUUUCUAUCAACCUUAGGCAAUUCAAACAAAAUAUCAAAUAUAAAAGAUAAGAACAAUAAGGCAUGCGAUUUUUAUAUGGAAAAUCCUCACACUAACUGUGACGAUAAAAACCACGAGAUCUAAGACCUAUUAAUCUAAAUGCACUAGAUGAAAUCAAGUUACACAGAUUUACUUGACUGCUUUACCUUAAAGAUUUACUCUCUGGUAAGUACAACUUGAUUCAUGUCCACAACAUAGCAACCCUUGAUUGCUCCAGUGGAUCACUUCAGCUUCCUGGAAGGGAUGAAGGUCUCCAAAAUAAUAUUUAAAGAACAAAUCCUUGAAUGAGAAAUUGAGAAUGGUGUGGCAAUCUAGGUUUUGUCUAUAGGAGACCCUUUUUAGAGAAUAAAGUCUCUCAACAAUCUAUCUCCAAUCUCUUCAAUAUCUCUAACCCUCAAGGGGUUAUAAGGGAGGUAUUUAUAGGCAAAAGUUUGAAAAGUUUUGAUUUUGGAAGGUUUCUCAAUUGAAAUUUUGUGAAAAACUUGGUAGAAUCAACAUGAUUGCUCGAGCCAACUCACCCAUCGCUUGAGCGCCUCAAGCACUUGAGUGGUAUGGCUCACUUGAGCGGUCUUAAGCGCUUGAGUAGUCUUUAGUGCUUGAGCGCUCUAGGCCACUUGAGCAGUCUUGCUCUCUUUCAAAAAUCAAUUUUAAAAUCUUUUUAAGUUCAAAACAAAAUUGAUGCUCUUUAAUACCUCAACAUAGCCUAAUUAACAUAAGUCAAGCCUCUUUAAACAUGUGACUUCUCAAUUGGACAAACAACAACCCUUGAUCUUCAAUGAAGAGUAAGUCACUAACUAGAAAGACUUCUAUGACCAAACAUUACAAAGAACAAAAUUGCCAACAUAUAGGAAGGACUUACUGUCUUAACAAUCUCUCCCUUUGACAAUUUUGUGACAAAAAAUUGUUACAUAAACCCACUUGAACUCUGAUAACGGAGUUUACAUAACACACUUUAAUGCUCAAUUAAAACUAAAUUAAGGGAAAGCUUUGUAUUAAUUUAUAGUACUUAUAUUUCAACCCCGUAACCUACACACAUACAAAAAACUAUACUAAAGGUAAAGUAGUGUGAGGAAUAAAGUAAUGUUGAGAAAACAAAACAGGAUAGUUGGAGGUUUUGCUUGAUGACUUAUGAAAACAUGAAAAUGGAACAGAUUUUUGUAGAGACACUGAGGCACAAAGCAAAGCUUGAGAGGAAUAUAGAUACACACAAAUCAGGAAAACACAAUAGAAGCUUGAUAAGACACAAUAGAUCAAUAAUAAUGCUUAGAAGUCUAUCUCCAACCAGAAAAUGGGUAGUGAAAACCAUGGAAAGAAACUGCUAUGACUUAGAAUAGUUCUAGAGUGAUAAUUAGUUUAAACAUAAAUAUCUUAUAAGAAACAUUUGUGUCAAGUAUCUCUUUAAACCAUCUAAGUUAUGUUUUCAUCGGUUGAUAUGGUUUUCUCCAAUUUCUCAAGUUUAAUUUCCUUUAAUAUUUCAAUAAUUUCCCUUAAUGGAUGAAUGAAUGAAUGAAUUGAAUUAAAGAAUUCAAAAUUUUUAACUCAUAGUAACUUCCCUUAAAUUACAAUCAAUACAAUAAUUCAAAUCAAGUAUACAAAAACAUAAAUAAUAGAACAUUUAUGCAUUAGGUGGCGGUAGAGGGAUAGAGCUUGAAGCAUCGUGAGAAUGGGUACAAGAAAAGAUGUAGUUAAGUUAUCCCUAAAUCUCUCGGAGUUGGAGAUCCUAAGAGUCCAUCUUCUGAUGAAGUCGGGCCAUGGAAUUUAGAGCCUCAUGGGCGUUGGGUCUACAAAAGUAAAAGCCUUGUGUGUAGCUCGGGAAGAACUAACACAACCUCAACUUUAGAGUGAGUCCUCGGAGCAGACUCUAAAUAGUCUGCCUCUAGAAUUCCACCAUGCUCCAUAGCUCGAAGCUCAUCCUCCUAGACAACUACCUUUGCAUGCUGGCCUACAUCAUGUGGUUCAUAAGUUGGAAGAGCCAUCAAACUAUAUACAUGAAUGUAGUGCUUGGGCUAGGAACUCCCAUCUAAAAAGGCAUGGGUAGCCUAGACCCCUAGUGUAGGAUCAAUCUUAAAUCCCACAUCCUCGAGUAUCCGCGUCAUGAGGAGGGUAAAAGGGAAAGUGCCUCCUCUAAAGGAUAAACCACGAAGGGGAAUGAUUGUAUCCAGGAUGACUUAGCCAAUGUCAAAUUGUUGGCUUGAGAGAAUGACGUGAAUAAAGUGAGCAGAUGGUCAAUGGAUUUGGGUGCAGUGUGUAAAUGGGUAGAAGGAGUAAGUGAAGAAUGUGGCAAACAACCAUGUUAGCUUGAAGAAGCCAACAAUCAAGAUAUAAGAAGGAAAGGGGCAAAGACCCCCAUAAAGAGAAGUCAGAAUGGUGUCAAGUUUCUCUCGGGUGAGAGCCUGAACCUCUAGGGAAAAUGAAGAAAUGAGAGCCUCAAUUUGCGACAUGCUAAGGACACAUUGAAUGUAAUGGGAGAAAAUAAGGAAAAAUUGACCAUGCAUGGUCAAUUGAAAGGUGACUCCGACCACAAUAUAAUGCAUGUUCUCAUAGAACAUGUGAACAAGAUGGGGAUAGGAAGUCCCCUAGAGAGAAAACAAAGUCUCCUAACUUUACUCUUGAAUGAUGAUAGGGAAGACAGUGUCCUGAAAAGCUUAGAGGUUAAUGGCAUGCUCAGGCUCGACACAUUGAUAUGUGAAAGAAGCGUAAUAAUGGUCUCGUGCCACCUGGCAGUGAAAACGCUCAACCGAAAGUGCAUCUAGGUUAAAAAGACCCUGGAGUGGGAUGCCCUAGACGGUUUCAGUGACCUAGGAAAGGUCACCUCCCUCUGACAUCUAUGACUAGCCAUAUCUAAGGUAUAUAAUAUGAAAAAACAAAAGCUAAAGAAGAACUAAAGAAAAUCCAAAGAAAAGCUAAACCACUAAAAAUGUUAAACUCAAUGCGUCGAACAAUACUAUACAAAUGGAAAUGAAAAAUAUGAAGUGAACUGACCUCAGAAGACAAAAGGACAGUAACCUAGAGGGCUCGAAGAUGAAUAGGAAAGUUUGAAAUGAAUAUGGCGUGCUGGAUGACCUUUAUAUAGCCUAUAGGAGUGCUUGAUGCAGAUUAGCACUCGAGCGUCAUGACUAACUUAAAUCAAAGUAUUUAUUACUAUCAAAAUAUUUUAAAAGUUUCAAAGGAAGUAUUCAAUUUAGAACCUUUUUAGAAAUUUUUUUGAAAGAAACAAAAAUAAAACGUGAAAUAUUAUGUGUUAAAGGUGUUAGAAGACAAUAUUGUCUAAUCCAAAGCCUUACACAUUCCACAAAAAAAAAAAAGGAAAAAGAGAGAUAUUAUAUAAGAUUUUGAUCACAUCUAAUAGAAACUAAUAUUUAGCAACAUAUCACCAAGCACUAUCUUAUCAGAAAGCUCUAACAUGUUGGAAAUUUAUGUAAGGUUCCAUAACAACUAACAACUUUUUCUGACGACUUGGCAAUGGACCAUUUGCACUUUAACUACAUUAUUGAAUUUAAAUCAUAUUAGAAUAGUAAUUGACUUCUCUUUUGUGAGGCUACAUAUCUUGUAGGAUGGGAUAGGUGAUUCAUUUCAUAUAUGAAAUUUACUUAAUUUAGUAAUGCAUCCAAGUUCAUUAUGAAUAUAAUGGUACCACAACUUUUUGAAUAUUUGUAAUCUGUAAUCUUUGUUUCAACUUCUCAAGUCUAGUCAUUUUAUCGGCAUAACUAGUUUGCUUCAAUUAUCUCUCAACUUUAUUAUAAAACUAAGGGAAAUGAUUAUCACGCAUUUUAUAUUAACUUAACCAAACAUCUUUAUAUAUCUUACAUAUAUAUAUAUAUUGUAAAUUUAGGAAAAUUUCAUCCAUUAGCCAUAGUAAGUAAGAAUCAAAUAUGGGAUAUGUAAGCCAAUGGUGAUAUUGAUGGCGUCAAAUCAAUGACAUAGUAGAAACGUGGAUUGUCUAUUUUCAAACCUUUAUAUUUUCAUCCAAUAGUAAAAAGGUUUAGGCAUCACUUGAAAAGUAGUUUGUUUUUUACCUUGGACUAUGAUUUAUGAAUAAAGUUCUUCUGUUGUAUACCUUUUGUGAUGCCCCAAACCUAAUUUAGGGGUAAAAAUAAUAAUUUAGAAACAAAUAAAUAAAAAUUUAAAUAAAUUUAAUUAAGGUAAAAAUGUAUUUUCGUAUUUAAAAUUCCUAGGGAUCAAUUAUAUAUUUCUUGUCUUCUCUAUUCAAAAAACCCUAUUACACAAAAAUCAAAGAUCAGAGAACAUAGGACAACGUAGGGUUGAAGAUUUGGAGGUUUAGGGUUGAAGAUUAGUUUUCCAGGUAAGAUUCUAACCCUUAAAUUAGUAUUUUAGAUUCGUUAAUUAGUUUGAACACUUUAGAUAUUCUUUGAAAAAUCUGAAUCCACGUUAGGGUUUGUUAAUUUAAUUUUUAAAUAAAAAAGAUUGAAAAUUUAUGAACAUAAGUAGAGUUAUUAUUAAAGAUUGAAAAUUUUUGAAUAUUUGAAUUAAAAAUCUAGAAAAAAAAAAAGAAAAUAAAUUAUAGAUUUGGAUGUGGAAAAAAAUUAAUAUUAAUAAAUAAAUAAAACCUAUGAGUAUGGAGGUAGAAAAAUAUGAAAGUUGAAAGCAAAGAAAAAAAAAAGGAAUAAGGUUUUGUGGUUGUAUAUGCCUCCUUAGUGGAAAAAAAAUACAAGGUUGCUUGCAAUAGGAUAUGAUAAAGAGAGAGAGAUAAAUGCUUCGAUAUUGAUUUUUGUGGGGAAAAAAAGAUUGGGUAAUGCAGGAGAGAAAUAGGUAGCAUUUGUAGAGUUGGUGGAGUUGUUGUAAAAGCUCGUAGGGGUAAUUGUUAGGAAACAUUAGGACUUGAAAUAAUAAUAAUUGCUUCUAGUAAAAGUUUUAAUUUAGUUUAAGUAUAUAAAAGAAAUAGAUGAUUAGAAAAAGAUUUGGAAGGAAUAUGAAUUCAUAAAAUUUCGAAAUUUACUAAUUUAGAUUAUUAUUGUUUUGGAAGUUGAAUAUAAUAUAGGUGAUAAUAUUAUUAAUAUAGGAAAUGAUUAAGAUUCUCAAACCUACAAUUUUAGAUAAAUAGUUAAUAGUAAUAGAUGAUUUUUUAUUUUUUUUAUUUUUUAUUUUUUAUGUUAUGUUAAGUGAAUAAUGGAUUCUUUGAUUAAUUCUCUAAGGUUUCUAAGUGCUUCUUUAAGGUAAGGGAUAUUAAUACUGAUUUUGUAAAUGAAAAUAUUUCUUUUUAUAAGUUAUUUUAAAUUAUGAAAAAUUUUAUUAUUAUUUAUGCAUGGAUCAAAUAUAUAUUUUUUCAUGAGAAACAUGUUUAGGCAAUUUCUUUGUUUAUAAAUAAAUAAAUAAAAAAUGAGAACCUUGGAAAUAUAAUGUUUUGUUUUGUAAGUUUAAAAUAAUGAAAUAAAGUUUUUGACUCUGGUUUAUAUGACCUUAGUUAAUGGGUUAUAAUUGUUGACAUUUUUAGCUCCAAUCAACAAUUAUAAUUGUUGACAUUUUCAGCUCCAAUCAACGAUUAUAAUUGUUGAGAUUUUCAACCCUAGCCAAUGGGUUAUAAUAGUUGACCUUAUAGCCCUAGUCAACAGAUAUAAUUGUCAACCUUUGGUUUUGCCCAUCUUAAAAAGAACAAAUUUAAGGCUAGCCAUUUAUUUGUAAAGUCCCACCUAACUAAGUACCAUUUGUUAUUUAAUAACCAGAGUAAAGAUAUUUUGAAUGUAUUUGAUAUGAAAUUGUUUUGAUAUAAAUAUGAAAAUGUUUGGUUGAAAGUUCAAAUGUUUAAUGCAUGUUGAACUCAAAAGUUUUAUUAAAAUGAUUAUAUGUUAUAUAUCCUAUUUGUAAGCUUGAUCCAUGAAACUGUAUUAAUAUUCCUUAUUGGACUUUGAGCUCAUUCCCCUUUGUUGAGAAUUUUUUUGGUAUUCUCAGUUUGGGCAAGGAGUGAUGACUGGGUUGGGGAAUUUUCUUUGCUAUGAUUUUGGUUCAAUCUUUAUUUUGGACAUUGUUUAGAUGUUAAAAUUUAAUUCCCAUUUAAAUUAUUUGAGUUUGGAGUUAUUUGGACGAUAACACUUUGAUUGAUGUGUUAGUUUUAAAGUUGAGAAUUGAAAAUUAUAGAAUUUAUUUAUCUUACUACUUUGAACAGAAAUUUAGUAAUUGGAGAUCAUCCAGUUACAAGAUGAAUAUUUGUGUCAUUUCCACUUUGAGAGUUCAGACUUGGGGUGUGAAAUGACCGUUAUGCCCUUGGAGUGGGUAUAUUGUUUAUUUGAAUUUAAUGGUCCCCGAACUCCUUAAUUACUCAUAACUUUAUAUCACCUUCUCAAAGUUAAGUUGUUUUACAACUAUUAUCUAGCUACUUUUCUCUACUAUGACAACUUUAUUACAUAGUGAUUAAUUGAAAGAAUCUACAUGUUUUAUUUCAUAGGAUAGUUGAUUUUUUUACUCAAUGAAUCUUGCUUUUAUUAUUGAAAUUUCAAAUCAUUGUAGUCCAACAAUUUCCUAUCCAUUGGUAAUUUCAUAUUACAUUUCCAAAGUCUAAUCAUUUAAAAACACUUGUAGUUAAUAUAUUGGCAAUUGCAUUGUGGGAAGUUGUUCACUUGAUUUUAAUGUUGAAACUUUCAAAUUAUUGUAGUCCAACAAUUCCCUAUCCAUUGGUAAUUUCAUAUCACAUUUUCAAAUUAUAAUCAUUUACAAAUACUUGUAUAUAGUAUAUUUGGUGAUUGUAGAGUGGAAAGUUGAUCGUUUUCAUGAAGACCUCUAAAAUAUAAAUUUUUUUCAUUCCAUUUAAUAAAGAAUUUCAUUAAUUGAACAUAUAUGUUUUUUUUAGCUGGAAAGUAGAGGCCACAUUAUACGAGGCCUUAGGUGACAAUACUAGGUGAGGGUUUUUUUUUUAAUUUAUUUAUUAUGAAAUAUAAAUAAUAUUAUUUAUUGUAUAAUAAAGAUUAUUAUAAUAUAUUUUUUAUAGAUGAAAAAAAUAUUAAUUGAGUUUUAUUUAUUUUUUAAUAAUUGUUUUCAAUAAAUAACUUAUUUGUAAAAAGAAAACUAUAAAAUAUAUGCAUUUGAAAAAUAUUUAAUUUUUAUUUGAUUUAGUAUCAAUUAAUAUUUGUAAUAUUUUUUAAUAUUAUAGAAGUUAACAUACUCAAUCAAGAUAUUCAAGAUCAAGAGAACAUUUGAGAUUGAAUUAAUUUCUUUAUUGUUUAUGUUUUAGAAAAUUUUUAUAUCCAUUACAAAUUUUCUAUUGUUUAUUUUUCAUUCAAUUUUUGCAUUUUGUAAUAGAUAUUAAAACGAAUUUUUUUUCCUAUAUGUUAAAAAAAUAUUUCAAUGUCUUUAAAAAUAAAAUAUUGCAGUAAAAUCAAAAUUACAUUGUGAAACUUUAAGCGAAUGUUUUAUACUUAAGAAGUGCCAAUUAAAGUAAGCAUGCAUCUACAAUUGUAAUUUAGAUGUCAUACUGAAACAAUAGUUCUCUUCGACUAUAUCAUAAAAUUUGGUUCGAAUUACUUUAAGUCAUCUUGUAGAUUUUCAAGUUCUAAUGAUAUGCAUCAAGUAUGUGCAACAUACUUGAUAUAACUAAUAUUUUCUUAAGUAAUUGGACACUUUUUUUCUAUAAAUUUACUUGAUUAUCAAUGAAUACUUUUAUGUAGGGUAUUGAUAUAAUUCGAUAAAUAUUUUAAAAUAGUAUUAGAAUAGCUUUGCUCUUUCCCAAUUAACAAAUUUACCAAAUUAACUUAUAUAUAUUUGUUUAUUUGAAUUUACUGGUAUUUGACUCAAAUUGUUAUUAUUUUUAAAAUUAUAGGAAAACCAUUAUUUAUAGAGUUUAAUUAUAUUUUGGUAAAUUAUCUUUUUAAGUUUGACUAGGAUUAGGAAACUAUUAAUUUAAGAUUAAUCCAUAAGGCUCUAUAAAUUUGCAGUUUUAUAUAGGAUUUAAAAAAAGAAAGAAAAAGUAAGAAAAAGUGAAGAGAGAUAGGCAAAGAGUGCAUUGGGUUUUAGAUAGAGAAAGAUUGAGAGAGUUUUGAUUACUACUAAAAAAGAACAUAUUUUAGAUAGUAAUUCUCAUGAGUUUCGCAUCUUUUGAGCAUUAAUUAUGCCUAAAAAUGCUCAAUUAACAUGUUGUUGCCCUUGCAAAAGUUACUAACAAGUUUUAUAAAGUUUUGGAGUCAUUUCAAGUUAUGAUUUUAAUAAAUUGGUGACGAAAGAAAUGAAUUGAUUUGAAGAAGGCAAAUAAUAUUGAUGAUGAUCAAAUGCAUAAUGAAAUAAGAAAUAUAAUUAGUUUGAUCGGGAUUUGCUGCUAAUUUGGAGGUAGUUAAGGUGGAGUCAAAAGAAGAAAAUGGAAGAAAUGACAAAAAGGAGCUUAAAAACCAAAUGUUGCAGAUUUGUAUGAUCAUGCAAAAAUUUUACAUGACUAUGCGAAAUGGAUUAGAGAAGGAAAAUUGACUAUAGUAUAAGGAGGAUGCUUAAGUUGAUUUCGCAUGAACAUGAGAAAAUUUCGCAUGAACAUGCGAAAAUUUUGAACAAUCAUGCGAAAUGGUCCAGAAAGCUCUCUAAUGUUGUUGUUGCUCCACUAAUUUCGCACCACCAUGCGAAAUCGAUAUUUUCAUGCAAAAUGGCUGAAGCUCAUGUGAAAUCAUGAUUUUGAGGCUAAACUCCAGAUUUGUGAAUUUGGAAGGCUUUAUAAGACCAAUGAGAGGUUGCCAAGUGUUCACUUGACCUUGGCCUAUAAAUAGAAACUUGAAUUUCCCAUGUAAAGAGCUUUGUGAUACUUUUAAUUUUAGAUUUUUCUAGAAACUCUUUUUCUAAAUAGAAUUCUAUAUUUUCUUUAAUUUUCCCUCAUUUUCUCAUUAGCCAAACAUGCCUAGUGAGACCAAAUCUCCAAGUAUGAGUGGCUAAAUUUCGUUUUUCUCAAAGGAAGGAGGAUCUAGAGGCAAGAUCUAUGGUGAAUUAUAGAAAUGAGUUUUAAUUGCAAAUGUAAUUUGAUCCAAUUGAUUGAUUAAUUGAAAUUUGAGGAUUUCUCUCUUCAAAUUGUCUUGAAUGACUAUUACAUUGCAAACUAGGUAGAUUCAUUAAAUUCUUAAAGCUAGAUUUAAUGAGACUGAAUAGUUGCAUUGUAUGAAUCAUUGGAAGAUGAUUUAAGAUGAAUUGAAUAUAUAAUUUAAAUUGAUCUCUUGGAUUAAAUAACCUAAUUUGAAGAGAAAUUAGGUUUAGACUUAAAGGUAAAUCCAAAAUCGGUUUAGAUAAGAAUUUAGGUUUUCAAUAUAACUUGAUGAAAAAUAAAUCUCAACAUCUAUUCACUAUGGAAAUUGUUUUCUAAAAAAUAUUAACUCCGAGAAUUCCUUUUCCUUAUCAAUUUUCUUAUAUUCUACAUUAUAUUGUUCUUUUCAAUUAGAAAUCAUUGUUAUUUUGAUUUUUCAUGAAUUGUCAAAUCAAUUUCACUUGACCACAAUCAUUUCUUUUCCUUCCAUUUAAACCUUAAUUAUCGAGAAUAAUCCAUCCCAAUGGAAGACACCUAAGACCACUAUACUACCGUAGCUUUUGCUAAAAAACCUUUUUGAUCGGGCAAGAGUUACCUUAGCAUAGUUGAAUUAUGUUAUAAUUUUUUUUAUCCAAUAAACAACAAAAAAAUCAAUCGAUCAAGUUUGCAUUGUGUAUUCUUGAAUUUUAUUAAUAAAUUUAAUCCCCCUUUUUGAAGCGAUUACACCAAACCAAGUAAAUAUUUUAUAUACUUCAUUUGCUUUAUUUUUUCUAUUAAGUUUAGGUGUUGCAAUUUUCAAGAGUCAUGGUGAGAAGAUUGUGGGAAAAAUUAUUUUAAGGAUGGAGUCGAACAUAAAAUAUGAAAUUGAGUCCUUUGAUGGAAAUAAUAAUUUUAAUAUUUGAUAAAGUAUUAUUAAAGAUGUUUUGAUACAACAAAGACUUCUCAAAGCAUUACAAGGCAAAAAAACUAGAGAGCAUGACAAAUAAAGAAAUGAAAGAAUUAGAAGCAAGAGUUGUAAGUACUAUUUGUUUAAGUCUUAAAAAUGAAAUACAUUGUUUUGAAUGAAAAAUAUUCUUUCAGGGGUGUCAAUUGCUCUUUUAGAGACCAAAAAUAUUAAGCAAUCAAGUAGUUCAUCUCAUAUUGGACAAACUGUUAUGAUGAAUUCUAAACCACAUCAUCAUAGGAGUAAAUCGAAAGAAAAGUAUCUGAUAGGAGGAUGAUCAUUCCAUUCACAUUUAUGGAGGAAUAUGAAGUAUUAUUACUAUGAAAAAAAAAACAUAUCAGGAGAUAUUGUAAAGAAUUGAUGAAGUACCUAGAAGAAAUGAAAAUUUUUAAAUCCCAAGAGACUUCAAAUUCUACUAAUAUUGUUGAUGAAAAUUUUGAAAUAUUGUAGUAAAUUAAAAGUUACAUUAUGGGACUUUUAGUGAGUGUUUUGUGUUGAAGAAAGGCUAAUUAAAGUAAACAUGCAUCUAAAAUUAUAAUUUAGAUGUUGUACUCAAAUAGUUGCUCUCCUCGAUUAUAUCAUAAAAUUUGGUUUGAAGUAGUCUAAGUCAUCUAAUAAUUUUCUAGUUCCAAUUACAUGCAUCAAACAUGUGUGUUAGGAAGUGUUGCAAAUUACUAAUUAGUAUAGAUCCCUUUUUUUUUUUAAAGAAUAUUGUAUUGAAUAUUUCUAGGUUGAUAUAUUAUUGUAAUAUUAGACUUCCUUAUAGAAUAAGGAAUGUUGUUGAAAAUAUCCCUAUAAAUAUUCUAGUUCAUAAGGGGAAAAAGUUAUGAGAUGAAGAUGGACCCAUAAAGACUAUACAAGGUGGAUAGAGAUGUGAGGAAGAACAGGAGGUACCCGGUGGAGCGAGAGGGCUCGUGGUAAGGUAUAGGUACGAAGAGUGAGGAAACAUGGGAUGUUUUGGGAACCCAAUAGUUAUAUCUAGUUAUAUCAUCUAUAAGUUCUAGUUCUGUCCUUUGCAUUGUUCUCUAUUUUAUAGUGGAAUGAUUCUCUCUUAUCUGUGGAUGUAGGCAUGGUUUUCGAACCACGUUAAAACCUUAUGUACCGUUUGUGUCGAAUUUUUUUAUCUUUAUUUUCUUGAUUAAUGAAGUUUGCAUCAAAGCUUCCGUCAACGGAACAAACUUGUAUCAAAGCUUGGGUUAAAGAUUUCUGGAAGAGUAAAAGAUCACAAAGCACACAAGAUGAAACCAAAAGGAUUUUUUAGUGAAAAUGGAGUCGAUUGCUCUCUUGUGGUGAUAUGAUAUAAAAAGUUUGUCUCAUGGAAAGUUUGAAGAUUGACUUCAUGGAAUUUGGUCCAAAAUGGAGAUUGUUAAUAAGUGUCCCAAAUUCCUAAUUAGUAUAGAUUUUUUUUUUUUUUGUAAAGAAUAUUGUAUAGAAUAUUUCUAGGUUGAUAUAUUAUUGUAAUAUUAGACUUUCUUAUAGAAUAAGGAAGGUUGUUGAAAAUAUCUUUAUAAAUAUUCUAGGUCAUGAGGAAAAAAAGUUAUGAGAUGAAGAUGGGCCUGUAAAAACUAUAUGAGGUGGAUAGAGAUGUGAGGAAGAACGGGAGGUACUCAAUGGAAUGAGAGGGCUCGUGGUAGGGUAUGGAUACAAAGAGUGGGGAAAUAUGGGAUGUUUUGGGAACCUAAUAGUUGUAUCUGGUUCUGUCAUCUAUAAUGUUCUAGUUACGUCCUCUAUAAUGCUCUCUAUUGUAUAGUGGAAUGAUUCUCUUUCAUCCAUGGACGUAAGCAUGGUUGUCGAACCACGUUAAAACCUCAUGUACUGUUUGUGUUAUUAUUCUUUAAAUUUUUUAAUAUUUGUUUCUUGAUUAAUGAUGUGUGCAUCAAAGCUUCCACCUACAUAACAAACUGGUAUCAGAGCUUGGGUUGAAGAUUUUUGGAAUAGUAAAAGAUCACAAAGCACACAAGAUGAAAACAAAAGGAAUUUUUAGUGAAUGUGGAGUCAAUUGUUUUCUCGUGGUGAUAUGAUACAAAAAGUUUGUGUCAUGGAGGGUUUAAUGAUUGACUCCGUGAAAUUUGGUCCAAGGUAGAGAUUGUUAGGAAGUGUCCCAAAUUCCUAAUUAAUAUAAAUUCCUCUUUGUAAAGAAUAUUGUAUAGAAUAUUUCUAGGUUGAUAUAUUAUUGUAAUAUUAGACUUCCUUAUAGAAUAAAGAAGGUUGUUGGAAAUAUUUUCAUAAAUAUUUUAAGUCAUGAGGGAAAAAAGUUAUGAGAUGAAGAUGGGCCUAUAAAGACCAUACGAGAUGGAUAGAGAUGUGAGGAAGAAUCGAAGGUACCCAGUGGAGCGAGAGGGCUCAUGGUAGGACAUGAAUAUGAAGAGUGGGGAAACAUGGGAUGUUUUGGGAACCCAAUAGUUGUAUCUAGUUCUGUCAUCUAUAAUGUUCUAAUUCUGUCAUCUAUAAUGUUCUGGUUUUGUCCUCUGUAAUGUUCUUUAUUGUAUAGUGGAAUUAUUCUCCCUCAUCUGUGUAGGCAAGUUGUUAAACCACGUUAAAACCUCGAAUACCAUUUGUGUUGAUUUUUUUUUAGUUUUGUGUUCUUGAUUAACAAUGCUUGCAUCAAAGCUUCUACCAACGUAACAAUGUGCAACAUAUUUGAUAUAACUUAUAUUUUCUUAAGUAAUUGAACACUUUUUUUCUAUAAAUUUACUUGAUUAUCAAUGAAUACCUACAUAUGCGGUAUUGACAUAGUUUGAUAAAUAUUUUAAAAUAGUAUUAGAAUGGCUUUUCUUUUUCCCAAUUAAAAAAUUUAUCAAAUAUAUACAUACACACACACACACACAAUACUCAUUAGUAUGUCUUUUAUGAAAAAACUAUAUUUGUUUAUUUGAAUUUAGUAGCCAUUUAACUCCUUAGUUACUCAUAAACUUUAUAUCACCUUCUUAAAGUCAAGUCAUUUACAAUUAUUUCUAUCUAGCCUUCUCCAUUAUGACAACUUUAUAAGAUAGUGAUUGACUGGAAAAAUCUACAUGCCUUUGUUGAUAGGAUAAUUGUUUUUCUUUUUUUCGUAUUCAAAGAAUCUUGCUUUUGUUAUUGAGACUUUCAAAUCCUUUAUGUCUAGUGGUCUUAUAAUUCCCUAUUCAUUGGUCUUUCAUAUUACCAAUCAUUUUGCAAAUGAGUUAAUUUCAUUCACAUCCUCUGAGAUUUGAUGUAAAUUCGCUUAGUUACCAAUGAUUUCAAAUUUCAUUAAUUAGUACCCCUAUAGAUGUAAUUUGUGUACAAAAUUUAUUUUUUAAAAGAAUUUAGGUAAAAAUAUUUUAGGUUUAUGUCUUUAACAAUUCUCUAAAAUAAAUUUUACUUGCUAAAAAAUAACUUAUAUAGAUAGAAUACAUCUACAGGAGUUCUAACUGACGAAAUUUAAAACUAAUGGUGGUUUAGUGUAUUUAAACUAAACAUUAAGAAGGGUGACUGAAAUUAACCCUCUAGGUAUAUAUGUUUAACAAAAUUUUUAUUGUUUAUUUUUCAUUUAAUGUUUGCAUUUUUCAAUAAACAUUGAAAAGGAAUUGUUUUUCCAUAUGUUAACAAAAAGAAAUUUGAGCACCUAUAAAAAUGAAAUCUUGUAGUAAAAUUGAAGUUACAUUAUCAAACUUUUAACGAGUGUUUAUGUUUAGAAAGGCCAAUUAAAGCAAGCAUGCAUCUAGAAAUUAUAACUUAGAUGCAUCAAACAUGAGCAACAUAUUUGAUAUAACUAAUAGUUUCUUAAGUAACUAAACACUUCUUUUUCUAUAAAUUUACUUGAUUAUCGAUGAAUACUUACAUAUAUUUACAUAGUUUGAUAAAUAUUUUAAAAUAAUAUUAGAAUAACUUUUUUUUUCUCAAUUAUAUUAGAAAAUAAUAUAAAGUUACUUAUAAACUUUAUAUCAUUUUCUCAAAGUCAAGUCAUUUACAAUUAUUUCUAUUUAGCCUUCUCCAUUAGGACAACUUUUAUAUGAUAGUCGUUGAUUGGAAGAAUCUACAUGUCUUUUUUGAUAGGAUAGUUGUUUUUAUUUUUUUUAUUUUUUUUAUUCCAAAAAUUUGCUUCUAUCAUUGAAACUUUCAAAUCUUUUAUGUAUAUUACCAAUCAUUUUACAAGUGAGUUAAUUUCACUUAGGGUAGAUAUACUUAGCCACACCCCUAUAGAUGUAAUUUGUGUUUAAAUUUUAUUUUUUAUUCAGGUAAAAAUAUCUUAGGUAUAUGUGUUCAACAAUUCUCUAAAAAAUAAAUUUUCUUAUCUAAAAGUUUAUAUAGACAAAAUACAUCUGUAGAAGUCCUAACUAAUGAAAUUUAAAAUCAAUGGUUGUUUAGUGUAUUUACAUUAAACCUUAUGGGGUAUGAUUGAAAUUAACUCUCUUACAAGCACUUGUAGCUAAUAUGUUUGUAGUUGUAGUGUUGGAAAUUGAUCAUUUUCUUGAAGGCCUCUAAGAUAUUGGAAAUAUUGCCAUAGUUUUAGACUUUUUUUUAUUACACCUAAUAAAAAAUAUUAUUAAUUUAACAUAUAUAUUCUUGACUUAAAAGUAAAGUCUCUCCAUAUUGUAUAAGCCCUUAGGUGACAAUAUUAGGUGAAGUUUUUCUUUCGUUUAUUAAAAAAUAUAAAUAAUUUAUUAUUGUAUGAUAAAAUUUUAUGUAAUAUAUUUUUAUAGAUGUAAAAUUAUUAAUUGGGUUUUAUUUUAUUUUUUUACUAAAUUGUCAUUUCAAUAUAUAAAACUUAUUUGUAAAAAGACAAUUAUAAACUAUAUGAAAUUGAAAAACAUUUAGUUUUUUUAUUUAAUUUAUAAUUUUGUUUGGAUUAAUAAUUGAUAUUUGUAAGAUUUUUUAAUAUUAAAAAAAGUUAGCAUACUUAAGAAAGAUAUUCAAGAUCGGGAGUGUUUGAUAUUGGAUUAAUUUCCUUAUUUUCUCUAUUUUAAUAAAUUUUCAUGUCCAUUACAAAAUUUUUGUUGUUUAUAUUUUACUUCAAUAUUUUUAUUUUGUAAUAGACAUUUGAAAAGAUUUUUUCCUACAUGUUAAAAAAAAAAAAUGAACACUCCUAAAAAAGAAAUAUUGCAAUAAAAUUAAAGUUUACACUGUAGGACUAUUAGCAAGUGCUAUAUACUUAAAAUAGACCAAUUAAAGUAGAAAUACUUCUAAAAUUUUAAUUUAGGUAACAAUAAUAUAAAAAGAUAAUAUUUUUGAAACAAUAGUUCUCUUGGAGUUUUGGGUACGAUGGACUAGACUUUAUGUAACAAUAGAUAUAUGAACUUUCCAUUAACAUCUUGAGAGACAUGAUGAGGAGCAAAGUCAUCCUAGAAGGUACCAUAGAGGUACCUUAGCUCCAUUCAUCUAGACUACAUAAUGUUUAAAGAUCAAAUUCAAUGACUAGAUUUCAAAAAUCAAUAUAAGCUUUCUCAUAUUCUACUCUAUAUAAGACAAUGGUAUGAUACAUCUCUUGUGUCGUAGAAUGCACCAUGAAAACCUUAUCAUUUUAACAUCAGUUUGAAACUUAAAAGUCACUUAGCACAUUCUAGUUAUUAAUGUAAGAACAUUAAAAGAAAAUAUAAAAAAAGUUACUUUAUUCUUGUGAUUUUGAUCUAGGACUUUUAAUGAUAUUAAAAAAAAAAAAAAAAAACAGAAAAAUAAAUGGAAAUAAAAUCAACAAAUUAAACAAUUGAAUUAAGUUAGUUUAAUUUUUGCAUCGUUAAAUGGGUAAAUAAAGACUCUUAGAUUUGAUAUUAAUAUGAACAUCAUGACUUUAGUGAAUCUUACAAGAAAAUUUUAGUUUGAAAGACUUCAUUCAUUAAACGUGUGGCACAUAUUAAAGUAAAACUAAGUCUUCUCUAUAAUUUGUACCUAUCAUAGUUUCUUUCCUCAUAAAUAGCCUUUUUUGAAUAUAAUAUAGACUUCAACAUGUAUGGUGGGGCCGAUCAAACUACUAGUCAAGACAACUCAUGGGCAACAACGAUGUACCAACUAUAUUAAAUACUCUUCAUCUAUUUGCAUAUCAAGAGUAAUUUAGUAGUGUCUUUCUUAUGUACCUCGUAUCUAGACUUUCAAUGGAGAGUUCUUCAUCUAAAAAUUUGACUUGGGUUUUCAUAUUAGUUUUGGUUUAGACAUAUGGAUGCAAAGGUUGCAUCAAAGAAGAGAAGUAGGCUAAAUCAUCUUACAAAUUUUCAAGUUCAAAUUAGAUGCACCAAACAUAUGCAAUAUAUUUGAUAUAACUAAUAUUUUCUUAAGUAAUUGAAUACAAUUUUUUUUAUUUUAUAAAUUUACUUGAUUAUUAAUGAAUAACUACUUGUAUGAUAUUGACACAACUUGAUAAAACUUUUAAAAUAAUAUUAGAAUAACUUUGCUAAAAAAAAGUAAAAAUAAAAAUAAAAAUAUGUCUAUAUAUAUAAAAUUAAAUAAAAUUAAAAAUUAAAAAAGAAUAUAUAUAUAUAUAUAUAUAUUGUGUGUGUGUGUGUGUGUGCAUGGUCCCACAACUCAUUAGCUACUCAUAAGCUUUAUAUCACUUUCUCAAAGUCAAGUCAUUUUGUAAUUAUUUCUAUCUAGCCUUCUCCAUUACGACAACUGUAUAAGAUAUUGAUGGGUUGGAAAAAUCUUCAUGUCUUUUUUAAUAAGAUAGUUUUAUUAUUAUUAUUAUUAUUAUUAUUAUUAUUAUUAUUCAAAGAAUUUGAUUUUAUUAUUGAAACUUUCAAAUCCUUUAUGCCUAGUGGUCCUACAAUUCCCUAUUCAUUGGUAUUUCAUAUUACCAAUCAUUUUACAAAUAAGUUUAUUUCACCCGGUAAAUAUACUUAACUACUAAUGGUUUCAAAUUUAAUUGAUUAACACACUUAUAGAUGUAAUUUGUUUUUAAAUUUUAUUUUUUUAGAAGAAUUGUAGGUAAAAAUAUUUUAGGAAUAUGCGUUCAAUAAUUCUCUAAAAACAAUUUAUAUAGAUGGAAUACAUUCAUGGAAGUUCCAACUAAUGAAAUUUAAAACCAACGACGAUUUAAUGUAUUCUCACUAAAUCUUAGGGGAGGUGUACUAAAACUAGCCUUUUUACAAAUAUUUGUAGCUAGUAUAUUUGUAGUUAUGGUGUUGGAAGUUGAUCAUUUUCUUAAAGGCCUCUAUGAUAUUGGAAAUAUCGCCAAAGUUUUGAACUUUUUGUUUCAUCUAAAAAAAAUAUCAUUAAUUUAAUAUAUAUACUCUUUGCUUGAAAGUAUAGUUUCUUCAUAUAGUAUGAAGUUGUAGCUAGGUGACAAUAUUAGGUGAAAUUUUUUUGGUUUACUACAAAAUAUAAAUAAUAUAUUUAUUAUAUGAUAAAAUUUUGUAAAAUAUAUUAUUAUAGAUGCAAAAUUAUUAAUGGAGUUUUAUUUUUUACUAAAUUAUCAUUUCAAUAAUAAGAACUUAUUUGUUAAAAGAAAAUUAUAAAAUAUAUGCAGUUGAAAAAAUUUUAAUUUUUUUAUUUAAUUUGGUAUUUUAUUUGAAUUAAUAAUUGAUAUUUGUAAGAUAUUUUAAUAUUAAAAGAAGUUAACAUACUUAAAAAAGACAUUCAAAAUCAAGAGAGUAUUUGAUAUGAAAUUAAUUUAUUUAUUUUUUCUAUUUAAAUAAAUUUUUACAUCCAUUAAAAAAAUUUUAUUGUUUAUUUUUCACUUCAAUAUUUUUAUUUUGUAAAAGAAAUAGAAAUAAAAUCAACAAAUUAAACAAUUGAAUUAAGUUAGUUUAAUUUUGCCACCGUUAAAUUGGUAAAUGAAGACUCUUAUAUUUGAUAUUAACAUGAACAUCAUGACUUCAUUGAAUCUCACAAGAAAAUUUUAGUUUGAAAGAUUUUAUUCUUUAAUCAUGUGGCACAUAUUAAAGUGAGACCAAGUCUUCCCUAUAAUUUGUAUCUAUCACAAUUUCUUUCCUAAUGAAUAGCCUUUUUGAAUAGAAAAUAGACUUUAGCAUGCAUGGUGGGGCCUAGCUAUCAAACUACUAGUCAAAGCAACUCAUGGGCAAGAAUGAUGUACCAACUAGAUUAAGUAUUCUCCAUCUAGUUGCAUAUCAAGAGUAAUUUAGUAGUAUCUUUCUUGUGUACCUCAUUUCUAGACUUUCAAUGGAGAGUUUUUUAUCUUAAAAUUUGAUGUGGGUUUUCAUACUAGUCUUGGUUCAGAUAUGUGAAUGCAAAGGUUGCAUCGAAGAAGAGAAGUAGGCUAAGUCAUCUUACAAAUUUUCAAGUUCAAAUUAGAUGCAUCAAACAUGUGCAACAUAUUUGAUAUAACUAAUAUUUUACCAAGCAACUAAAUACUUUAUAUAUAUAUAUAUAUAUAUAUAUAAAUUUAUUGAUGAUCAAUGAAUACACAUGUAUGGUAUUGACACGGUUUGAUAAAUCUUUUAAAAUAGUAUUAGAAUAACUUUGCUAAAAAAAGUAAAAAUAAAAAUAAAAAUACAUAUAUAUAUAUAUAUAUAAAAUAAAAAAUUUUAAAAGAAUAUAUAUAUAUUAGUGGUCCCACAACUCAUUAGCUACUCAUAAGCUUUAUAUCAUUUUCUUAAAGUCAAGUCAUUUACAAUUAUUUCUAUCUAGCCUUCUCCGUUGCGACAACUGUACAAGAUAUUAAUUGAUUGAAAAAAUCAUCAUGUCUUUUUUGAUAGGAUAGUUUUUUUUUUUAUUCAAAGAACUUUCAAAUCCUUUAUGUCUAGUGGUCCUACAAUUCCUUAUUCAUUGGUAUUUCAUAUUACCAAUCAUUUUACAAAUAAGUUAAUUUCACUCGGUAAAUAUACUUAACCACCAAUGGUUUCCAAUUUGUAACACUCUUAUAGAUGUAGUUUGUUUUUAAAUUUGAUUUUUUAGAAGAAUUGUAGGUAAAAAUAUUUUAGCUAUAUAUGUUCAACAAUUCUCUAAAAACAAUUUAUAUAGAUGGAAUACAUUCAUGGAAGUUCCAACUAAUGAAAUUUAAAACCAAUGAUGAUUUAAUGUAUUUGUACUAAAUCUUAGGGAGUGUGGACUAAAAUUAGCCCUUUUACAAAUAUUUAUAACUAGUAUAUUUGUAGUUGUGGUAUUGGAAGUUGAUCAUUUUCUUAAAAGGUUUACCAUUGAAGUUAGUUGAAUAUAAAGUUAGGUGAACUUUACCAUUGUUAAAUUGGUAAAUGAAGACUCUUAGAUUUGAUACUAACAUGUACAUCAUGACUUCAUGGAAUCUCUCACAAGGAAAUUUUAGUUUGAAAGACUUCAUCUUUUAAACAUGUGGCACAUAUUAAAGUGAGACCAAGUCUUCCCUAUAAUUUGUAUCUAUCACAAUUUCUUUCCUCAUAAAUAGCCUUUUUGAAUAGAAUUAAUAUAGACUUUAGCAUGCAUGAUGGGCCCCGUCAAACUAUUAGUCAAGAUAAUUUGUAGGUAAGAACGAUGGACCAACUAUAUUAAAUACUCUUCAUCUAUUUGCAUAUCAAGAGCAACUUAAUAUUGUCUUUCUUUUGUACUUCAUGUUUGAACUUUCAAUGGAGAGUUUGUCAUCUAAAUAUUUGAUGUGGGUUUUUAUACUACUCUUGGUUCAAAUAUGUGGAUGCAAAGGUUGCAUCAAAGAAGAGAAGAUGGGUUUGCUUGAAUUCAAGGCUUUUCUUAAAUUGAAUAAUGAGCAUGCAGAUUUUCUUCUCCCUUCAUGGAUAGAUAACAACACUAGUGAAUGUUGUAAUUGGGAGCGGGUUAUUUGCAAUCCCACCACAGGUCGAGUUAAGAAGCUUUUCCUCAACGAUAUAACGCGACAACAAAAUUUCUUGGAAGACGAUUGGUACCAUUAUGAAAAUGUCAAAUUCUGGUUACUAAAUGUCUCCCUAUUCCUUCCUUUUGAAGAACUUCACCAUCUAAACUUGUCUGCAAACUCAUUUGAUGGGUUUAUUGAGAAUGAAGGUAUGUUACCUCUCACCUUUAAAAUUUCUUUUCACUUAUACUCCAAACAUUCUAAAGGAACUACUAGCAUAUGUUCUUAAAAGUGUUCAGGUGGAGACCAAAUGGUCACUAGUAACUAUUGAAUUUAAUAUAAGAACAAUUACUAAUUAUUAAAAUUUAUAAUGUAAAUUAACAUUUAAACAAAACAAUAAAAAAAUUAUUAUUUUAGAAAACUAUAGAUUACAUUAGCCUUAUAUAUAUAAGCAUACUUGUAAUUUAUGCCAUCAUUUCACACUCAACCCAAUUAGUGGGAUUCAACUAAGAGUGAGCAAUUUCACAAUUAUUAAUUAACAAAAACACUUAGGCUCCCAUAUCCUUAUCCUUUUUGCUGAAUUGUCUUUCCUUAUCUUCCAUUCCUAAAAAGCUUGAUUUCUAUAUUCCAAAUUGAUAGAGAUUGGUUAAAGAAAGGUGAUCACAAAAUUUGACUAUUGCUUUCAAAUGAGGAAUCACCAUCUUCAAAAUUUCACAUUUAAAAAAAAAAAAAAAAAAAAAACUAGCCUCGGGUAAGGUCCAAGCCUUAUUGUUUUAAGCUGAUGUCGGGUUGGUUUAAUAAUGAACAGAGUAAAUCCCAACCCAUGACCAUCUACGCAUUUCCAAAUUCCACCCAUCCACAACCCAUUAAUAUGACAUUUUCAGGGACAAAAUUUAAUCAAUUAAACCUAUUAGAUGGAUUCUCCAUACAAUGUUAAAAUGAAUAUAAAAACUUUAAUUCAAAAAAUAAUUUCCUUUAUUUAGUUAGGAUUCAAAUUAUAGGGGCACAAAACAUGAAAAUUUUCAUGUUUAAAAUUCACAAAGAUCACAAAAGCUCUUUGAAGCUCUAUGGACUUUUUUAUUUCUAACAUUUAAACACAAAAAUCACCAAAUUGAAUUAGAAACUUGGAUGCAUAUUCUUAUAUUAAAGACAUGUAAGCUUACAUAUUUAAAUAUGAAGAUCUCAACUUGUAAUUACAUGCUUCUAAUUAAAGUUAUAUUACUCUAUUUUACAGGAUUUAAAGGGUUAUCAAGUUUAAAGAAAUUGGAGAUCUUGGACAUAAGUGGUAAUGAGUUUGACAAAAGUGCCUUAAAAUCUUUGGGCACAAUAACAUCACUCAAGACAUUGGCUAUUUGCAGCAUGGGACUGAAUGGAUCUUUUUCCAUUCGAGGCAUGUUAUAUGUCCACAUUGUUUCUUUGAAAUUAAGUAAAAUGUAUUUCUAACUUUUAAUGUUCCUUAGUUAAUCUCUCUUUUGAUUCAUGUUUGUUGCAGAAUUAGCUAGUUUGAGAAAUUUGGAAGUGUUGGAUCUAAGCUAUAAUGAUUUGGAAAGCUUUCAACUAUUGCAAGGUACUUCAUUAACUUGCUAAAAAAACUUAUGAUAUUUUGUUAUUAAAUUAAAGGUAAGAUUAACAAACAAUUUCUUCCCAUUAGUUACUUUUCUUUGUAAUAUCAUUAAAUUUGAUAUAAAAUAGUCUAAAUCAUCCUUUCAAUUUAUAAGUUUUAAUUAAAACGCAUCAAGCAUGCACAAGGUGUUUAAUAUAACUAAUAUUUUCAUAAGUAAUUGAAUUUUUUUUAUGAAUUAAUUAACUUGAUUAUCAAUAAAUACUUACAUGUAUAAGAUUAAUAUAGUUUCAUAAGUAUUUUAAAAUUGUCUUACAACACACACACACACACACAGAGGGAAAAUGAAAGGUAUGUGAUACAUUUAUGCUAUGUUUGGUUCCCAAAAAAAUUGAGGGAAAAUGAAAGGAGAAAAAAGUGGAGAGGAAAAGUAAAAGAAAAGAAAAAAAGUGAAGAAAAAUAUAAAAUUGAUUAAAGUAAAUACAUGUUACUUUAAACUUUUUUACUUAUUUUAAUUCUUCAAUGUAAGGAUGAAAGAUUUGAAAAUGCAUAAGUUUCUAAUUUUUUUAUUUUAUUUUAUAGUUUUUACAAUACAACCAAACAUACUAAAAUCAUUUUCUUUAAUUUUUUUUUCUUUUCUUAAUACUUUUCACGAACCCUUAAGUUAUGUUUGGUUUGCAGAAAAUAUGAGGAAUAGCAAAUAGAAAAGAAAAUUAGAAGGAAAGAAAAAAUGAAGUAAAAUAAAAAUAAAUUUAAAUUUAAUAAAUUAUUUUUAUAUGCUACUUUAAGCUUAUUUCACUUAUUUUAAAUUAUUUAAACUCAUUUCUAAUAAAUAAUAAUGGAAAUUGUAGAGAAGUUUGUGUUAUUCAAGCUUUGCAAUGACUUUUCAAGGUGAAGGAAAAUAUUCUUGCUGAAAUUGAAAAAGGAAAUACCUUCUUAAAUAGCCUAUUGACCGAAAACACAUUACCCUAACAUAUACACACACCUUUAUUAUUUAUACAAUCAUGUAAUACUUAAUCCAGUUAGUGGGAUUCUAGUGGUUGUUUCUAUCUUGGUUUCCAAUAUUUCUGAUUGAUAGUGUUCGAUUAAUGAAAUAUCAUAAAUUUUGACCCCAAUAAGGACCAAUCCCUAUUAAAUGUAAUUGGGUUAACCUAAGACUAAAUGCUAGACCCAACUAAUAAAAACCCAUCUGUUUGUUGGAGUCUAAAUAACCUGGCCUUAGGUAGAGCCCAUGCCUUAUUAUUUUAAGAUGUAGUCCAACUGGUUUAACACUAGAUUGAGUAAAGCCCAACUUAUGAGCAUCUGUGCAUUUCCAUCCAUCCACAACCUACUGGCAUGGAUAAACUUUGGUCAAUUAAACCUAUUAUAACUGUAUACAAAAUUUUAAGUUCAAAAGAUAAUUUUCCUUAUUUAGUUAGGAUUCAUAUUAAAAAGGCACAAAACAUGAAUUUUCAUGUUUAAAUUCACAAAUACCACGAAAGCUCCUUCAAGCUCUAUGGACCAUUUUAUUUGUAACAUUAUAUUACUCUUAAUUAUCAAAUUAACCAACAAAUUCUUCUCAUUACUUAUCUUUCUUUUGUAAUGUCAUAAAAUUUGAUGUAAAGUAGUAUUGGUCAUCAUUUCAACUUUCAGGUUCCAAUUAGAUGCAUCAAGCAUGUGCAACAUAUUUGAUAUAACUAAUAUUUUUAUAAGUAAUUGAAUUUUUUUUUUCUAUAAAUCAAUUAACUUGAUUAUCAAUGAAUACUUUCAUACAUGAUAUUGAUGUAGUUUCAUAAAUAUUUUAAAAUAGUCAUAGAAGUCUUUUAUCUGAUUCACUAGAAAGAAAAAUAAACUAUUCUAAUGAAAAUACUUGAUGAUUUGAAGUGAUUGCUUUUGAUUUUAUUUGAUUGCUACCAUUAUUAAUUGUUAGAAAUUGGCAACAAAUACCCAUUUUGCAUCACUUCUAUAUGCAUCGGGGGAAUGAAUUAUAUUUCAUAGAGCUAACAGGGCAAAACUCAAACUUUUGGAAUUAUGGAAAAUGUUGCUAGAAAGCUAAUUAACCAUUUAUAUUAUGAUUAAGACUAGUUGGGUUAGAAAUAAUUCAUAUGGAGAUUAAAAAAAACUAUGUAAUUUAGUUUAGUAGCUUGGGUGCUAUUGUAAUGAUUAAUGAUCUGCAACUUGAACACAUCUACUAGUGCUUUCUACUUGUAUAGCUAAAUUUAUGUUACCACUUUGAACUAGAGUACUUACAUGAGAAGAAAGCUUUUCCCUAGUGAUAAUGCAAAAGAAAUUAAGUAUCAAUUUUUGUUAAAAAUAACAAGUGAUAGUUUAGAUAUGGUUUGAAUACACUUUCUUUCUUCUAUUUUUUUAUUUUGAAAAAAAAAACUCUUUAAUGAAAUAUAAGAAAUCUUAUAUGUAUAAAAAUUAAAGACUUAAACAAAAAAAUUUGAAAUUUUGAAAAUUUUCGAGAAGUAUUUUUAAGAAUUUGUAUUUUUAGUAUAAUAAUUCCUAUAUUUUGUAUAAAAGUUUUUGUUUAAAAAAAUAGAAGUGUAUCCAAAUUACAAAUUAAUUGUUAAAUUAAGAAUGUUUCUCAGAUCAAGAGAUAAUGAAAGUUGUAGAGAGUUUGCAUUACUCAACCUUUGCAAUUACUUUUUGAAGGUAAAAAAAAAAUACCUUCCUACAUAACAUACAAUGGUAGGUUCUGGUUUGUAAGAAACUAAUAAAUGAUUAAGAAUAUGAAUAAGACUUCCUUUAUAAUAGAUAUGUAGAGAAGAAUAGUGGAUGAUAGGUGGUGAAAAUCUUGUAAUAAAAUAUCAAUAUCGGUUAUAAGAUAAUCAACAUUUUCUCUAUUUCUUGUACCUAUGUGAUUAAGAAUCUUGUAGCUCCCUUAUUGAAAUAUAAUAUAAAAAUAUAAAUAAACUAUUUAGAAGUGCAUGUAGUUUUCAACAUGAGGAAGUUCAAAAGCAAGUUAAUUAUGAUAAUUUUCCAUAGUCUAUAUUGAACACAAAUUAUUUUUACUAAAGGUUCAAUCGUUCUAUGAAGGUUAAAAGUUUGAAUUGUUUACAUAUGCAAAUGUGAAAUUUGAAAGUUUAUAAUUUUUUAUAAUUUUCUUGUAGAUUCAAAAAGCUUGUCCAUAUUCAAAAAGCUCGAGACCUUGAACCUCAAUUACAACAAGUUCAAAAACACUAGCCUACAACAAUUGGAUAUAUUUACAUCCCUUAAAAAUCUUUCUCUAAGAUGGAACAAUGUUGGAGGAUUUUUUCCUAUCCAAGGUAUGUGUAAUUAUUAUUAUUAUUAUUUUUAAUGAUGAAAUAUUAGAAUUGUCAACAUCUUUUAUCUUUUUUUCCCCUCAAUGGUGUUGCAGAAUUAUGCACUCUGGAAAACUUGGUGAUGUUAGACCUAAGUGGGAAUUUCUUUUUUGGCAUGCAAGGUAAAUACAAAGUGAAGUUUUGGUUAUAUAUAUAUAUAUAUAUAUAUAUAUAUAUAUCAUGUAAGAACAUAACUAAAAUCAACAUUAUUUGCCUAUCAAUUUGUGCAUGACUAUUAUUUAGUUAUUCUUCGUAACAUAAUUGAAAGAAUGUCUAGGUGUACAACAUUUAAGAAUUUUACAUGGCACAAUGAAAAACAUGGUAAUCAAUGUGUGCAAUAAAAUUCUAAUAGUUGAAAAAGAAUUUUCUUGUAAUUUUAUGUUCAUGUAUAGUAAUCAAAGAGAAAAUCAUGAAAAUGUAUAUUAGUUAGACUUUAUAUAUCAAUAGACAAAAAAGAAAGAAAAAAAAAGAUUAGUUCCUUAACUUAUCCUAAAAUUUUCUAGAUAACAAGGAGUUUUUUUAUUUUGGGCUAUAAGGUUUACAACCUGAAAAGUGAAGAUGAUUAAUAUUAGUAAUAAAAUUUUAAAAUAUAAAAAUUAGUGAAAUAAUGUUCUCUAUAACUAUAACUCCAACUGCAACUAUUAAUAAAAGAUAAUAAAGGUACUUUAGACUUUGAAUCCAUGGUUAGGUUUGCAAUUUUUUGAUGAUCAAUAAAGCUACAACUUAUGCUGCAAAAGGCUAUACAAAAUGUAUUAGGAGCAUUGCUAAGCUCAUUUAUCAAUAAAGGAAAUCCAGUAAUACUUUGAUUGGAAAAAACCUAGAAUCAUGUUUGAUAUAUAAUAGGUGAAGAAACAAAAUAACAAUUCCAUGGUAUUAGUUAGUUUGAUAUCUCUUUUGUUAUAUGGAAUAACUAUUCCAUUUUAAAAUAAUUAUUUCAUCUUAUCGCUAGAACAAAAAAUUUCAGGCGAUUAUAUGGGCUUUUGGGUUUCUUAAGAAUUUAAGCAUUUAUGGGUCACCCAUAUAUAUAUAGGAAGAAUAAAAAAAAAAAUAUUCUAUGGAGACAAGGGUAGACACCCAUAAAUGUACAUAUAAUUAUUUAAAUAAAAAUAUCAAUAAGAAACAAUAUACAACAAAAUAGAAAAUUUUAAUCUUCCUAAAUUUUAAAAAUAGAAAAUAAAUGAAAAAAAAUUAAAAAGUAAAAAAAAAAAAAAAAAAAGGUCAAGAAUACAAAUAGAUAAGUAAACAAAAUAUAAAAAAAAUACAUAAAUUAAAAUUAAAAUUUUUUUAAAAAAAAUACAUAGAUUAAUAUGAACACUAAAUGAGGUUUUUUGAGAUAGACUUAGUUAGACUUGAACUAGAUGGAUAUUAAAAAAAAUAAAAAUAAAAAUUCAAAGAAAUAAAAACUAAUUAGAUGCUAAAUAUUGGAUUAAAAUAACCAAAUGAAUAAAGAGUAAUUAUUAAUUUUUAACAUUUUUUAUUCCUUAGAAUUAUUAUUUUGUGUAUUAAAUGUAUUAUGAGUGUAGUGGUAUAAAAAAUGUAGUUAAGAAUACUAUGAAGAAUAAUAAUGGUGAUGAUAAUGGUGACGACACUUAAUACCUUUUAUUGUACAUUUAGAAAAAAUGAGGUUCUUGAUCUUUAUGAAGAUUAUCAUUACUCAUCCGCAAGCAUGUUGAUAGUUGAAACUACUCAAUUAUCAAAAAUUGAAUUUCUAACCUUCAAUUUUUCUCUCUCAAAUGUAUAUGUGGGUGAGAAAGCACUAGGUAGGUUAUAAGGUCUCACAUGUAUAUGAGUCAUAGGAUAAAAAAUAUAGAGACAAUACUAGCAUUUAUUUGAUCCAGUGGCAAAUAGAGAAAUAUAACAUAACCAUAACCAUAAUGUUCUAACCUUAUAUAUACCAGAACCAUGUUUCCUUCAUUCAAUUUUGCAACUUUUUCUUUUCAAAUUAGAAUGUAACUCGUAGGAUCCAUUGUCCAUCAAAAUUUUGAAUCGAAUAUUAUAAGAUAUUUCACAUUUCUACCUACUAAAGCAUGAGCUUCAAUGUUCUCAUGCACUUUUGGCUACUAAGUUAAAGAACUCUUUGAGGGUUAAUGGAGUUUCUAUGAGUAGCAAAGCAUUAUAAUCACAAAGUCUUAUCAGUGAUAUGCAAUUUAACCAAGAACUUAUUCCCAACUAUUUUAUGACUUUUCUUGGCUACUUGUAGGCAAGCUAAAGAAAUUUUCUGGUUUGUUCAAGUCUAAAAAGUGGUUUCAAGUUUAGGGCCAAGCUUGGGCUGCACCUAGGUCCUUGGGCCUUAUUCAGCUCCACGUUUAAACCAACCUUGAGUCCAUCUUUGUAAUUUUUCUCCCAAUUCAUUGAUUUAUAUUAGGAUUUUAUAAAGCCUAUAAAUUGACCAACUAAAUAAAGUAGGUUCAUAAACUUUUAGGUGAAAAUUUUCUCUCUAAUAAAUGUUAAUUCAAGAGUCUCCGUAAUCUUUUUAUAUUCAUAUUAAUUGGUAUUUAAACUGACCUUACUAUAUUAAAGUCAAAUACCAAAUAGUGAACACUAUAUCUGCUACUACCACUAUGAUGGUCACAAACAUAGAAUGCUCCUUUUUUUAGAGUCAAUUGAUGCUUAUAAACAACAACUUUGUUUGAAAAUAAAAUACAUCGAGUGAUUGCAUCAAGAGAUUGAUGUAAUAAUUGCAUACUUGAUCUUGAUAAUGCUGAGUUGACUAAAUAAAUGAGUAUUUACUUAUAAGGUAGCCCAUAGAACAUUAUUUGUGGAAAUAUUCAUGCACCUCUACAUAUGUUCAUGAUAACUUAGGUUGAUAAAUUUAAGAAGAACAAAUUCAUAACCUUGGGCAUAGUUAGUAAGAAAUUUCACCAAUAGAGUUUGGUAUCAUGAUUCUAAUUGUUCAAAUUGUUUUAAAGGAGUAUUUUAAAUUGCAUGUUAAUUUGCUUCUAAUAAAUGGAGAGAAACCAAUUCAAGAAGAGAAUUGUACUCAAGCUAUGUAUAACAUUCAUGAAGAUGUAGAAAAUAUUGAUGAACUUACUUUUGAGCAAGUUGAAAUCAUAAUUAAAUAAAAGAACAAACCCAAGGGUUAAGAUUGUCAAGUAAAACUUUAACUAAAAUUUAUUGAUUUUUUAAAUGCCUAUUAGAGGGACAAUAGAAGUUCUAGAUAAAAAGUAAGAACUUUUCUAAGGAAUCACUUGUUAGAUUUUAAGUGAUCAAUAAAUAUAAUGUCCAAUUUAAAACUUUUAUAAAAGCAAUGCUUCUAAAGAAUAACUUGAUUUGAAUUUAAAGUUAUUAUUGAUAUUUGUUUAUAAUGGAUGUAGUUAAUCAACUGAACAUAGUAAAAAACACAUAAAUUUUUCAAAAUACCUUCUAGUUGUUGGGUAUAUUUAAAUAGUCAUCCAUAUCUCAUUAUCUUUUCACUCACAUACUAAUCUCCUUAUUGAGUAUUUACCAAUUACAAGUAGGUUGAAAGUUACUUGAAUUUAAGUCACUAAUCAAUGUUAACUUGAUAACAAAUAAGUCUCUCUUUGAAACUUGUUUUACAAGAUAGCGAAAUGUAGUCGAUCAAUCAUCAAAACAAUGUUCAAGCAUUAGGAUUUAGUUGUUAAUUUUUAUUUUUAUUUUUUGUGCUUAAACAAAGACAAAAAUGAUAAAAACUCCUUAAAAGUACAUAGUAAUUGAAUUUAAUUUAUACAUCAAACAAGAACAAACUAGUCUUGGAUUUAAAAUUCAUCAGGUUUUGUAAUUAUAAUUCCUAAAAAUUUGUAAGACAACAAAAUUAUUGGGCACUAGGUUAUUGGGUGUGUAUGACUAAGAGGUGAAGGAGGGUUCAUCUUAUACAAAGGAUGAUUUGAUUAAUUUUAAAGAUUGGAUAAACAAUAAUUGCAUAUUCAAGUAAAAAUAACAUUGCUAAAAAGGAAAAUAAGUAUUUUAGUCCUCAAACCUAAAAUGGCUAAAAAUUUUAAUUAAUACAAUACAACUUCACCUACAAAAGAAAAAAAAAACCCAAAACUUUUCAAUAGCACAACUAAGUCCAUUUAUCAAAAAAAAGAAAUAUAAGGAAGUUGGACUCAUUUACUAGCAAUUUAACAUAUGACUAAAACCUAUUGAAGAAUUUGCAAUAGCACUUACUUUGGUCAUGUCCAAACUUAUUGCACAUGGUGCAAAAAGGGGUAGUGCUCGAGGAUGCUUCCACAUAAGAAAGACCCUACUUAACUGUUACAAAGGUUAUUUUCCCACUUGUGGGAAUGCUAACCUUGCUAAUAUAUUAUAUGCCAUGUUUAUCAUAUACAAAUUUUUCUUUACUAAAUAUUUCUUUAAUGAUCUUGGACCUAAAAUUAAAUAUUUCAUUAGUAUUGGUCAUGUCGUUCCUCAACUUUUCAACUUUUAGAGUUAAAUCUUUAUCUUUAUCAUUGAUAGUUUUAUGUUUAGUCCCUAGAAACUUCACCUUAUUAACAAUAUGUUCAUUUAAUAUUUUGAUAUUUUUAAUUUUCAAAGAAUCAUAGAGCUCAUUAAUUUUAAUGUCUUUUUAUUCACUUUUAUGCUUUCAACCUUUGUUUUUAGUUUUCCUAUAAUAAUGCAUCAUAGACCCCAUGUAUAUCAUUAAAAUAAAACUCAUUUUUUUCAUUAGGAUUCAAUUAACCCAAUGGAUCAUAAUCAAAAUUAGUUGCAUAUGAACAAAAGCAAUAAGAUUAUCAUUUUGUACAUCUUUACUUUCAUUUGAGUUCUUAGCCCUACAAUCAUCAAACAUGGAAUUACUCCAAGUUACCUACAUAGCCUUCAUACCUAAUGUUUUUAAGGCAAGGACAAUCAACAACCAUGUGUCCCAUUCCCCCAAUGGUUCACUACGAAAUCAAGGUACAUAUGUUAUGCUUUCUUUGUUUCAUAGUGAUUAGAGAGGAUAAACAUUGUAAAAAAAAAAGUUGUCAUAGUUAAUGUAAGCUAAAACUAAAAAACUUGCUUUUUCAAUUGUGUAAGCAUGUUUUGUUCUUGAUGAAUAUUUACAACAUUCAGAGUUACUAAUGUUUAUAAUUCACAGAGACCUCAUUAACAACAAGUAACAACUAAUUGUAAGUAACCAUGAAAAAAAAAUAAGGAGAAAAAUAAAGGAAAAUCAAGGAAAGUGUCAAAUUUUUUCAUCCCCAUAAAAAAUGCUAAGGAAGAAAAAUGUGAAGAAAGUUUAAAGAAAGUAUAUUUUUCAAAAAUUGAAUUUUCUUUCCCUUAAAGUUGGUAUGGACAACCAAACAAGAAAAUGAUUUUUAAAUUCUUUUUUGACCUUUUUCUAUCAUUCUUUUUUUUUUCCCCCUACUCUAUUUCCUUUCCCUCAAACUUUCUAGGUAGUAAACAUUACCUAAGAUAAAUAGGGAAGAAAAUAUUUUAUCAUUUAUUUAUUUAGUAUUUUUCUUACCUUUUUUUGUAUUUUAUCCAAAUAUAAGAAAACUACUUUUCUUUAUUUUUUCUUUUCCUUGUUGCUUUUCAAGAAUCAAGCAUACUUUAAACUCUAAUUAAGAGUUACAUAGAUUUACAGAGAAACAAUGCAACUAGUAACAAAAAAUUAAGGAAAUUUAAUUUUUUAAUUUUUGAGAGUAAGUAUAAUAAGAUUGGUUUGUUUGAUACAAAAUUUGAAUAAAAAUUAUUUUAAUGAAAAUUCAAGGAAAGGAAAAAAAAAAAAAAAAACUUGAUCUCUAGACUAUAAUACUAAAUCAAUUAAAAAAUCUCCUAACAUCGUUUAUGUUCAUCUUUUUUUUUUUAUGGAUUUGAAAAACCCAAUAAUUUGGAGAAAACUGAUUCAAGGAAGAAUAAUUUUUAGAAUAAAAUAUUAUUAUUUAAGAAGAUCAUAAAUUUUAUAGUCAUUGUUGAAAAUGAUAAAUGAUUAAAAAAAAAAAGGUAGUUGGAAAUUUAGAUACUUUUAUAAGACAAAUGCAUUUUUCUAGUCUGGUAUGAAAAAAGGUAAAAUGAUAGGCUUUGAUCAUUUUUCAAGUUAGUUUGUUUAAAUCAUUUUAAUUUAUUUUGAUUUAAGAACAAUAACUUUUAUUACACUAGUUAUUUUGAUUUUCUUUUGAUAGAUUUUGCAAGCUUAAGCAAUUUGGAGCUAUUGGAUUUGAGUUAUAAUUUAUUUAGUGGGAGCAUUCCAUCAUCUAUAAGAUUGAUGUCUUCUAUCAAGUCUUUAUCCUUGGCUGAAAAUUACCUCAAUGGUUUCUUAGCAAAUCAAGGUACAUAUAUUGUGAUUACAGGUUUUUCUAUUUUCUUUUUUAAUAUCUUGUUUGUUCUUUAUGCCAAUUAAGUCAUGCAUGUCUAUUAAUUUUUGGUAUUUAAUGAAAAACUUUAUUCUUAAUUCAUAAAGACCUCAUCAACUAUAAGUAACAGUUAGUUCUAAGUUUGGGGGCAUUGACAAGACGAGGAGAUGAUUGGUUACAUGUCUUAUUCUCUUUUGUUGGCUUUUGCCAAUUGAAUAAGUUUCAAGAAUUAGAUUUUUCUUACAACUUAUUCCAAGGAAUCCUUCCUCCAUGUUUGAAUAAUUUGACAUCUUUGAGGUUAUUGGAUCUCUCUUCCAACCUAUUCUCCGGAAAUCUUUCUUCCCCUCUGUUACCUAAUCUCACAUCCCUGGAGUACAUCGAUCUCAGUUACAAUCAUUUUGAGGGUUCAUUCUCUUUCAGCUCUUUUGCUAAUCACUCCAACUUUCAAGUGGUCAAACUUGGAAGGAAUAACAACAAAUUUGAGGUAGAAACUGAAUAUCCAGUUGAUUGGGUUCCCCUAUUUCAGUUGAAAGCUCUUAUGCUAUCCAACUGUAAGCUCAUCGAUGACCUUCCUGGUUUUCUUCGACACCAAUUAAGAUUAACCGUGGUUGAUCUCUCCCAUAAUAACUUGACUGGAAGUUUCCCCAUUCAGCAGCUUGAAAACAAUACAAGACUAGGAUCUCUAGUUUUGAGGAAUAACUCUUUAAUGGGUCAACUACUUCCCCUGAGACCUAAUAGUCGUAUCACUUUAUUGGAUAUCUCAGACAACCGACUUCAUGGGGAACUUCAACAAAAUGUGGCCAAUAUGAUUCCAAAUAUUGAGUUUCUAAAUUUAUCCAACAAUCUUCCCCUUCAUUUCAUCCAUAUUUGGAUCUACCUUUAAAUCUCUAUUGCAUACAACCCAUAUAUGAUUCCCUCUAAAUUUAGCCUUCAUUUCUUGUUAAGAGGUUUUAAAAGCCAGCAAUUUAAUUUACUUUCAUCCUCUAUAUAGAUGAGAACUCUUAUAUUUAUCCAAUGAUAGGUAACAUUUUUGCAAAUGCUUUUAUUUGAUUUUUUUAAUUGGUCUUAAAAAUAAGUGUUAAUAAAGAUCCACAAUAUAAAAUAAUAAAUUAUAUCUCAAUUGACCUCAAGAUACUAUUUACUUCUACUAACUCAUUUUACAUCUCAAUUGUUCUUAAAAAGUCUAUAAUGGUAAUUAACUAUAGAAUUCAAGUUUUAAUUAUGCAAAAAAUAUAUAAAGGUUUUUAAAAUUAAUAGAAAAAAAGAUUCUAAUAAAUAAUAAGUAGAUUGAAACAUUUAUUUCUAGAAGUAGAGAAAGAUGGAGGAUCAUAAAAGUUGAAAAAAGAAUAAUUUGGAAGUCAUAAAAUUUUGGAAAAAGAAUAAUUCAUAGAGACCUCAUUAACAACAAGUAACAACUAAUUGUAAGUAACCAUGAAAAAAGUAAGGAGAAAAAUAAGGGAAAAGCAAGGAAAGUAGCAAAUUUUUUCAUCCCCAUAAAAAAAUGAUAAGGAAGAAAAAAGUGAAGAAAGUUUAAAGAAAGCAUAUUCUUCAAAAAUUGAAUUUUCUUUCCCUUAAAAUUGGUAUGGACAACCAAACAAGAAAAUGAUUUUUAAAUUCUUUUUUGACCUUUUUCUAUCAUUCUUUUUUUUCCCCCUACUCUAUUUCCUUUCCCUCAAACUUUCUAGGUAGUAAACAUUACCUAAGAUAAAUAGGGAAGAAAAUAUUUUAUCAUUUAUUUAUUUAGUAUUUUUCUUACCUUUUUUGUAUUUUAUCCAAAUAUAAGAAAACUAUUUUUCUUUAUUUUUUCUUUUCCUUGUUGCUUUUCAAGAAUCAAGCAUGCUUUAAACUCUAAUUAAGAGUUACAUGGAUUUACGGAGAAACAAUGCAACUGGUAACAAAAAAUUAAGGAAAUUUAAUUUUUGAGAGUAAGUAUAAUGAGAUUGGUUUGUUUGAUACAAAAUUUAAAUAAAAAUUCUUUCAAUGAAAAUUCAAGGAAAGGAAAAAAAAACAAAUUUAUCUCUAGACUAUAAUACUAAAUCACUUAAAAAAAACUCCUAACAUCGUUUAUGUUCAUCUUUCUUUUUAUGGAUUUGAAAAACCCAAUAAUUUGGAGAAAACUGAUUCAAGGAAGAAUAAUUUUUAGAAUAAAAGAUUAUUAUUUAAGAAGAUCAUAAAUAUUAUAGUCAUUGUUGAAUAUGAUAAAUGAUUAAAAAAAAAAAAGGUAGUUGGAAAUUUAGAUACUUUUAUAAGACAAAUGCAUUUUUCUAGUAUGGUAUGAAAAAAAGGUAAAAUGAUAGGCUUUGAUCAUUUUUUAAGGUAGUUUGUUUAAAUCAUUUUAAUUUAUUUUGAUUUAAUAACAAUAACUUUUAUUACACUAGUUAUUUUGAUUUUCUUUUGAUAGAUUUUGCAAGCUUAAGAAAUUUGGAGGUAUUGGAUUUGAGUUAUAAUUCAUUUAGUGGGAUCGUUCCAUCGUCUAUAAGAUUGUUGUCUUCUCUCAAGUCUUUAUCUCUGGCUGGAAAUCACCUCAAUGGUUCCUUAGCAAAUCAAGGUACAUAUAUUGUGAUUACAGGUUUUUCUAUUUUCUUUUUUAAUAUCUUGUUUGUUCUUUAUGCCAAUGAAGUCAUGCAUGUCUAUUAAUUUUUGGUAUUUAAUAAAAAACUUUAUUCUUAAUUCAUGAAGACCUCAUCAACUGUAAGUAACAACUAGUUGUAAAUUUGGGGGCAUUGAUAAGACGAGGAGAUGAUUGGUUACAUGUCUUAUUCUCUUUUGUAAGCUUCUGCCAAUUGAAUAAGCUUCAAGAGUUAGAUUUUUCUUACAACUUAUUCCAAGGGAUCCUUCCUCCAUGUUUGAAUAAUUUGACAUCUUUGAGGUUAUUGGAUCUCUCUUCCAACCUAUUCUCCGAAAAUCUUUUUUCCCCUCUGUUACCUAAUCUCACAUCCCUGGAGUACAUCGAUCUCAGUUACAAUCAUUUUGAGGGUUCAUUCUCUUUCAGCUCUUUUACUAAUCACUCCAACCUUCAAGUGGUCAAACUUGGAAGGAAUAACAACAAAUUUGAGGUAGAAACUGAAUAUCCAGUUGGUUGGGUUCCCCUGUUUCUGUUGAAAGCUCUUGUCCUAUCCAACUGUAAGCUCAUCGGUGAUCCUGGUUUCCUUCGACACCAAUUAAGAUUAACCGUGGUUGAUCUCUCCCAUAAUAAUUAGACUGGAAGUUUCCCCAUUUGGCUGCUUGAUAACAAUACAAGACUAGGAUCUCUAGUUCUGAGGAAUAACUCUUUAAUGGGUCAACUACUUCCCCUGAGACCUAAUAGUCGUAUCACUUUAUUGGAUAUCUCAGACAACCGACUUCAUGGGGAACUUCAACAAAAUGUGGCCAAUAUGAUUCCAAAUAUUGAGUUUCUAAAUUUAUCCAACAAUCAUCCCCUUCAUUUCAUCCAUAUUUGGAUCUACCUUUAAAUCUCUAUUGCAUACAACCCAUAUAUGAUUCCCUCUAAAUUUAGCCUUCAUUUCUUGCUAAGAGGUUUUAAAAGCCAGCAAUUUAAUUUACUUUCAUCCUCUAGAUUGAUGAGAACUCUUAUAUUUAUCCAAUGAUAGGUAACAUUUUUGCAAAUGCUUUUAUUUGAUUUUUUUAAUUGGUCUUAAAAAUAAGUGUUAAUAAAGAUCCACAAUAUAAAAUAAUAAAUUACAUCUCAAUUGACCUCAAGAUACUAUUUACUUCUACUAACUCAUUUUACAUCUUAAUUGUUCUUAAAAAGUCUAUAAUGGUAAUUAACUAUAGAAUUCAAGUUUUAAUUAUGCAAAAAAUAUAUAAAGGUUUUUAAAGUUAAUAGAAAAAGAGAUUCUGAUAAAUAAUAAGUAGAUUGAAACAUUUAUUUCUAGAAGUAGAGAAAGAUGGAGGAUCAUAAAAGUUGAAAAAAGAAUAAUUUGGAAGUCAUAAAAUUUUGGAAAAAGAAUAAUUCAUAGAGACCUCAUUAACAACAAGUAACAACUAAUUGUAAGUAACCAUGAAAAAAGUAAGGAGAAAAAUAAAGGAAAAUCAAGGAAAGUGACAAAUUUUUUCAUCCCCAUAAAAAAUGAUAAGGAAGAAAAAGGUGAAGAAAGUUUAAAGAAAGUAUAUUUUUCAAAAAUUGAAUUUUCUUUCCCUUAAAGUUGGUAUGGACAACCAAACAAGAAAAUGAUUUUUAAAUUCUUUUUUGACCUUUUUCUAUCAUUCUUUUUUUUUUCCUUACUCUAUUUCCUUUCCCUCAAACUUUCUAGGUAGUAAACAUUACCUAAGAUAAAUAGAGAAGAAAAUAUUUUAUCAUUUAUUUAUUUAGUAUUUUUUUUACCUUUUUUUGUAUUUUAUCCAAAUAUAAGAAAACUAUUUUUCUUUAUUUUUUCUUUUCCUUGUUGCUUUUCAAGAAUCAAGCAUACUUUAAACUUUAAUUAAGAGUUACAUAGAUUUACGGAGAAACAAUGCAACUGGUAACAAAAAAUUAAGGAAAUUUAAUUUUUGAGAGUAAGUAUAAUGAGAUUGGUUUGUUUGAUACAAAAUUUGAAUAAAAAUUCUUUCAAUGAAAAUUCAAGGAAAGGAAAAAAAACAAAUUUAUCUCUAGACUAUAAUACUAAAUCACUUAAAAAAAACUCCUAACAUCGUUUAUGUUCAUCUUUCUUUUUAUGGAUUUGAAAAACCCAAUAAUUUGGAGAAAACUGAUUCAAGGAAGAAUAAUUUUUAGAAUAAAAGAUUAUUAUUUAAGAAGAUCAUAAAUAUUAUAGUCAUUGUUGAAUAUGAUAAAUGAUUAAAAAAAAAAAAGGUAGUAGGAAAUUUGGAUACUUUUAUAAGACAAAUGCAUUUUUCUAGUAUGGUAUGAAAAAAAGGUAAAAUGAUAGGCUUUGAUCAUUUUUUAAGGUAGUUUGUUUAAAUCAUUUUAAUUUAUUUUGAUUUAAUAACAAUAACUUUUAUUACACUAGUUAUUUUGAUUUUCUUUUGAUAGAUUUUGCAAGCUUAAGCAAUUUGGAGGUAUUGGAUUUGAGUGGUAAUUCAUUUAGUGGGAUCGUUCCAUCGUCUAUAAGAUUGUUGUCUUCUCUCAAGUCUUUAUCUCUGGCUGGAAAUCACCUCAAUGGUUCCUUAGCAAAUCAAGGUACAUAUAUUGUGAUUACAGGUUUUUCUAUUUUCUUUUUUAAUAUCUUGUUUGUUCUUUAUGCCAAUGAAGUCAUGCAUGUCUAUUAAUUUUUGGUAUUUAAUAAAAAACUUUAUUCUUAAUUCAUGAAGACCUCAUCAACUGUAAGUAACAACUAGUUGUAAAUUUGGGGGCAUUGAUAAGACGAGGAGAUGAUUGGUUACAUGUCUUAUCACUACUACAAAAAUUGAAAUUAAUGACGCUUUAUUUUAUGACGCUUUCUAAAAGCGUCAUUAUUGAGGGUAUACAAUGACGCUUAUAAGAAGUGUCAUAGUUGUAUUAUUUAUCUUGAUACUGAUUAUAAGUGUCAUUAUUUGAUGUCAUCUUUUUCCUUGUAACUGUGUAUAUAAUGACGCUUAUAAGAAGCGUCAUAGUUUUAUUAUUUACCUUGACACUUAUUAUAAGCAUCAUUAUUUGAUGGGUAUGUAAUGACGUUCUUGAGAAGUGUCAUAGUUGUAUUGACUUUUAAAAUUUUUGUUUUUAAGUUAACUUAUACAAAUUUUGAUAUUAGAAUAUUAUUCUAUAAAUUAAUUAUGGUAAAUUGACAUUAAUAUUAAUGACAUAAAGUUGCUACAUUAAGGUUUUUUUAAAAAAAUUUGGAUAUAAAUAAAAUAAAAUCCUAAUAAAUUAUUUUUUUAUUGUUUGAUAUUAAUUUUUUUAUAGUUUGUAUCAAUACAAUCUAUUUUCAUAAACUAUUUUUCAUUUUUAUUAAAUUAGAAAUUAUCUUAUAUUUCAUUUAAAAAUAAUUUGUUAAUUUAUUUGUGGACCACAAAAAAGUGGCCUAUUUUGAGCACUUGUUCGAGCCUUGGGCCACAUUUAUUGGGUUUAACCCUUUUAUUUGAGAAGGUUUUAUAGUUAAUGAAUAUAAAUUUGAAAUUAUUUAACUAAAAUGAAAUAAAUUAAUAUUUAAAUUAAUUUAAUGAUGAUUAGACUCACAAUAAAACUAAAUGCAAUAAGAAUAUUUAUAAAAACUUUCUAAUAUUUAUGGGAAUUAAGCUCAUUCUAUUAAAUUAGUUUUUUUUUUAAAUAUCAAUAUUCAAAUUAAACCAAUAUCAACCUAAAAUAUCAAAUAAUUAAACAAUAUAAAUUUAUUAUGAGUUCAAUAUAUAAAAAUUAUUAUUGGAAGAUGAAAUAAAGAAUACUAUUUUAAUUUAUUGAAAAAGGACAUGCAUGAUAUUUUAGAAUUUGUUAUAAAGUCUCCAUUGAAAACCCUAACUUUUGGAAGACAAGAAAGAAGGGAGAGAGCCACCGUUUUUAGUGAGAAAGAAGAGAAGAGAGAAAAAUGCAAGUUUUUCUCAUCAGGCCCAGAUUUCAUCAAAGGUCUGAUCCCACUUUGUCCGUGGUCCGAUCGAGCUGAAAUUUGGAGGAGAGUUUCGUGACUCAUUUAUCUUCAAUCUGAACGGUGAAGAUCGGAUUUGGAGUUUCGGAAAGUCAUUAGAAAGAAAGAGGAGAAGAGAGAAAAACGUAGGUUUUUCUCAUCAUGCCCAGAUUUUAUCAAAUGUCCGAUCCCGCUUCGUCCGUGGUCCGAUCGAGUUGAAAUUUGAAGGAGAGGUUUGUGGCUCAUGUAUCUUCAAUAUGAACGGUGGAGAUCUGAUUUGGAGUUUCGGACAGUCAUUAGAGAGAAAGAGGAGAAGAGAGAAAAACUUAGGUUUUUCUCAUCGUGCCCAGAUUUCAUCAAAUGUCUGAUCCCGCUUCGUCCGUGGUCCGAUCGAGUUGAAAUUUGAAGGAGAGGUUCGUGGCUCAUGUAUAUUCAAUAUGAACGGUGGAGAUCGGAUUUGGAGUUUUGGACAGUCAUUAGAGAGAAAGAGGAGAAGAGAGAAAAACAGUGGUUUUUUUAUAUCAUGCCCAGAUUUCAUCAAAGGUUCAAUGCCGCUUUUUUCAUGGUCUGAUUGAGCUGAAAUUUGGAGGAGAGGUUCAUAAGUCAUUAAUCUUAAAUUUGAACGGUGAAGAUCGGAUUUAGAGUUUUGGAAAGUCAUCUUUCAGCCAAAAACAAAACCUUUAUUUUAUCAAAGAUGGCGCUUCCUGAAAGUGUCAUUGUUGCCUAAGACAUACAAUGACAGAGGCGAAGAGGACGCUUUAGAGAAGCGUCAUCUGUUACCUUUCUUGACGCUUAAAAAACGUCAUAGUUUCCCAUUUUUCUUGUAGUGUAUUCUCUUUUGUAAGCUUCUGCCAAUUGAAUAAGCUUCAAGAGUUAGAUCUUUCUUACAACUUAUUCCAAGGGAUCCUUCCUCCAUGUUUGAAUAAUUUGACAUCUUUGAGGUUAUUGGAUCUCUCUUCCAACCUAUUCUCCGAAAAUCUUUCUUCCCCUCUGUUACCUAAUCUCACAUCCCUGGAGUACAUCGAUCUCAGUUACAAUCAUUUUGAGGGUUCAUUCUCUUUCAGCUCUUUUACUAAUCACUCCAACCUUCAAGUGGUCAAACUUGGAAGGAAUAACAACAAGUUUGAGGUAGAAACUGAAUAUCCAGUUGGUUGGGUUCCCCUGUUUCUGUUGAAAGCUCUUAUCCUAUCCAACUGUAAGCUCAUCGGUGAUCCUGGUUUCCUUCGACACCAAUUAAGAUUAACCGUGGUUGAUCUCUCCCAUAAUAAUUAGACUGGAAGUUUCCCCAUUUGGCUGCUUGAUAACAAUACAAGACUAGGAUCUCUAGUUCUGAGGAAUAACUCUUUAAUGGGUCAACUACUUCCCCUGAGACCUAAUAGUCGUAUCACUUUAUUGGAUAUCUCAGACAACCGACUUCAUGGGGAACUUCAACAAAAUGUGGCCAAUAUGAUUCCAAAUAUUGAGUUUCUAAAUUUAUCCAACAAUGGUUUUGAAGGUAUUCUCCCAUCCUCAAUAGCCGAAAUGAGUUCCUUACAGUCAUUAUAUUUGUCUGCUAAUAGUUUCUCAGGGGAAGUACCAAAACAAUUGCUUGCGGCAAAAUAUUUGUGGCUUCUGAAAUUAUCAAAUUAUAAAUUUCAUGGCGAAAUAUUUUCAAGGGACUUUAACUUGACUCAGUUAGGGUUUUUGCAUUUGGACAAUAAUCAGUUCAAGGGAACACUGUCAAAUGUAAUCUCCAGAAUCUCUAGGUUAUGGGUGUUGGAUAGGUAACAUGACCGAUUUGACUACACUGGUGUUGGGCAACAAUAGUUUUAAAGGCAAAUUACCACCUGAGAUUUCUCAAUUGUUGGGGAUGAUAUUUCUUGACGUUUCUCAAAACGCUCUUUUAGGAUCUCUUCCUUCUUUGAAGAGCCUGGAGUAUUUAGAUACCCAGAGAUUGAUACCCAGAGAUUUUCUCAAUUCCUCAUAUCUAUUGACUUUGGAUAUCAGAGACAACAGGUUAUUUGGAAGUAUUCCCUAUUCAAUCUCUAGACUUUUAGAGCUAAGAGGAAACCUUUUAAGUGAUUUCAUUCCAUAUCAGCUUUGUCAUUUGACUAAAAUAAGCUUGAUGGAUAUUUCAAACAACAAUUUUUCUGGGUCAAUUCCCGGAUGCUUUGGUCAUAUCGGAUUUGGAGAUUUCAAAACUGAGCACAAUGUGUAUAUACCGAUGUUGGAUUCGUAUUCAGAAAGCAAUCCUUCUAUAUAUACGGGUUACUUAAUAAAAUAUUUAUUUUUCUCUAGUGAACUCCCUGAUGAAGUAGAUGAAGUUGAGUUUGUUACCAAGAAUAGGUAUAGCUCCUACAGAGUAGAUAAAAAUAUUUGUUGGGAAUUUAGAUAUUUUUAUAGGAAAGUAGACAAGUAUUCUAAUUUAUAAAAACAAUGCAUUUCUUUAGUUUGGUAUAAAAAAAAAUGAAACGAUAGGUAUUGGUAUUUUUUUUAAAGCAACAAACGUUUUAUUUUAUUUGUAUUUAAGAACAAUGUCUUUUCUUAUACUAGUUAUUUUAAUUUUCUUUUGACAGAUUUUGCAAGCUUAAGCAAUUUGGAGAUACUAGAUUUGAGUUCUAAUUCCUUAAGUGGGAUUAUUCCAUCAUCUAUAAGAUUGAUGUCUCAUCUCAAGUCUUUAUCCUUGGCCGGAAAUCAGCUCAAUGGUUCUUUACAAAAUCAAGGUACAUAUGUUAUGAUUUGUUUGUUUCAUAUGGAUUAGAGAAGAUGAAUAUUGUAAAAAAAAAGUUGUAGUUAAUGUAAGCUAGAAAUAAGUAUCUUGCCUUAUAAAUUAUAUGAGCAUGUGUUUGUUCUUAAUGAAUCUUUACAACAUUUAGAGUUACCAAUGUUUAUAAUUCAUAAAGACCUCAUUAACCGUGAGUAACAACUAAUUGUAAGUAAUUGUGGAAAAAGUAAGGAAAACAAAAUGAGGGAAAAGCAAGGAAUUAGGAAAUUAUUUUGUUCCCAUUAAAAAAUGCUAAGGAAGAAAAAGGUAAAAGAAAGUUUAAAAAAAGUGUAUUUUUCAAAAAUUUAUUUCUCUUUCCUUUAAUUUUGCUAUGGACAACCAAACAAGAAAAUUAUUUUAUAAUUCCUUUUUUAUUUUUUUCAUUCUCUCUCUCUUUUUUCCCCUACUCUAUUUCUUUUCCCUCAAACUUUCUUGGUAGUAAACACAACCUAAGAUAAAAUGGGGAAGAAAAUUUUCAGUUUUUUUUUUAUUUUUUUAGAAUGUUUUCUUACUUUUUAGUAUUUUAUGCAAAUAUAGGAAAAUUAUUUUUUUUUCUUUUUUUUUCUUGCUCCUUUUCGGACAUGAAUCACACUUUAAAAGAAAAUUAAUUUUUAAUUAGGAGUUAAGAUAAAUUUAAGGAGAAACAGUGAAUCACGAAUAACAAAAAAAUAAGGAAAUUGAAUUUUUGAAAGUAAGUAUAAUCAAAUUGCUUCAUUUGAUACAAAAUUUGAAUAAAAAUUCUUUCAAGGAAAGGAAAAAACAUUUUUGUCUCUAGAUUAUAAUACUAAAUCAUGUAAAAAAUCUCUUAACAUCAUUUAUAUUCAUAUUUAUUUUUGUAGAUUUGAAAAAUUCAACAAUUUGGAAUAAACUUAUUCAAUGAAUAAUAAUUUUUAGAUUUAAAGAUUAUUAUUUAAGAUCAUAAAUAUUACCAUGAUUGUUGAUGUCUAAGAAGAUCAUAUUCAACAAUUUUUUUAAUAUGUUGUUUUUUUAUGGUAAUUAAUUGAUGUCUUGUAAUUUUUAAUAUUUAAUGAAAAACAUUAUUUUAAUUCAUCUAGAGCUCUUAAUUCAUGAAGACCUCAUUAAUGGUGAGUAAUAGUUGGCUGUAAGUUUGGAGUCAAAGACAUGUCAAGGAGAUGAUUAGUUACAUGUCUUAUUCUCUUUUGUAGGUUUCUGUCAAUUGAAUAAGCUUCAAGAGUUAGAUCUUUCUUACAACUUAUUCCAAGGGAUCCUUCCUCCAUGUUUGAAUAAUUUGACAUCUCUAAGGUUAUUGGAUCUCUCUGUCAACCUAUUCUCCGGAAAUCUUUCUUCUCCUUUAUUACCUAAUCUCACAUCCCUGGAGUACAUCGAUCUCAGUUACAAUCAGUUUGAGGGUUCAUUCUCUUUCAGCUCUUUUGCUAAUCACUCAAAGCUUCAAAUGGUCAAACUUGGAAUGAAUAACAACAAAUUUGAGGUAGAAACUGAAUAUCCAAUUGGUUGGGUUCCCUUGUUUCAAUUGAAGGCUCUUUCGCUAGACAGCUGUAAGCUCACCGGCGACCUUCCUAGUUUUCUUCAAUACCAAUUCAGGUUAGUGGGGGUUGAUCUCUCACAUAAUAACUUGACAGGAAGUUUUCCCAAUUGGCUGCUUGAAAACAAUACGAGACUAAAAUCUCUAGUUCUGAGGAAUAACUCUUUAAUGGGUCAAUUACUUCCCUUGGAACGUAAUACCCGUAUCCAUUCAUUGGAUAUCUCACACAAUCAGUUGGAUGGACAACUUCAAGAAAAUGUGGCCCAUAUGAUUCCAAAUAUGAAAUAUCUAAAUUUAUCCGACAAUGGUUUUGAGGGUAUUCUCCCAUCCUCAAUAGUUGAACUAAGAGCCUUAUGGUAUUUGGAUUUGUCUACCAAUAAUUUCUCUGGAGAAGUACCAAAGCAAUUGCUUGCAGCAAAAGAUUUGGGGGUUUUGAAAUUAUCAAAUAAUAAAUUUCAUGGUGAAAUAUUUUCAAGGGACUUUAACUUGAUUAGGUUGGAAGUUUUGUAUUUGGGCAAUAAUCAGUUGACGGGAACUCUGUCAAAUGUAAUCUCUAAAAGCUCUUGGUUGGGGGUGUUGGAUGUGAGCAACAACUACAUGUCAGGUGAAAUUCCAAGCCAGAUAGGUAACAUGACCUAUUUGACUACACUGGUGUUGGGCAACAAUAGUUUUAAAGGCAAAUUACCACCCGAGAUUUCUCAAUUGUGGGGUUUGGAGUUUCUUGACGUUUCUCAAAAUGCUCUUUCAGGAUCUCUUCCUUGUUUGAAGACCAUGGAGAGUUUAAAGCAUCUACAUUUGCAAGGGAACAUGUUUACAGGAUUAAUACCCAGAGAUUUUCUCAAUUCCUCACAUUUAUUGACUUUGGAUAUGCGAGAUAACAGGUUAUUUGGAAGUAUUCCCAAUUCAAUCUCUGCACUUUUGAAGCAGCUAAGGAUUUUUUUGCUGGGAGGAAACCUUUUAAGUGGUUUUAUUCCAAAUCAUCUUUGUCAUUUGACUGAAAUAAGCUUGAUGGAUCUUUCAAACAACUCUUUUUCAGGGCCAAUUCCCAAAUGCUUUGGCCAUAUCCGAUUUGGGGAGAUGAAAAAGGAAGACAACGUGUUUGGACAGUUCAUUGAAAUUAGGUAUGGAAUGGAUUCUCAUCUUGUAUAUGCAGGUUACUUGGUGAAAUAUUGGGAGGACUUAAGUUCAGUAUAUAAGGGAAAAGAUGAAGUUGAGUUUGUGACCAAGAACAGGCGUGACUUCUACAGAGGUGGCAUCCUUGAAUUCAUGUCUGGAUUGGACUUAUCAUGUAACAACUUGACAGGCGAAAUACCUCAUGAACUUGGAAUGCUAAGUUGGAUUCGUGCAUUGAACUUGUCUCACAAUCAAUUGAAUGGCUCCAUUCCAAAGAGUUUCUCCGAUCUUUCUCAAAUAGAGAGCUUAGACCUUUCUUAUAAUAAAUUGGGUGGAGAAAUUCCUCUAGAGCUAGUUGAACUCAAUUUUUUAGCGGUGUUUAGUGUGGCUUACAACAACAUCUCUGGUAGAGUUCCAAAUGCCAAAGCACAAUUUGCAACAUUUGAUGAAAGCAGCUAUGAAGGUAAUCCUUUCCUUUGUGGGGAACUAUUAAAGAGGAAAUGCAACACAAGUAUUGAGUCACCAUGCGCACCAUCACAGUCUUUUGAAAGUGAGACAAAAUGGUAUGAUAUCAAUCAUGUUGUUUUCUUUGCAAGUUUUACUACUUCAUAUAUCAUGAUCUUGUUAGGAUUUGUUACCAUCCUUUACAUCAAUCCUUAUUGGCGUCAUAGAUGGUUCAAUUUUAUUGAGGAAUGUGUAUAUUCCUGCUAUUAUUUUGUUUUUGAUAGUCUUUCCAAGUUCUCAGCAUAUUUGUAUAAUUAGAUACUUUUAAUUGGAUGAUGUUUGCAUAAUUAACUACUAUUUGUUUCCAUGGGAUAAAAAGAAAUGGGAUUAUAAUUGCUAUGAGUUGAAACUUACAUACUUUGCUCAAAUUCUAACAUCUUUUGAUUUUAUUUUCAAGUUCCGUUAUUUAUUAUGUAUUGUUUAAUUCAAGAUUUAACCAUAUUAUGCUACUCUUAUAAAAACAAAUUCAAAUUUUUAGGAACUUAGCAUUAAAAUAAUUUCAUAGUCAGAUUUUUAAAAAUAAAGAAGAAAGAAAAUAAUAAAUAAUUAGAAAAACAAUUCAAGGGAGUAUUAAAUUAUUAUCUUAGAAUUGUUUGGCGUAGUAUGGGAAUUCAAAAAUAAUCUUUCAAUUUGUUAGAAAUGUUUAUUUAUUUAUUAUAGCAAUGAUUGAAAUAUCAAUCACAAAGUAAUGUUUUCUUUUCUUUUGUAGGGCACUAACAUUUUUUCUUUGAUUGUAAUAAUUGAUAAAUAUAUUACACAAUUAUUUGUUUUAAAGAGGGGAGGGAUGACAAACAUAAUAACAUGUGAAAUAUUUCUAAAACUGUGAUGGGAAAUAAACCAUCUAAUUAGGGUGCAAUAUUAUUCAUUUUAAUUUAUAUGAAUUUACUUAUUUUUAUUUCCAUCAUAUUUUGAACUAUUUUUUGAAAUUAAGGGAGAUUAAAACAUCAUGAAUUUCUUAGUUUAAUUUAUAUUUUUAAUAAUAAAGCAUGAAAUAUUUAAAAAAAAAAAAGAAAAUCAUGAAUUUCUUUAAUUCCUUAGGAAACCAAUAUAUAAAAAAAGUUGAAUAUAUUAUUAUUUUAUAUCCUAAAUUUCUAAAUUUGUUCAUCACGUAUUUAUUUUUAUAUUAAAUUUAUUAUCAAUAAUUAUUUAUUAUAUAUUAUUAUUUUAUAUUUAAAAAUGUUCAUAAAUAAUUAAAAUUAAUAAAUAUAAAAAAUGAAAUAUUAAAAAAUUAAAUUAAAAAGAUUUCAUCAAGCUAACAUAUUUUGAUAAAAAAAAAAAGAGUAAAAAAGAAGAUGGGGAUAUUAUAGAGGUGGGGAAAAAGAUAAAAGAAAAAUCAUGUGGUAUAAUAAUUGCCACGUGUUAAAGUUAUUUUCUUUAAAAAUUAAUUAUAGUAAUGAUGAACUCAUUUGUCUUAUCAAAGUAAAUAAAAAUAAAUAAAUAAAAGAAAAAAAGAAAAAGAAAAAAAGUGGUGGUUGAUUGGAGGUUAGAGAGGAGGGUUUGAAGGUAAAUUUGGAAUAUUGAUUAUUUUCACUAAGUAGAUAUUUUGAAAGUUAUUUUCAAUGUUUUAAAAACCGGACCGGCCGGUCCGACCGGUCCAACCGUCGACCGGUCACCAUUCCGGUCCGAUCCGGUCAUUUGGACCGGAUUGAGAUCGAACCGGAGUUGAACCGCUCGAACCAGCGGUUCAACCGCUGAACCGGACAAACCGAUCGGUUCCAAGGGAACCGGCCAAUUCAAAUAAUUUUAAUUUUAAAAAAAAAAUUACACAAUAAAAAUAUUACUGUGGGUAAGCUGCAAGCAUGAAAGGUAGGAUUCCAUGUUGGGCCUGUCUUGUGACAAGCCCACACACCCACUCCAAUUACCCUGGGCCUCUUUUUUGAGCCCACAAGAUCAUGCCAAGGCUUUGCUGAGGAUGGCUUUUAUAGGAGUCAUUUGACUCCUUGUUCCUCUCAUAUUCCGAUGUGGGAUUGCAUUUUAUCAAUGAAAAAAAACAUAACAAACAUAACAAAACUCCACCAACAGAAUUUGAACCUUGGACCAAUCUUUAACUCUAGUCCACCUAGGAAACCACUCGGCUACAUGUGUUUUAUCAUCUAAUGUGCCAAACAAAAUAAUAUAUAUUAGAUUUUAAAUUUUUUUAUAAUAUUAAAUAAAAAUAAUAUAAUAUUUUUAAAAAUUAUGAAAUUAGUUUAAAUUUUCAUUUUUUUUAUAUUCACAUUUAAAUAUUAUACAUAUUUCAUUUAAUAAAAUUUAAAAUAUUAAUAUGAUUUAAUUUGAUAAUAUCAAAGAUAUAAAAUAAUAUUAUUGAUGUUUAAUUUAUUCAUAUAUAUUUUAAAAUUUUUUAUAAUUAUUUUUAAUUUUAAUAAUAUAUAAAUUAUAUAUUUAUUACGUCACCGGUUCGAUAGCGGUUCGACCGCCGGUCCGACCAGUGAACCGUGAACCGGUAACUUUUCCAGUUCGAUCACCGGUCCGAUUCUGAAAACAUUGGUUAUUUUGCCUGAAACCCAUAUUGUUUGAAAAUAAAAAAUCAAAGUUUUAAAAAAAUACAAUUUUUUUGAAAUGAUGCAUGAUUAUAUCAUUCCCCUAAUAGAUUAUUUAUUCCUUUAAACUUUACUUCAAAUAAAAUAGUUUUAAUUAUUUUCUUUUUGGAAUUAUAUUUAACAUAUUAUUAAAAAUAUAAAAAACAUUUUAAUAAUAUUGUUAAUGAGUUUAUAUAUAUAUAUAUAUAUUGUAAAAUAAUUAAAUUUAAAAAUAUUUAAAUUUAGUUAUGGGCUGCCCAUUUCAAAAUAAUAAGAAUCUCGUAACCUAAUUUUUCCAAAUUCCAGGUAAAUAUGCUAAUCUAAAAAUAAAAAAUAAAAAUUAGGUUUUUAUGCUCUCCAAUCUACCACUUAAGCAUCCGACAUGGCUAAAAUAAAUUACAAAAAAAAAAAAAAAAAAAAAAGGAAAAAAAACAAAAGUGUGUGAUCCUCUUUCUCGAGUCUUCACAUUUUGAGACACUGAAACCAAAUCAAAAUUAAUCCUUCAAAUUAAUUUUCACCUCCAAACAUGGCUAUCCGAAAAACCCUAACGUCUGCCUCCUCUUCCUCUUAUCCCGGAAACCUAAAUUCCGUGACCCUAACCCCUUCUCUUUCCGAAAACCCUCCGGAAUCGGAAGAUUCAUAAUUCUUCAGAAUUAAUUUUCACCUCGAAGCCAAACCCUAACUGCCUCAUCUUCCUCUCAUUCAUAUCCCAAAAGUAGCUUCAACAGUCAGGCCUGUAGCCAUGAAAGCCGUAGUGAUCACUACUUCCGGUGAUCCCCAAGUUCUCCAAGUGCAAGAAGUCGAAAACC
rnacentral:lncRNA from 1 species